rnacentral:lncRNA from 1 species
GGCUAUGGAUCAAGCUUCAGAGAAAGGUCUAAUUUUCAUUGAUGGAUCUGGACCCACAUAUGCUACUGCCACAGUAAGAAUAUAUCUCUUACGGUAACUCUUCCUCUUUCUGAUGCUAGUCUCUAUUACUGUCUGGGAGAAUAAUAACCAGAUUUAACUUUAUGGUGUUAACACGCAUGCGUCACAUUACGCUUAUUUUUCCCUUUUCCCAACUAUUUUUGGUGUUUUCUGCUGGGUGUUCGUCAGCCAUUGUAACAACCCAUUAGGUCGUUUUGGGUACUAUAGCUUCUUAUUUCAUAAAAGACUCUUCUGAUAAAUUCUAAAUGGGUAUUUUGGACUAUUCGUAACUAUAGGUAUAUAACUAAUGGGGUAAUUUUAAUAAUUAAUUUAGUCGGUGGUUAAAGAAAAUAACAUUAAAAUUAGUAGUGAGCUUAAUUGGUCAUGUAUAAUAAUUAGGGUAAGAAAUAAUCUGUAAAAGAAAGAAAAGUGAAAACUAGGCGAGAAACUUUACUUGCGGCGUCUAACAAGGAAGACCGACAUCGAGGUAAUGUUUUGAAUCUUCAAUGUCCUUAUUUAAUGGUAGGGGGUUAAGUAUUAUAUAAUAAUAUUUCAUGGUUAGAUAUGAAUUGAAAGUGGGUGUUAGCGGAUGUGCUGGGAGUUUGGAUUUUGAAUAAGAAAGUGAGGGUGAUAAUGAAUUGGUUGAUGGACUAAUGAUUAGCCAAUCAUUGACUUGAUAAAUUAGGCUUAUAGUAUAUGAUAAAUUUGGGUUAGAGUUGUUGCCACUACUUUUCGAUGCCAAUGACUUUAAUCUUGAAUUUUAUUACGUUGUCAUCAUAUUAUAAAUUGAGAUUUAAUAUAUUGAGAUAUGUAAUUAAAUAUUAGGUGUAUUGUAUAAUUUGAAUAUCAUUAAAGUGAUGAUAAUUAGAGCAAUUGAGACUUAUCCUUAGGCUUGAACUUUAGGAAAGUGACUAGAUUUGGGUGAGUUUUUGGGUCUAGGCUAGACAUAUAGUAGUAUGGGUGUCUAUAGACUCGUUUACUUAUGAAUUAUGCAUGUUUAAUAGAUUGAAAACGUUCAGAGGCAUUGAGGAAAGGAAAAGCUUUGGAAAAAUUAGCUUGCACGACUUCGAUUCCUCGGUCGAGGUAGGUUAUGAUUUAUUCUAUGUGAUAGAUAGACAUAGACUCUUAAUAUUGAUUGAUAAUCAUUGAGUGAUAUGGUGAAUUUCUCUAUGUACUUGGUUGUGUGGUUUGGAUAAUCUGUGUUGUUUGUGAUUGGUCUGAAAUCUUGAGACCGUGAAAUUUAUAAUCUUGAACCUUCUCUAUCGAAGUGAUGCCUUGAAUAAAGAAGGCUUGAUGAAAUAUUGUUAAUGAAGUUAAAAGUGGUGAUAAUAAAUGAUAAAUUAACGAUAUAUUUGGAUCGGGUGCCACGAGCCGACACGAUGUUAUUUGAUCAGGUGUCACGUUCCGGCAAGACAACAUUAAAGGAAAACAUAUAUAAACAACGUAAUGUACUAAAAAAAAAAACGUAAUGUACUCAAUCUCAAAAAAAAAAAGAAAAAAAACUAAUAUGCAACGAGUAAUAGUAUAAAAUCAACUAUGACACUUAGUAGGUGGCAAGCAACAACCAACAUGAACAAGUGACAACAACACUAAAGUAAGUACGUAAUCAGUCAACAAUAUCAAGAGCACACAUGGGGACUCAUGCCUCCAAACUAAGCUAUUUUAGGAAUUGAGUUCUUUGAGAUUGAGUACAUUACAUUGUUUAUAUAUGUUUUCCUUUAAUGUUGUCGUGCCGGAACUGACACCCGAUCCAAUAACAUCGUGCCGGCUCGUGGCACCCGAUCCAAAUAUAUCGUUAAUUUAUCAUUUAUUAUCACCACUUUUCACUUUAUUAACAAUAUUUCAUCAAGCCUUCUUUAUUCAAGGCAUCACUUUGAUAGAGAAAGUUCAAAAUUAUAAAUUUCACGGUCUCAGGAUUUCAGACCAAUCACAAACAACACAUAGAUUCUCCAAACCACACAACCAAGUACAUAAAGAAAUUCACAAUAUCACUCAAUGAUUAUCAAUUACUAUUAAGAGUCUAUCUAUCACAUAGAAUAAACCCUAAUCUACCUCCACCGAGGAAUUGAAGUCGAGCAAGCUAAUUCUUCAAAACUUUUCCUUUCUUCAAUGCCUUCGAACGCUUUCAAUCUAUUAAACAUGCAUAAUUCAUAAGUAACCGAGUCUAUAUACACCCAUAUUACUAUAUGUCUAGCCUAGACCCAAAAACUCACCCAAAUCUAUAGUCACUUUCCUAAAGUUCAAGCCUAAGGAUAAGUUUCAAUUGCUCUAAUUAUCAUCACUUUAAUGAUAUUCGAAUUAUACAAUACACCUAAUAUUUAAUUACAUAUCUCAAUAUAUUAAAACUCAAUUUAUAAUAUGAUGACAACGUAAUAAAAUUCAAGAUUAAAGCCACUGGCUUUGAAAACUAGUGACAACAACUCUGAUCCAAAUUUAUCAUAUACUAUAAGCCAAAUUUAUCAUAUCAUCAACCAAUGAUUGACUAAUCAUUAAUCCAUCAACUUGUUAGCUUUGAUAAUUGGCCCCAAAUAAUUAUUCAUUAAUUUUGGCUACGUUUAUUGUCCAAAUUUAUGUUGUAGAUCUAUUUUUUUUGGUACACUUAAAAAAACCUAAAAAGGAAAAAAUAAAUUUUGAUAAGUCAAAUUGCUUAAUUCUCCCAAGAGAAAAAACUUUAUAUUAUUUUUGGUGACUUUCCAAACUAGAAAUUCUUCUUUAUUUUAAAAAAUAAAAUUGGAGUUAGAGAAAGUGAAAAUGGAGAAGGGGAUUACAAGGUAGGGUCAAACCCUCACCAAUAAAUUGAAAAUUCAGCUAGUCAACCAACAUAGCUACUAAGAUUCUCCAACUAGCAAUUCUUUGUAUGUUACGAUCUUUAUUUCUCCAAGAGUUUGUAAGAUUAUUUAUAAUCUCUCUUCAAAUGCAUAUUUUAUCCUUCAUUUCCAUCAAGUGUUUAUAAUUUUCACUAAUAGCAAUAUGAGAGUGAAAUUAUAUAUCCACAUUGUUUUAUUAUAAAUUGACAGCAAAAAGGUAAUAUGCUUAUUGGUAUCUUUAAUUAUGCUAUGUUUAUGUAGGAAUUUUUUUUUAAAUUUUUUCAAAUAAGAAGCUGAAGAAAGAAUAAAGUUAAAUGAAGAAAAAAGAGAUGAUAAAUCCUAAUGACAAAAUGGAGAAUAUUAAUCAAGAUUUCAUAAAAAUUCUUGAUGUGGUGAGAUCUCACAAGCAUUAUUGUCUUUUAGAAUCUCAACUUCUCAGAAAGGUAAAUACAUUGCUAAUCUAUAUAUAUGUUGUGGUUUCUUAAACUUAUAUUUGUACUUUAAUUAUAAACUAAAACUUAGACAAUUAAAAAGAAUGCUUUCUUUCUUCUAUUUCAUGUGACGUUCUUUCCUCUUUAAUCUAUUAUAAAAAAAACGUAUUUUCUUAAUUGAAACAUGAUGAAGUUUGAACCUCAUAUCUUUUUAUCUUUAAAGACAUGUUUACUUUGACUCUACAUGGAACAAAGAGUUCUAAAACUUGUGGUCUUAGAUACGUUGUAAUAAUUUUGUGACUAUAAAACUUCUCACUAAUGAUAAAAUAAAAAAUGUAUAGCUUGAUUAUUUUCAAAUAUAGACAUAUGUCAUAAUUUUUAAAUAGAUUGAUAGUAAAAUGGUGUUACAUAAAAUCGGAAAUAAAGGAGUAUCUGACAUGUUUAACACCAAAAGUUUUUUUUUCUUUUUAAACUCAUUAUUAUGAGGUCAAAUUUACAGUAUAAGGAUCAUAAAACAUGGAUUGUAUAUUCGUUACUAGUGCUAAUAUUUUUUUUUUUCCAAGAAGAUAUAUAUUAUACUAAACAAAUUAAGCAGCAUAUGGAUAUCUACAUUAUUCAAAACAUGUUAGAACAAGAUAGGUUUUUCGAACUUGGAAAAUGCCAAUUUCUUUAAAGAUAUUUUAUUCAUUUUCAGCAACGUCAUUGUUUAUUACCCGAAUGAAACUCUUCAAUAUUUUAUCGCGCCUGAACUCAUCGCCAUUAUUGUGAGAAACCCUAAUUAUGUCGCGAAAUUGUGUGUGGAUUAGCAGCAGCAGGCAAACCAAUGUUGGCCAAACAAAAAUUCGAGAACAGGGCAUAGUAUGCACAUAACAAAGCUCAAGAAGGUGAGUCGUUGGUGAGGAGGAGUACGAGAGUGAGAAAUAAGGCUUGCGAAUUCAAGAACGAUCAGGAUAAUGAUUGCAAAGGGAAACAAAGAAGAAUAACAAAGAAAAAAUAAGAAUAUUUUGGAAAUAAUGAGUGAAGCUUACUAGAAGGUGGUCAAAUUUAUAGAUGUUUUUUUAGGUGUAUUAAAUUUCUUUUGUUUUGUAGUUAUGGUAAUAUUUCAUAGUUUAUUAUCAAUGUAGAUUGUAGACUAUAAUUAAUCUCCUAACCUUAUUUUAUAAAGAAAGAAAUAAAAAUAAUUAAAUGUAUAUAAGUUUUAUAAUCAAUAAAUAUGUGUACUAACUAAUUAUAAAAUUACUAAUCAAUAAAUGACAUGUGUCCUAUUUGUGCACUUAUCACUUGUCUUCAAGUGAGUGUGCACACUCUCUAUGCCAUGUUAGUGUGUGUAGUAUAUUUAUUCCAUUUUAAAUUAGUUGGGGGGGGGGGGGGGAUAAUAGGACCUAGUUAAAUUUAGGUGUGUCUCUGAGAUUUCGGUCACAAUCCACAGGGGUACUUUUGCCUUAUCCCUUUUGUAAUUUAUGUAACCUCUAGGCCAUUUAUCUACCCAAUUUAAUACCCCACAAUCUUCCUUUUUAUUGCAAGAAAGAAUGUCUCCACUACAAAUAAUGAUGAUCUUACUUUUUUCCGGUGUAUAAGAAAAUAUAGAGUGCAUAAAAGUGAGUAAAAAAAAGUUCUUAUUAGUUGAAGGGAGAUGUUCUUUUUAUGAAGCUUUGGAUUCAAUUUUUGUCUCAUAUUUGUUGACUUGUACUUUGAGAUUGAGGUAUGUUGUCCGGAGAGGACAAGUUAAGAAGAUUAUUGCUGGACUGGUGAAAAGACUUGUUGCCAUGGGCUUAAAUCUCCUUAAAAAGAGCAAGAUAUAUAUUCAUGUCUCAACCUAGAAAUUUAUUUUCUUUAUUUUAUUUUCAAUUGUAAUUUUGUAAUUUCACCAACAAAACUACUUGACUUUCCCAUAUUAAUAUAUAUCAUCCUGUAAUUUUUUUUAAUUUUUUUUUUAACAAAAACUAUACUAUCUAAUCAGUUGAAGAAUAUCUACGCAUAAACCUAAAUUUGUUUUCUCUAUUGCUAUUUUAUUGUCAUAUUUUUUUCCCUUACAACCAUGUUAUGAACUUUUCUUUUGAAUCGUGGGUCUAUUAGAAAUAAUAUUUUUAUCACACAAAGAUAUGGGUAAAAUAUGUGUACAUCUUAAUUCUUACCCCCCUCAAACUCACUUGUGAGAUUAUACUGAAUGUUCACUACUAGAAAAACCAACUUCCAAAGAGGUCUGAAUAAACCCAUCUUUUGAAUUGUGGAUCAAUUAGAAAAAAACUCUUUAUCCCGCAAAGAUAUGAAUAAGAUAUGUGUACAUCCUACCUCCUAGAUUCAACUGUAAGAUGAAUAUGUUUUUCACUACUAAAAUUUGAUAUUGGGCAAGACUUCAUUAACAUCAAGUUAUGGUGAUGUUAAAAAAAUUGAUUAUAAAUCUCGACAAAUUUCCUUACAAAAAGUCAGGGUGAUCGUCAAAAAUUUGUCCACAAACCUGGAUGAAUCACCAUAAUAUUUUCAGCAUUAACGACAAUAUCAUAUUGUUUGAUUUAUCUCUUGAUAUAUUUGGGAUAGUUCUGAAGGAAGUGGAACUGAUACACUCCCUACUAGUAUUGUUGAGCUCUGUCCAUUUAUACUUUGUAAUUUCAUCAUUCUCUUGCUAUUAAAUUAAAACUAUGCUCUUGAAAACUCAACGAUAUAUUAAUGUGUGUGUAGAACUUUUCCAGCCCAUUUCAAUGGUAUGUUUUUUCUUUACUAAUCAUGAAUAGCUUGGUUCUACAGGUUGAAAUCUCUCUUUUCGAAAGGGUUAAACACGGUGAAGUUUGGCAUUUUAGCUAAGCAACUUUGUGAUGAAUUAACCAAUUAUGGGAUAAUGAGUGAUGAACUUGUAGAAGUGGUAGCUAUGAGAAAGAAAGUCGUGAAGGACACUACGAUAGCAAUUUGGAAUGCUAGUUUAUCCAUUAAUAUUUUCUUAAAUGUAUUUUUAAGGUUAGUUAACAUUUCUCUUUCUUGACCUUUCUAGUAAGGUUGUAACUUAAAGAACUCUUAAUUACCAUUCCUAUAUUCCAUUGUGCUAAUCUAGGAAUUCUUCCUUUUUGCCCCCAUUCUUUGUCCUCAAUUAAUUGAAAUGUUUUUAUUUUUCAAGUUAUCCCAAUAUGUUGUUCGUAUAUUUAUGAGGAAGCAUCUCACCUAUAUUUCUUUGCACUUUUCAAUAUUUAUUGUUAUAACGAUAUUGUGAAAUCACUAUGACCAUACAAAAUAGUAAAUUCUUUGAAAUUUACUUCAUCUUUAUUAAAGACUCACUUCUCUUCACUUGCAAUACAAUUUUCUUACUUAAAUAGUCUUGCUUAUAGAAAGUAAGAUAUGCCAAUAUUGAAGAUGGAAGUGUAGUUAAGGUAAGAAUUCUUCAUAUUCCCUUUAGCUAAUGAUGAAAGAGAAUGUGGACCAUUUUUCUCGAGAUGAUAAUAUUGUACCCUCCUAAUUUGAUGCGCGUAAUUCCUUUUCAUAGCUACAAAAAAAGGUUGAAGGUAUAGUUGAUAAGUUGGAGACCUGACAUCGAUCUAUUAUCCUCAUCUACUAAUUUUACUUGUUUGCACAUUCUUCAUGCAAGGCGAUUCAAACCAAAGGUAGGAUUUUCUACCUUUAAGUUUGUGACAUAAGUACUUGAACAUGAGCACAGUUUCAAUGUUUACCAGAUUCCUCUACUAUAUAAGUCUAAUGGUUAGGGGGACAUAAUUUCUUUAGAUUUUCUUGAUUACGGUGUAUUAGAGUUUGAUAUCUAAAGAGUAAAUCAUCCUUGGUCAUUGUGCAGGGAGUUCAUUGAGAGAAUCAACAAAUUCGAUUCAUAUUGUUCUCAAAUUUUUGGAGGAGCUAGAAAACUCUUCAGGAUUACUUCAUCUUUGGUGAUCAAUAAAUCUCUCAUAGUAUCAUUAUCUACAAUAGAUGGAAUUUUGAUUUCUUAUAUUCCUACACAAUCCGAAUAUAAGUAGUUGUGAAGGGGGGUGAAGGUAUUUUCUAUAUGAGGAACUCACGAAAAUCUUGGCAAUUUCAUAUUUUAACUGUUUUGAAAAUAUUACAUGAUUGACAUUUCUUUACCAUAUUUGAUAUUCCGAUACUUCCUAAAUUACCCCGAAAACCCUUUUUUAAGAAUUGUUUUUGGUCGUAUAGGCCAUUUUAUUAAUUAUCAAAAAAUGAAAAUAAAGUUUUGGCCCAAGCCCAAAAUAAAACAAUCAAAACAACCUAUUUCUAAUCUGAUUAGGGUAAAGCCCACUUUCAUUAACCCUAUCUAUAAAAGCUAACUUCAACUUCCUUUUGAGAUCACUUUCAUUUCUUCUUACGGCUGAAUGUUACUCUACUCCUUCUUCUCUUAUGGGCUGUACCAGAUCCCUAUUCCAACAGUCUCAUCUCUCUUCUUCUCAUACAAGAUGUGUCACUCAACCAAGGUAAUGUAACUCCUAUCUUUUCCGUUCUUUUAUUCAUCACUGUUCUAACUCUUUGUUGUUUAUCCAUGUGAAGGAAUUUUUUGUUGGAAAAAAUUAUUCUAGAAUUUUGAAAUUUUCUUUUUGAGUUUAAAAAUUGGCUAAAAGGGAAAAGUCAUUUAUGGGGAGAAUCAAAGGAAACUCUUCAGUUUCUUACCUAGAAGAUGUUAAUUACUUUAUUCCAAAUCACACAUGUAGUCAUUACACAUUACUAAUAUAUAUUUAGUGAUUUGAGAUUAAAACUUAAAUUAUUUAAGAUUAUAUUCAUGUAGUGGUGUUCUAUACAUAUCAUGAUGUGAUAUGGAUUAGUCAUCAUGGAUAUGAAGACCAUCAAGUCGAUUCAAAGUAAUUUGGAUACCUUAGAAGAUUAAUGAAAGAAGCAUGGAAGAUUUAAAAUAUACUAAAAUGAAAAUUUAAGCAAGAGGUGACUACAUAUUAAAUAAUUAAUAGGCUAGACUUACCUUCGUUUUAGCUCAAGGGUAUUAUUUUAACUAGCUUAGGUUAGUUUAUCUACUAUUAUAAAUAGCAGAAAUUAGGGUUUGUUUUAGGGGUUGGUUUUUGAAUGAACAUUUGAUGUUUAGGCUACUUUGUGAAUUUGGGAAAACCCUCACAUCUGUCCAAUUGAACCCUCUUGAUUAUUUGGGUAAGUCUUCACUUUUAUGAGUUCAAUUUCUUUUCACCUUUAUAUUUUACUCUAGUAAUUAAAUGCCUUUUAGUUGAUAGAUCGUCCUUUUUUUCUUCUAAAUCUCUCCGUCUUUCUUUGUGUUUCUUAAUAGUAUAUUUUGUUUGCUUGAUUGUGGUUCACUUUAUUGUUCUUGCAUCUAGAAUUCCAUCAAGUAGCUCUCCCUCUUCCUUUCUAUUUCUAAACCAUAUAUCUUGCUUGCUUGAUCGUGGUACUAGGUAAGUCUAUCCUUCAAGGCAUAAACAGAAGAAAUCACCUAGAGUUUUUCCACCGCUGAAAAUUGUACUUGAUACCUCAUGGUUCUCAACUAACUUCCUUGUCGACCAGGUAAUGUUUUGAUUGUAUGCUAAAAAAAUUAUAUUUCUGAUGCAAAAGGAAUUUUCCUCUUGUGAACAAUAUAUUGAAUUGCCUUUUUAUUAGCUUCCAUGAACCCUACUAUUCUAGGUAGGUAUUAAGUAAAUUUUGGUGCACCUCCAAUCUUUGAAGUUCUUUAUUUCUUCAUAAUUCAAUUAUUAGGUUACCGUAGUGCAGGGAUUGGAAGUAUAACUUAUACAUGUCACCUAUAUAUCCAUUCCUUCUCGCCUUGAUCCAAAAAACCAAGAGAAUUGACCCCAACUAGCUUAGAAUUGACACGCAAUUGUUGUUUAUAUCAAUUUUUGUUUGACAAAUGUCUUUAUCAUAACUUUCACAUAAUGCCUUAUGAUGAAACAACUUAUACUAGUAUGAUCAAUAUAAUGCUAGCUUCUAUAUUCACUUAAAUUUUGCUUACUUUAAUAUUGGAUUACUUAGCAUUGGGUGUUAUAGUGGGUGUUCAGGAGUUAUUAUUGUCCAGAUACCUAAUGGAAAGUGUCAUUUGGCUUGGACCUUAGCGAUCGAUAGCUUAUGUAAAAAUAUAGGACAUAAGAGGAAACUUGUUAGCAUUGUGUGUUGCAGGAGUUAUUAUUGUCUAGAGACCUAAUGCAAAGUGUGAUUGGCUUGGACCACAGUGAUCCAUAAUGUCAUGUCCCGCCACUUCACUGUUCAGAUUCGGCAUCAGGAUAAGGGAGAAAAUCUAAAGUUGUGGAGAGGUUAGUAGAACACUCUAGAACUCCCUAGAUAUUUUCAAGAAGGCUUUAGAAUUCCCUAGAACUUGUAGAGAAUUCUAGAAUAGGACUAAAGUGUAAAUAUUGUAGGGAAUUGUAAAGUAAAUAAUAUUUACACUUAGGCCCUUAGGAGAUAAUAUAAAUAGAGGGCCUCUCAUUAGCAAAAUGGUCCAACCAAGUGUAGCAUUCGACAAAGUAAUACAAAGCCUUGUUCCAAAGCUUUUCAAGUCUUUCUUGCAUUCUCUUAGCGGUCUUAGUUUGAAAAGUCUUACUUGAGCUUACAAGACCAUGAAAGAUUCGUGAGUAAGUUGUCAGGUGCUGCACAAAACAUUAGUGAGACUCUAAGUCUCCAACAACGUGGUAUCAGAGAAAAUGUUUGUACUAAGGAGAUGUAAACGUUGCUAGCACCACCAAUAUCAGGCUGGAUGGUGGAAGGAAGAUCUGCAAAUGAAAGAAGCACCACAAGAGUAGUAAGGAAAUGUUGCUCGACCUUACACCAAGCGAGGCGCUAACAUGUCACCCACCUUCGACCAUUGAAGCAAGUGACGAUGAGCAUGGUGACGAGGCCAUUGAUAUCACCGCCGGAGAGGAAUGGGUUGCAAGGUUUGAAAUGGCGAGGCAGACCGUAGAGAUAUUAGGCCGGUGUUUGAAUGAGGUUGAUGGAAAGUUCAAGACUCUAGAGGACUUCACCCUUGAGGAAACCAACAACAUCCGCAAGGAGUUGGAGGGCCGCCAGCGUGCCGAGUUCGAGAUGAAGGAGGCCAUCACUUUCUUGGAGUAUCGGCUCAUUGAUGCGCUAAGUAUGAUUGAAGCCAUGAGAUCCGAGAAGAAAGCACUUAAGGAAGGCGUUGAAGCUAAAUGAUCUACGUCAUCCGAUCGAGAUAGGGAAGCCAGGGUCGAGGCUCCCAAGCCACAUAUUUUCAAAGGCGUCCGUGAUGCCCAAGAGGUGGAGAACUUCUUAUGCACUUGGAGAAUUACUUUAAGUGUAGUCGGGUAAAGAGCGACGAAAACAAGAUCAAUACUGUCGCGAUGUAUCAUUCGGAGAUGGCCAUGCUAUGGUGGAGGCACAAGAAAACUGAGAUAGGGAACGGACUGUGCACUAUCAACCCUUGGGCAUAAUUUCAAGAAGAGUUAUAGAAGGCCUUCUUCCCUAACAACGUCAUCUAUGAGGUCAAAGGCAAGUUCAUGGAAUUGAAGAAAACAAGCAGAAUUUGGGCGUACGUGAAGGAAUUCAUUACUCUCAUGGUUCAAAUUCCUAACUUGACGAACGAAGACAUGUUGUUCCACUUCAUGGACGGAUUGAAAAUUAGGCUAAGAUGAAGUUGGAAUGAUGGCAGGUUAGGACCAUAGAUGAGGCCAUCACACAAGCCUAAGCCUUGACUGACUUCAAGCAUGACAUGCAUGAUAAGGCGAAGGUGAAGGACGUGAGGACUAGUCAUGUUAAAUGUGGGGGAGAUCGUAUCCUAGGUAAGGAGCAACAGGCACAGUCUAAACAACACGACUCCUACAAGUGGAACGACAAGCGGUUCGGGCGCCAGAGCUAAACGGAGAGGAAGGUGCAUACUACAAAAGGAGAUGGUUGCUACAUAUGUGGUGGACCGCAUGGUUAUGCCAGGUCCCCGGAAAUGAAGAAAAUUUGUGCUAUCCUACGGGCGUAAGGAGAAGGACACACAAAAGAAAGGGCAGGAUGCGGGAACGACGCAACUAGCCAUGGUCGGGCUAUGCAGGGCUAUUGCCAAGCAGAUGGAGAAGCCGGAAGACUAUAACACGCAAUAUGUAGAUAUCUCCAUUAAUGGGCGACCAACUCGUGCCAUGGUAGACUCCGGUUCAGAAGCCAACAUUAGGACCAAGACGCGACAACAAGGUUGGGGCUAAGUUACAAUCCAAACAACACCCGCCUAAAGACGGUCAAUGCACACCCAACUCCCAUGUGUGGAGUUGCCCAAUGAGUAAGCAUCACGUUGGGUAAGUGGCAAUGUAAGACUAAAUUUAUCGUAGCUUCUUUAGAUAUAUUUGAUAUCAGUCUUGGGCAAGAAUUCUUCCAAACAUGUCAUACGAUGAUCGAUCCCUACCUCCAACGACUCAUGGUCAUGGAGCGAGAAGGGUCAUGCAUGGUACCUCUAGUUAAUGUGCGAAAGAAGGAAGAACAUGCCCAAUUGUCGGUUAUGCGGAUCGUGAAGGACCUUAUAAAAGGAGAGCUGACGUUCAUAGCCACCAUUUCAAGUUUCGGAGAGGACAAUAGUGCCAAAGAGGCAUUGCCACCGGCUAUUGAGAAGGUUCUUAAAGAGAAUAAAGAUGUGAUGCCGGACGAGAUGCCAAAGAAUUUACCUCCUAGGUGCAAGGUAGAUCACAAGAUCGAGUUGGAGGUUAGAACCAAUCCACCAGCGCAUGCACCCUAUCGCAUGGCUCCACCCUAGUUAGAAAAGCUAAGGAAGCAGCUGAAGGAGCUCCUUGAGGCCGAUCACAUUCGCCCGUCCAAAGCACCUUAUAGCGUGCCAGUCUUGUUUCAAAAGAAGAAAGAUGCGUCAUAGAGACUAUGCAUCGACUACCGGGAUCUUAAUAAGGUAACCAUAAAAAAUAAGUACCAUAUCCUUCUUAUUGCCGAUUUGAUAUACUUGGACAGGCCAAGUAUUUCACCAAGGUAGAUUUUAGUAAAGGUUACUACCAGCUUCGCGUUGCGAAAGUGGAUGAGCAAAAAAUGGUGUGCGUGACGAGAUUUAGAGCAUACGAGUGGUUGGUGAUGCCCUUCAGCUUAACCAACACACUCACCACCUUUUGCACGUUGAUGAACAAAAUCUUUAUUCUCUACUUGGAUCAGUUUGUGGUAGUAUACUUAGAUGAUAUCGUCAUCUAUAGUAACACAUUGGAGGAGCACGUGGAGAAUUUGAGGAAGGUUUUCCAAGUCUUACGGGAUAACCAACUCUAUAUCAAGUAGGAGAAAUGCGAGUUCGCCCAGCACGAGGUACAGUUCUUGGGGUAAAUAAUUAGCCAAGGCGAACUGCGGAUGGACGAAGCAAAGAUACGUGUUAUCAAAGAGUGGGAGGAACCCAAAAAAGUGAUCAAGUUGAGAUCUUCCUUGGACUUGCAAACUAUUAUCGCAGAUUCAUUAGUGGCUGAGUUAUUGUAGAAGAAUAAGUCGUGGGUUUGGAGCGAGGAGUACCAAAGGGUUCUGGAAAACCUCAAGGCCGCUGUGACUGAAGAGUCGGUCUUGAUGCUGCCUGACUUCUGAAAGAACUUCGAGAUACAUACAGAUGCUUCAGAUUUCACCAUAGGGGGAGUAUUGAUUCAAGAUAGACACCCAGUAACAUUUGAGAGCCACAAAUUGAAUGAGACCGAACGACCCUACACGGUGCAGGAGAAAGAGAUGACAGUCAUCUUACAUUUCCUACGCACGUGGAGACACUACUUACUAGGCUCCAAGUUCGUGGUUAAGACCAACAAUGAGGCCACUAGCUAAUUCCGAUCACAAAAGAAGAUCACCCUGAAGUAAUCUAGGUGGUAAGACUUUCUAGCUGAGUUUGACUACGUCUUAGAGUUUAAGCCGGGAAGGCGCAAUGUAGUGGCCGACGCACUAAGUAGGAAGGCUGAGCUUGCUUUCAUCACUACAACUCAUUGUGACAUCUAGGAUGAUAUCAAGGAUGGCAUGCAACACGAUCCAAAGGCAAAGAAGCUCAUGGAGUUGGCCGCCCAAGGCAAGACAAGACGUUUUUGGGUGGAAGAACAUCUCCUACUAACUACUGGUCAGAGGGUCUAUGUGCCCAAGUUUGGGUCUAUUAGGUAGGCGGCAAAUCAUCAAAGAGAGCCACGACGCACUGUGGCUGGCUAUCCAAGUAAGCAACGAACGAGGGCGUUGAUUGAGGCAAUCUAUUAUUGGCCACGCAUGUGGGACGACAUAGAAUGCUACAUAUAGACAUGACUGGUGUGUCAGCAGGACAAGGUGGAGCAGAGGCAACCGAGAGGGAUACUUGAGCCACUACCUCUAACAGAACGCCCAUGGGAGAGCGUGACCAUGGACUUCAUCACUUCCUUACCCAAGUUAGAUGGGUAUGGAAUGAUAAUGGUCGUGGUGGACAUAUUUUCAAAAUAUGCUACUUUCAUGCCCGCCACAACCGGUUGCAUCGCUAAGGAGGCAGUCAUGCUAGUUUUCAAAAAUGUGGAUAAGUAUUGGGGGAUGCCAAGACAUAUCAUUAAUGAUCAAGAAUGUCGCUUAACCGGGAACUUUUGGUAGGGUUGUUUGAGAUACUUGGCACGGAGCUUCACUUCUCCACAAGUUUCCACCCACAAACAGACGGGUAAGUCAAGCAUGUCAAUUCCCUACUAGAGUGCUAUCUAAGGAACUACGUAAGUGCAGACUCGAAAGAUUGGGUAGACUCCUAGACAUAGAGCAAUUUUCUUACAAUUUGCAAAUGAGUGAGUCUAUCGGGCGCAAACCAUUUGAGUUGGCGACUAGCCAACAACCUUAAACUCCACAUUUGUUACCUGCCGCUUUUCAUGGAAAGAGUUUGGGACCCUACCAUCUUUCCAAAGGAUGGGAGAAACAACUCAACACUGCCAUGUCCGACUUAGACAAGGCAACCAAAAGGAUGAAGAAAUUUGCUGACCGCAAUCGACAUCCCACGGAUUACCAAGUUGGAGACAUGGUCUUGGUAAAGUUCAACCUAAGAUAGUUUAAAGCACUAAGGGUCGUACAUUAGAACUUAUUGCGAAAAUAUGAGGUCCCGUUCAAGAUCAUUGCUAAGGUAGGCAAGAUCUCCUACAAAGUGGAGUUACCUCCACACUUCAAGAUCCAUCUAGUCUUUCAUGCGAGCGUUUUUAAGCCAUACCAUGAGGACAAAGCUGAUCCCAUCCAGAACUAAUCAAAAUGGGAAACCAUAACUAUCACCGCCUCGCAUGAUCGAAAAAUCGAGUCUAUCAUAGACUAUCAAGCAAGAAGGAAGCGAGGACAGCAAGUAAGUGCCAUCUUUCUUGUACAUUGGAAGGUACAAUUUUCGGAGGAGGCCACAUGAGAGAGAUAUGAAGAUUUCUGGCAGUUUAAGGACCGAAUUUGGGAGUUCUUGCAGCAAUGCGCCACACUCAUUGCAUCAACAAGUGGAGGAGAGUUUCAUGUCCCGCCACUUCACUGUUCAAAUUUGGCAUCGGUAUAAGGGAGAAGAAUCUAGAGGUGGAGAGGUUAGUAGAACCCUUUAGAACUCCCUAGAUAUCAAGAAGUCUUUAAAAUUCCCCAGAACUUGUAGAGAAUUCUAGAAUAGAACUAAAGUGUAAAUAUUUUAAGAAAUUGUAAAGUAAAUAGUAUUUACACUUAGGUCCUUAAGAGGUAGUAUAAAUAGAGGGCCUCUUAUUUGCAAACUGAUCCAACCAAGUGUAAAGCUUUCCACAAAGUAAUACAAAGCCUUCUUCCAAAGCUUUCCCAGUCUUUCUUGCAUUCUCUUAGCGAUCUUAGUUUGAAAAGGCUUACUUGAGCUUACAAGACUGUGAAAGAUUCGUGAGUAAGUUGCUAGGUGUCGCACAGAACAUUAGUGAGACUCUAAGUUCGUGACACAUAGCCUAUGUAAAAUAUAGGACAAAAAAGAAAACUUGUUCUUCUAUUAAUAAUAAUAAUAAUCUUUUUAUCUAUAUUAACGUAUUUAGGCAACCUAUUAAAUGUUGAGACAUUUAAUACUAGAAUUUUGGUAAUUUGAAUGAGAAUGCUUUGUAAUGCUUUGUGUACAUUGACAAUAAUGAUAUUGAAACACAAUUUAAACCUAUCCUAAGCUACAAGUAUGUUAAGCUCAUUCGGGAGGAUGUUCCCACUAAUCGUGACUUUACAAACUGUCACCCUUUUCUUGAGGAAGUGACCUAUCUCAUAGAGUUCCACAAAAUUUUGGUAUCUAUAAAUUCCCAGUACUUCAAGGCUUAUCAAAGUGUAAACUUGAUAAACUCAAAGAUGAUACUUGAAGUACCCAUAAAAAUGGAGUUUCAAUUUUUGCGGUUUGUGGCUUCAUAUUUGCAUUUUAUUUGUGAGAGAGGAGUUGAAGAGUAAAUUAGGUCACACUAGGCGUGCAAAUUUAUUUGCACUAUUUUUUUCCAAAUACAAAAAGAAUAUUGCAAUCACAUAAUAAAUAAAAAAGAAUGAGUUUAUUCAUAAAGAUUACGAGUACAAAUAUAUGUAUCCCUUGAUUCCCCUCUCAUAAGAUUUCUCCAUGAUUCAAAGGCUAUUAGUGUCACUCAAACUAGGAUGAUGUGGACCUUCUUAGGAUUUAUUUGAUCUUCGUGAAAUGAUUUUACAGAUCUUGUUAAAGUAUUUGGUUGUCAAGAAGAGUGCGCCCAUAUCUUGAUCACUUCAUGAAUAUUUCAUGAAUAUAUGAAAAUUUAGAGUUGCCUAAUCAAAGAAAUAUAUUACACUUUAUAUAAGUGUUAUAUAAGUGUGAGCUAGAGUUUAGGGUAACUAGUCUCCAAAAAUCCUAAAUGAAAUUGGACUCAUCUUGUAGAGUUCCACAAAAUUUUGUUGUCUAAAAUGUCAAGUUCUUGUCCCAUGAUUUUUUUUGGGUCACAUAGAUCACUUAAUAGUCUUGCUAGAUAGAGUUUUAUUGGUUAAGGUCUAAUCAACUAUUCUAGAAGAGGUCUUAUGCUUAGAAAUGUAGUAUCUUUGUCGAAGCCAGUAUAAACGAAGAUUACUCUCUAGCAAGGGACUCAAAAUCAUCUCCAAGCACCUUUGGGAAAGUAGUUCCACUCUCCCAUCCAAACGUGGACACAUGAUCCAAUUUCUAAAAAUCCUCAAUAGUAAAACAUAGCUGCCUUUGCAGAUCUGGCGAGGCAAGAACAAUGUGCUUAUACAGGCUAGCCUUGUCUACAAUUUGAGCAUAACAUUCAUUAUUUACAAAAGUAGACCUCAAAUAAGUAAUUAGUCUUGGAUUCAGUCUCGAAUAUUUGAAAUAGAGAUGUGUUGUAACAACAUAACUAGCACUAUAUCUCCAAGAAAUUCCAAGUGUUAAUAGCAUCUUGGUAUCUCAGGUAGCAUGUAAGAUCCGUGAGUUAGCGCUUUAACAAGCAACGAAGGGUCAUAAAACUUGUAAUGUAGCAGUGAUUUCCAAGUACCGUACAAUGACUAGCUUCUCAACAUUCAUGAGGAAGUGCCUUAGCAUAGGUGCAUCAAUAAAAGCAAUGUCCAUCCCGAUCCAUUUCAUAAAUGAUAAGGUUGCUACUUCCCCGCCUGAGUUGAGGUAGGCACAUAUUAGUACCUCAACCACAUCAGCUACUCUCUUCCUUCUAAUCUCCUACUUUACCCUACUACAUAUACAUUUUUACCGAAGGCAAACUCUUUGCCAAAGUUUUAAACUUGAGGAUUAUCCCUAGGAAUGAGCCCCAUUUUAAGAUUGAAUGGUUCAUUACAGAUAAAUCUCAGAAAUUUACGAUCACAUCUAACCUUGAACAAUGCAACACUGAAAAUUAUUUUAUAUUUCUUAAUGCUGAAAAGACCCUCAUGAUGAUUUUCAUAAGUCUUAAACAGUUGUGUACUGAUAGCAUAUUUGAGAAAAGAAUCUCAAAGUUACCUAAGUGAUUUCAAAUGAAACUUCUGGAGGCAUUUCUUUGUUGUCAUCACUUCCAAAACCUUUGCAGUUGGGAUAAAAAGUUUUAGUUUGCAGUGAUAAAAAAGAAUUCUUUUCAAGUUUAUUCUGAUGGCUUCCCCUAUAAAGUCUAAAGGUUCUAGCACGGCAGAUAGUUAUUGGCGAAAGAUUCUUGAAUUAGAGAAUCUUAUGAAUCUAAGUUAUACACGUAUGGCAGUGAAUCUGUUCGGGUGAAGUAUAACAAAUUCACUGCCAUACGUGUAUACCUUAGAAUUCAUAAGAUUCUCGAGGUCUUAAAUCUUCCGCAAUACCUAUCUGUCGUGCUACAACCUUUAGAUUUUAUAGGGGAAGAAGUCAUGCCGAAUAAACUUAUAAAGAGAGCUUUUGGAUCACUUCAAACUAAAACUUUGUAUCCCAACUGCUAAGGUUUUGGAAGUAAUGACAAUAAAGAAAUGCCUCUAGAAGUUACAUUUGGAAUCACUUGGGAAACUUGGAGACUCUUUUCUUGAACGUGAUGUUAGUAUACAACUGUUUAAGACUUAUGAAAGUCAUCACGAGGAUUUUCUCAAAUUUAAGAAAAAUAAAAUCAUUGACAAUGUUACACUGUGCAAGUUUUGAUGUGCUCGUAAAAUAUCAAAAUUCACCCAUAAUGAACCAUUCAAUCUUAAAACGUGAAUCAUUCAUGAUGAUAAUUCUCAAGUUCACAACUUUGAUUAAGAGUUCUUGUUGCCUUCAAUAAAAAUAUAUAGUAGGCUAAGGAAAACGAUAAGAAAUAGUAUGAAGUAGUUGAUGUGGUUGAGGCACCAAUAGGUGCCUACCUCAACUUGUGUAGGGAAGUAACGACUUUACCAUUUAUGAAAUGGCUUUGGUUGCACAGUGAUUUUGUCGAUGCACCUAUACCAAGACACUUCCCUGUGAAUGUUGAAAAACUAGUUAAUGUCCGGUACUUUGAAUCCCUGCUACAUUACAAGUUCAAUUAUCCUUCAGUGCUUGUUGAAGCUCUAACUCAAAGAUCAUACAUGCUACCUGAGAUUCCACAAUGAUGUUAACGUUCAGAGUUUCUUGGAAAUGCAAUUCUAGAUUAUGUUGUUACAACACAUCUCUAUUUCAAAUAUUCGAACUGACUCCGUGACUAAUUACUGAUUUGAGGUCUGCUUCUUUAAAUAAUGAAUGAUAUGCUCAAUCUGCAGGUAAGGCUGGCCUGAACAAGCACCUUCUUCAUGCAUCGCCAAAUAUACAAAAGAAGAUCUGUUGCACUGUUGCGGAUUUUUGAGAAAUUGGAUCUUGUGUCCAUGUUCGUAUGGGAGGCUGAAACUACUUCCCAAAUGUGCUUGGAGAUGUUAUUGGGUCCGUUGUUUGUGCGAUCUUUGUUGAUUCUAGCUCCAACAAAGAUACUAAUACAUUUAUAAGCUUAAGACCUCUUCUGGAACCGUUGAUUACACCUCAAACAAUAAAACUCCAGCCAACAAGAGAGUUUAGUGAACUAUGUGACGAUAAAGGUUUUUUAAAAAAGAAAUCAGUUUCUUCAUGAGACAAGAACUCGACAUUCGUAGAUAUCAAAAUUGUGUGGGACUCUACCAGAUGAGUCAAAUUUCAGUUAGGAUUCUUGAAAACUACUCCUAGCUUACACUAUAUAAAGGGUAAUAUAUCCCUUAGAGAGGGAUCUUCAAAAUUUCAUAAAUUCAUGAAAUAUUUACAAAGGUAUCAAGAUGUGGGUGGACUCUUGUUGAUAACCAAAUACUUCAAAAAAAGAUCCAGAAAAACCUCUUUACAUGGAUAUCAAAUAAAAUUCAUUUAAGGUGCAAAUUAUCCUACAAAAGAAUCAAGAGAGGGACAUAAUUGUACCCAAACUGUUAAUUAAUAAAAUAUUCUUGUUUCGUCAUAUUUAUUUUAUGGUCGGAUUUUAAUUUCCAUAUAUAAGAUUUAUUGCAAAUUUUUUUGUCUCCUUGAACCCUAACUAAAAUUUAUAAUGUGUUUUGGGGUUUGAUUAGUUCGAUCGGAGUUGAUUAAUUGGUGAGAAUUCAUUCGACAUUGAAAAAAAUGAAUAUUCAUUGAUCAAAUCAUUCACUCUGUAGUCUGAUAGAUCUUUUGUAGAAAUUAAUUAAUCAAACGAGAAUAACGAUAGAUCAAGUCCCUUUGGGGUCAUCUCAUACCUUCUAUAUAAUAUUUAUCUCCCAAAAGCUUGGAGAUGCACACACAAGAUUUGUUGAAGUUUGACUUAAAAUAAUGAGAAUGACCUCAAACAGUAUAUAAUAGGCAUUGUUCAUAUAUAUAUGAUGACUAAAUUUUCAAUAAUUAAUAGGCUAGACUUUCCUUGGUUUUACCUCAAGGGUAUUAUUGUAACUAGCUUAGGUUAGUUUAUCUAUUAUUAGAAAUAGUAGAAAGUAGGGUUUAUUUUAGGAGUUGGUUUGGAAUGAACAUUUUAUGUUUAGGCUUCUUUGUGAGUUUGAAGAAACCCUCAUAAAUGUUCAAUUGAACCCUCUUGAUUACUUAGGUUAGUCUUCACUUGUAUGAGUUCAAUUUCAUUUCACCCUUAGAUUUUAUUCUAGUAAUUAAAUGUCUUUUAGUUGCUAGACCGUCCUUUUUGACUUCUAAAUCUCUGUCUUUCUUUCUGUUUCUUAAUAGUAUAUUUUGUUUGCUUGAUUGCGGUUCACUUUAUUGUUCUUGCGUCUAGAAUUACAUCAAUUGAUAUUUCUCCCUCUUCCUUUCUAUUUCUAAACCAUAUAUAUUGCUUUCUUGAUUGUGGUAUUAGGUAAGUCUAUCCUUCAAGGCAUAAAUAGCAGAAGUCCCUAGAUUUUUGCCACCACUGGAAAUUGUACUUGAUACCUUAUGGUUCUCAACUUACUUCCUUGACGACCAGGUAAUGUUUUGAUUGAAUGCUAAAAAAAUAUAUUUCUGAUGCAAAAGGAAUUUUCCUCUAGUGAAGAAUAUAUUGAAUUGCCUUUUUAUUAUGUUCCAUGAACCCUACUAUUCUAGGUAGGUAUUAAUUGAAUUUUGGUGCACCUCCCAUCUGUGAAUUUCUUUAUGUCUUCAGGAUUUAAUUAUUAGAUUAAGGUAGUGUAGGGAUUGGAAGUAUAACUUAUACAUGUCACCUAUACAUCCAUUCCUCCUCGCCUUGAUCCAAAAAAAACCAAGAGAAUUGACCCCAACUAGCUUAGAAUUGACACAUAGUUGUUGUUUAUAUCAAUAUUUUUUUGACAAAUACCUUUAUCAUAACUUCCACAUAAUGACUAAUAAUGUAAACCUUUUAUACUAGUAUGAUCAAUAUAUUGCUAGCUUUGAUAUUUGCUUAAAAUUUGCUUAAUUUGGUAUUUAAUUACUUAGCAUUGGGUGAUGCAGUGGGUGUGCAUUAGUUAGUAUUGUCCAGAUACCUAAUGCAAAGUGUCACUUGGCUUGGACCACAGUGAUCCAUAACUUAUGUAAAAAUAUAGGACAUAAAAGAAAACUUGUUAGCAUUGUGUGUUGCAGUGAGUGUGCAAGAGUUAUUAUUGUCCAGUUACCUAAUGCAAAGUGUCACUAGGCUUGAACCGCAGUGAUCUAUAGCCUAUGUAAAAAUAUAGGACAUAAAAGAAAACUAAUAAUCUUUUUUCUCUAUUAAAGUAUUUGGGCGACCUAUUAAAUGUUGAGACAUUUUAUACUAGAAUUUUGGUAAUUUGAAUGAGUAUGAUUUGCGUACAUUGACAACAAUGAUAUUGAAACCCAAUUUAAACUUGUCCUAAGCUAGAAAGCGUGUUGAGCUCGUUAGGGAGGAUGUUCCCACUAAUGGUGACUUUCCAAAUUGUCAUACUUUUCUUGAGGAAGUGUCUCAUCUCAUAGAGUUUCACAAAUUUUUGGUGUCUAUAAAUUCCCUCUACUUCAAGGCUUGUGGGAGUGUAAACUUGAUAAACUUGAUAAACUCAAAGACGAGACUUGAAGUACUCACAAAAAUGGAGUUUCAAUCUUUGCGGUUUGUGGCUUCAGAUUCACAUUUGAUUUGUGAGAGAGGAGAUAAAGGGUAAAUUGGGUCACACUGGGCGUGCCAAUUUAUUUGCAAUAUUUUUUCUCAAAUACAAAAAAUAUAUUGCAAUCACAUAAUAAAUAAAAAAGAAUGACUUUAUUCAUAAAGAUUGUGAGUACAAAUAUGUUUAUCCCUUGAUUCCUUUCUAUUAAGAUUUCUCCGUGAUUCAAGGGAUGUUAGUGUCACUCAAACUAAAGAUGAUGUGGACCUCCUUAGGAUUUAUUUGAUCUCCGUGAAAGGAUUUUAUGGAUCUUGUUAAAACAUUUGGUUGUGAAGAAGAGUGCACCCACAUCUUGAUUACUUUAUGAAUAUUCCAUGAAUAUAUGAAAUUUUAGAGAUGCCUAUUCAAGGAAAUACAUUACACUUUAAAUAAGUGUGAGCUUGAGUUUAGGGUAAGUAGUCUCCAAGAACCUUAAAUGAAAUUGGACUCAUCUUGUAGAGUCCUGCAUAAUUUUGAUGUAUCACAAAUGUCGAAUUCUUGUCCCAUGAUUUUUUUGGGUCACAUAGUUCACUUAACUGUCUUGUUGGAUAGAGUUUUAUUGUUUGAUCGACUAUUCCAGAAGAGGUCUUGUAAUACCCCGGAAAUUCUAUGACUUAAGUUAGAGCCUCACCUUAUGAACAUUGACUUAAAAAUAGUUAAAAUGAUGUUUCUAAACCUUAAGUAAUGCAAUUGACUUGGUUUGGAAGAGUAGAAGUCUAAACGUCAAGAAACGACCACGACGUCCGGAAACUAGAGAAGAUUGUGUUCUAGUGUGUCCUUAGGUUUUGGGCAGGUUUGGGAGUGUCGUAUGAUGGUAUAAUCUGGUGAAAAGGUUUAAAAUAGGUAAAUAUAUGUUCCUAGGGUCAAAACGUUUGAAUACGACUCCUCGGGACCACACUAAGGGGCCCCGAGGAGGACCCCAACCUUGGCCAAGCAAGCUGUCGAGGCAGAUUGCAAGUUGUGCAUAGAGGGAAUGAGGGCGCGUCGCGCACUUGCUCCCCCAAGGAGAAAAAAUUCAGUUCGCGAUGAGGUCGUGUCGCGGACUCUACUGUCUCGAAAUUUAAUUCCAAAUAUCUUCAGGGAACAGCUCAAGUCCGCGACGAAAAUGCAGAAAUUCAGAAAUAUAUUUUUACUUCAUUAAAGAGUCCAUUUAAGUGAGGGGUAUUUAGGGUACUUUAGGGGACGUGUAUAUAAUGAUUUUUAAGUCAAUUUACCUCACUUUAUCACUCAAACACAAAACCCCAAAGAUCUAAACCUAAAGUUCAUCCUUCUCUCUACUCUCUCUCUNNNNNNNNNNNNNNNNNNNNNNNNNNNNNNNNNNNNNNNNNNNNNNNNNNNNNNNNNNNNNNNNNNNNNNNNNNNNNNNNNNNNNNNNNNNNNNNNNNNNNNNNNNNNNNNNNNNNNNNNNNNNNNNNNNNNNNNNNNNNNNNNNNNNNNNNNNNNNNNNNNNNNNNNNNNNNNNNNNNNNNNNNNNNNNNNNNNNNNNNNNNNNNNNNNNNNNNNNNNNNNNNNNNNNNNNNNNNNNNNNNNNNNNNNNNNNNNNNNNNNNNNNNNNNNNNNNNNNNNNNNNNNNNNNNNNNNNNNNNNNNNNNNNNNNNNNNNNNNNNNNNNNNNNNNNNNNNNNNNNNNNNNNNNNNNNNNNNNNNNNNNNNNNNNNNNNNNNNNNNNNNNNNNNNNNNNNNNNNNNNNNNNNNNNNNNNNNNNNNNNNNNNNNNNNNNNNNNNNNNNNNNNNNNNNNNNNNNNNNNNNNNNNNNNNNNNNNNNNNNNNNNNNNNNNNNNNNNNNNNNNNNNNNNNNNNNNNNNNNNNNNNNNNNNNNNNNNNNNNNNNNNNNNNNNNNNNNNNNNNNNNNNNNNNNNNNNNNNNNNNNNNNNNNNNNNNNNNNNNNNNNNNNNNNNNNNNNNNNNNNNNNNNNNNNAUUUCGGUGCUGGAACUGAUGGAACCUUGCUGCGUUCUUGAACUAGGGUUCUUGACCUUUUUCUCCUCUCUUGCUUCUAAUUUUCUAAGUUUUGAUUAAUGAUUUUGACUAAGGUAAGUUGUAGUUAUGUUUCUAGGCUUAAACUGAUUAAAAUCUCAUGAUUUAGGGUUUAAACGACGUAUCUUAGGGGUUAAACGAAAUAGGAAAAGACCAAAAGACCCCUGAAUGAACUGCUGUCGGAGUGAUCGACGGAUUGGAUUGACGGGCCGUAGGUCAAUCGACGGUCCGUCGAUUGGAGUCGUCGAUCGAGUUUGCCUGACAGGGCUUCACUAAAACGAGCAUAAACUUUUUACUCGGAGGUUGAAAUUUAGUAAACUCGGUGGCGUUGGAAAGAUAAUUCAAUUAUCUAUCAUAUAAUAGGUCAUGGGACACACAAUUACUUUUUGGAUAAAAGUUAUGACCAUCUGAAGUUGACCAAUCAAUAAUCUUCAUCUAACUGACUGUUGACCCUCAUCUACGGUCAGACCUACGGACCGUGGAUCGAAUGAUGGUUCGUGCUGGUCGACCGUAGUUUGUGUCAGAGGCUGGGUAAGGGAAGUCUUGAUCCACGGACAGAGACCACGGACCGUGGUCUGAUCUACGGACCGUGGGUCUGUCCGUGAGUCGGGACUUAGCCAAUUUUCUGAGCUGGGUCUGGGAGGGGUUUCAGUGUUGAACCAUGGACCACCAGCACGGGCCGUGGUCUGACCUACGGUCCGUGGAUGGCAACCGUGGGUUGCACCUGAAACUUCUCAAAAUCUGCAUUUUUGGUCUGUUUCGAAUACAGGGUGUUACAAUUUAAGUGAAGGGUAUAUAGGGUACUUUAGGGGACGUGUAUAUAAUGAUUUUUAAGUCAAUUUACCUCACUUUUAUCACUCAAACACAAAACCCCAAAUAUCUAAACCUAAAGUUCCUCCUUCUCUCUACUCUUUCUCUCUUCUCAAGAACUCCAGUGAAGAAGAUUGGAACUUCAAGAAGAAGACCAAAUCUCCAAGGUUUCAACUCGUUUUUUUAUCACUCUUGGAAUUUAUUUCCCCAAGAGGCCCCUUCAAGAUGAAUUUCAAAAUCUCCAAUUUCUAGGUUUCAAUCCAAAAACGUGGAUCUUCUUUCUAAAGUGAAAUUGAUGUUAUAAACUGAAUUUGAUUGAUUUUAUAUGAACAAUUAUGGAUGAAUUUAUGUUGUAUUGGUGGUUUCUUGAAGAAUUCCCCAUGAGACCCAUGUUUCUCCUUUUUUCCUAAUUCUAACCCUAGUUUGUGUUGGUAUAUUGAUUGAAGGCUAUGAAUUGAAUGUGAUGUUAUGUAAUUCAUGUUUGUAUGAUGAUUCUACCCUAUGUUAUGUAUAAUUUCUAUGAAAUUAGGUUGAGUCUUGAAUGAAGCCUUGAAGGCUAUGAAGGGAAUAUGUCAAUUGCUUAUAUUGAUGUUGAUUAUGUUAUUACUUCAUGAAUUACCUUGUAUUAUGUAUUGGUUAUGAAUUGCUUGGUAAUUGAAGUAUGGAUGUCCCACGAAGGGCAAGAAGGUAUGAAGGUUGGUUCUUCUUUGAACUCAAGUAUGAAAGGUGAAUUACUUAGAUUGUAAUGAUGAUAUACCUAAUGUGUUGUUGUGGUGUUGAUGACCUAGUUUUUAACCCUCUACACUUGAAUUAGCUAUGAAGUAUGUAUGUAUAUUAUGGUAUGAUUGCUAUAUGGAUUGGAAGGUAGUUCUCAUGAUUGUAGUGUAAUGAAACUGAAAGGUUGACUCACUUGCUAAGUGUUUCUAAAGUGAAAGGAUUGUUACUCACUUAUGAACACAUAUGAGCUAUUAUGAUAAGAUGUCUACAUAAGAGUCUAGUAAAGGCUAAUGUGAACUUAUGUGAUGACUAAAGAUGAUUACAAAGGGGAAUCAGAUGCUUAGCACCGAAAGGGCAAUGUAAAUGAGAUGGGGGUCUCACGUUUAGUAAGUCCGGCUCCCCACAUGGGUUUCCUCACGUUUAGCAAGUCCGGAUUACCCACGGUAUGUGUUGUCUCAUGAGAUGGAAACCCCCACGUUUAGUAAGUUAGGAUUUCUAGAAGCAAUCUCCUUGACCCUUAACUAUAUGCCCACAUAGGACUCUAGCUUAGUAGAUCCACCUAGAUAGCUAUGUACGAAUGGUUACACCUUAGGCAAGUGUUAACCCUCUCUUUUCGAUGUGNNNNNNNNNNNNNNNNNNNNNNNNNNNNNNNNNNNNNNNNNNNNNNNNNNNNNNNNNNNNNNNNNNNNNNNNNNNNNNNNNNNNNNNNNNNNNNNNNNNNNNNNNNNNNNNNNNNNNNNNNNNNNNNNNNNNNNNNNNNNNNNNNNNNNNNNNNNNNNNNNNNNNNNNNNNNNNNNNNNNNNNNNNNNNNNNNNNNNNNNNNNNNNNNNNNNNNNNNNNNNNNNNNNNNNNNNNNNNNNNNNNNNNNNNNNNNNNNNNNNNNNNNNNNCUUUGAAUAGGGUUAUGGAGUUCUAUUCUUUGCAUUUCACUUGUAUUUCUUGGGCUGUCUACGUGUUGGGAUGAUAUUAUGUUGGUUUGGACUAUGAUACUUAAUUUGUGUGCAUAUUGGAUUAUUUGGCAAAAAACAUGUUUUGAAUAAAAUGUUAUUUUAUGCAUGUUUCAAUGGUUUUUAUGCAUAGUAGCCAUACUUAGUACGUGUGUUGUACUAACCCAUAUUUUCUCCCUUUUCCCAAACAUUUAGAUUCGGGCCGUUGAGGAUUCAAGCUUACUUCUCAAGACACUUGGAGUUGCUUCCCCAAGUUGGUGAGUCCUCAAGUCCGAGGACAAGACCCUAUGAUCUAGCUUCUAUGUUUAGUUCUUUGCUUAUGUUGAAACACAUUGUUGUACUUUCUAUUUUCAAGACUUCUUAUUGAUGUAAGGGCUAAGUCCCAUUUUCGAUACUUCUAUGUCUAGAUGGUGCAUUGUGAUGAAGUUAGAUUCUAUUUUUCAUAUAUGAAGUGAAGUUGAACUUCCAAAGUAAAAGUUUUAAACUUUCCGUGAUUUUAUUCUAUGAUACAUGUUAUGACGAAUGCUAAGGGCUUGUAUAAGACCUCUUCGAGGUCAAAUACGCCGGUAACGACUAGGGGGUGCUCUCGGGUCGUUACAGGUCUUAUGCUUAGAAAUGUAGUAUCUUUAUAGAAGCCAGUAUCAACAAAGAUCACACUCUAGCAAAGGACUUAAUAAUAUCUCCAAGCACAUUUGGGAAAGUAGUUUCACUCUCCCAUUCAAACGUGGACACAAGAUCCAAUUUCUCAAAAUCCUCAACUGUACAACAUAUAUGUAUUUGAAUAUUUGGCAAGGCAUGAAGAAUGUGCUUAUGCAUGCUAGCCUUAACUGCAGAUUGAGCAUAACAUUCAUUAUUUACAAAAGUAGACGUCAAAUAAGUAAUUAGUCUAGGAUUCAGUAUCGAAUAUUUGAAAUAGAGAUGUGUUGUAAUAACAUAACCUAGCACUACAUCUCCAAGAAAUUCCAAGUGCUAAUAACAUCUUGGUAUCUCAGGUAGCAUGUAAGAUCAGUGAGUGAGCACUUUAACAAGCAAUGAAGGGUCAUGAAACUUGUAAUGUAGCAGUGAUUUCCAAGUACCGUACAUUGACUAGCUUCUCAGCAUUCACGAGGAAGUGCCUUAAGUUCCUUAGGAUAAGUGCAUCAAUAAAAUCAAUGUCCAUCGCAAUCCAUUUCAUAAAUGAUAAAGUUGCUACUUCCCCGCCUGAGCUGAGGUAGGCACCUAUUAGUGCCUCAACCACAUCAGCUACACUCUUGCUUAUAAUCUCCUACUUUACCCUACUAUACUUUUUCACCGAAGGCAAACUCUUUGCCAAAGCUUUAAACUUGAGAAUUAUCAUUAGGAAUGAGCCCCAUUUUAUGAUCGAAUAGUUCAUUAUGGAUAAAUCUCAGAAUUUUACGAGCACAUCUAAGCUUGAACAAUGUAGCAUUGAAAAUGAUUUUAUUUUUCUUAAUGCUGAAAAGGCCUUCAUGAUGAUUUUCAUAAGUCUUAAACAGCUGUAUACUGAUAGCAUCUUUGAGAAAAGAGUCUCCAAGUUACCCAAGUGAUUCCAAAUGAAACUUCUGGAGGCAUUUCUUUGUUGUCAUCACUUCCAAAACCUUAGUAGUUGGGAUAAAAAGUUUUAGUUUGCAGUGAUAAAAAAGAAUUCUUUUCAAUUUUAUUCGGCAGGAUUUCUUCCUCUAUAAAGUCUAAAGGUUCUAGCACGGCAGAUAGUUAUUGGCGAAAUAAUCUUAACUUUGAGAAUCUUAUAAAUUCUAAGGUAUACACAAAUGGCAGUGAAUUUGUUUGGGUGAAGUGUAACAGAUUCACUGCCAUAUGUGUAUACCUUAGAAUUCAUAAGAUUCUCAAGGUCAAGAAUCUUUCGCCAAUAACUAUCUGUCGUGGUACAACCUUUAAACUUUAUAGGGGAAGCAAUCAUGCUGAAUAAACUUGGAAAGAAAGCUUUUGGAUCACUACAAACUAAAACUUUGUAUCCCAACUUCUAAGGUUUUGGAAGUAAUGAAAACAAAGAAAUUCCUCCAGCAGUUUCAUUUGGAAUAACUUGGGAAACUUGGAGACUAUUUUCUCAAAUGUGAUGGUAUACAACUGUUUAAGACUUAUGAAAGUCAUCACGAGGGUUUUCUCAGAAUUAAGAAAAAUAAAAUCAUUUCCAAUGUUACACUGUGCAAGUUUGGAUGUGCUCGUAAAAUAUUAAAAUUUAUCCGUAAUGAACCAUUCAAUUUUAAAGCAUGAAUCAUUCCUAAUUCUCAAGUUCACUACUUUGAUGUGGUUGUAGGCCAAGGAAAACGAUUAGAAAUAGUAAGAAGUAGUUGAUGUGGUUGAGGUACUAAUAAGUGCCUACCUCAACUCGUGUGGGGAAGUAGCGGCUUAAUCAUUUAUGAAAUGGAUUUGGUUGCACAUUGAUUUUGUCGAUGCACCUAUGCCAAGACACUUCACUGUGUAUGCUGAGAAGAUAGUUAAUGCCUGGUACUUUGAAUCCCUGCUACAUUACAAGAUCCAUGAUCCUUCACUGCUUGUUGAAGCUCUAACUCAAGGAUCAUACAUGCUACAUGAGAUUCCACGAUGAUAUCAACGUUCAGAAUUUCUUGGAGAUGCAGUGCUAGAUUAUGUUUUUACAACACAUCUCGAUUUUAAAUAUUCGUACUGACACCAUGUCUAAUUACUGAUUUGAGGUCUGCUUCUUUAAACAAUGAAAGAUAUGCUCAAUAUGCAGUUAAGGCUGGCCUGCACAAGCACCUUCAUCAUGCCUUGCCAGAUCUACAAAGGCACAUAUGUUGUACUAUUGAGGAUGUUUGAGAAAUUGGAUCUCGUGUGCAUGUUCGUAUGGGAGGCUGAAACUACUUUCUCAAAGGUGCUUGGAGAUAUUGUUGGGUCCGUUGUUUGUGCAAUCUUUGUUUAUUCUAGCUUCAAUAAAGAUAUUAAUACAUUUCUAAAGAUAAGACCUCUUCUGGGACUGUUGAUUACACCUCAAACAAUAAAACUCUAGCCAACAAGAGAGUUAAGUGAACUAUGUAACCAGAAACAUUAUUUAAAAAAGAAAUCAGUUUCUUUAUGAGAUAGGAACUCGACAUUUGUAGACAUCAAAAUUGUGUGGGACUCUACCAGAUGAGUCCAAUUUCAGUUAGGAUUCUUGAAAAGGACUCAUAGCUUACACUAUAUAAAGGGUAAUAUAUCCCUUAGAGAGGGAUCUUGAAAAUUUCAUAAAUUCAUGAAAUAUUUACAAAGAUAUCAAGAUGUGGGUGGAAUGUUCUUGAUAACCAAAUUCUUCAAAAAAAAAGAAAUCCACCAAAACCUCUUUACAUGGAUAUCAAAUAAAAUUCAUUUUAGCUGUAAAUUAUCCUACAAAAGAAUCAAGAGAGGGACAUAAUUGUACCCAAACUGUUAAUUAAUAAAAUAUUCUUGUUUCGUCAUAUUUAUAUUGUGGUUGGAGUUAAUUUUCCAUAUAUAAGAUUUGUUGCAAACAAAUUUUUGUCUCCUAGAAUCCUAACUAAAAUUUAUAAUUUGUUUUGGGGUUUGAUUAGUUCGAUUGGAGUUGAUUAAUUGGUGCGAAUUCAUUCGACAUUGAAGAAAAAAAUGAAUAUUCAUUGAUCAAAUCAUUCACUCCGUAGUCAGAUAGAUCUUUUGUAGAAAUUAAUUAAUCAGACGAGAAUAAAGAUCGAUCAAGUGCCUUUGGGGUCAUCUCAUACCUUCAAUCAGAGGCGAAUCCAGGACUUCAAGAAAACGGGUGCACCAUUGCUUUAGAAGUUCGUUUUUUUUUUUAAAACACCAGUGUUAUUAGUUACUAAAUUUUUUUGAAGUGAAUUGUGGCUGACUGGGAUUGAACUCAGGACCUUGGUGUUAAAAUUUGGCUGUCAAACCAGUGAACCAUCCAGCAACUUUAAGAACGGGUUCAACAAGUUUAUUUAAUAUGUUCUUUAAUAAUUAUACAAGUAAUAUAUCGAGUUUAGUCGGAGGACCACGGGUUCGGGUGACCCAAAUUUUACACAUAAAUUCGCCACUGCCUUCAAUGUAAUAUUUAUCUCCCAAAAGCAUGGAGAUGCACACACAAGAUUUGUUGAAGUUUGACUUAAAAUAAUGAGAAUGACCUCAAACAGUAUAAUAGGCAUUGUUCAUAUAUAUAUGAUGACUAAAUUUUAAAUAAUUAAUAGGCUAGACUUUCCUUGGUGUUAGCUCACGGGUAUUAUUGUAACUAGCUUAGGUUAGUUUAUCUAUUAUUAUAAAUAGUAGAAACUAGGGUUUAUUUUAGGAGUUGGUUUUUGAAUGAACAUUUGAUGUUUAGGCUUCUUUGUGAGUUUGAAGAAACCCUCAUAUCUGUUCAAUUGAACCCUCUUGGUUACUUAGGUUAGUCUCCACUAGUAUGAGUUCAAUUUCUUUUCACCCUUAGAUUUUAUUCUAGUAAUUAAAUGUCUUUUAGUUGCUAGACCGUCAUUUUUUACUUCUAAAUCUCUGUCUUUUUUUCUGUUUCUUAAUAGUAUAUUUUGUUUGCUUGAUUGUGGUUCACUGUAUUGUUCUUGCGUCUAGAAUUACAUCAAUUGAUAUUUUUCCCUCUUCCUUUCUAGUUCUAAACCAUGCUUUCUUGAUUGUGAUAUUCGGUAAGUCUAUCCUUCAAAGCAUAAAUAGAAGAAAUCACCUACAUUUUUGCCACCGCUGAAAAUUGUACUUGAUACCUCGUGGUUCUCAACUCACUUCCUUGAUGACCAGGUAAUGUUUUGAUUGAAUGCUAAAAAAAUAUAUUUCUGAUGCAAAAGGAAUUUUCCUGUAGUGAACAAUAUAUUAAAUUGCCUUUUUAUUAUGUUCCAUGAACCCUACUAUUCUAGGUAGGUAUUAAUUGAAUUUUGGUGCACCUCCAAUCUGUGAAGUUCUUUAUGUCUUCAUGAUUUAAUUAUUAGAUUAAGGUAGUACGGGGAUUGGAAGUAUAAUUUAUACAUGUCACUUGUACAUCCAUUCCUCCUCGCCCUGAUCCAAAAAACCAAAAGAAUUGACCCCAACUAGCUUAGAAUUGACAUGUAGUAGUUGUUUAUAUCAAUAUUGUUUGACAAAUGCCUUUAUCAUAACUUCCACAUAAUUCCUAAUAAUGUAAACCUUUUAUACUAGUAUGAUCAAUAUACUGCUAGCUUUGAUAUUCACUUAAAUUUUAUUUAACUUGGUUUUUAAUUACUUAGCAUUGGGUGUGCAUGAGUUAUUAUUGUCCAGAUACCUAAUGCCAAGUGUCACUUGCCUUGGACUACAAUGAUCCAUAGCUUAUGUAAAAAUAUAGGACAUAAAAGAAAAUUUGUUAGCAUUGUGUGUUGCACUGGGUGCGUAGGAGUUCUUAUUGUCCAGAUACCUAAUGCAAAGUGUCACUUGGCUUGGACCAUAGUGAUCCAUAGCCUAUGUAAAAAUUUUAGGACAUAAAAGAAAAAUAAUAAUCUUUUUUCUAUAUUAAAGUAUUUGAGCGACUUAUUAAAUGUUGAGACAUUUAAUACUAGAAUUUUGGUAAUUUGAAUGAGUAUGAUUUGCGUACAUUGACAACAAUGAUAUUGAAACCAAAUUUAAACUUGUCCUAAGCUACAAAGCGUGUUGAGCUCGUUUAGGAGGAUGUUCCCACUAACCGUGACUUUCCAAAUUGUCACACUUUUCUUGAGGAAGGGUAAUCAUCUCAUAGAGUUCCACAAAAUUUUGGUGUUUAUAAAUGCCCCCUACUUCAAGGCUUGUCGGAGUAUAAACUUGAUACACUCAAAGGCGAGACUUGAAGUACCCACAAAAAUGGGGUUUCUAUCUUUGUGGUUUGUGGCUUCAGAUUUUCAUUUGAUUUGUGAGAGAGGAGAUGAAGGAUAAAUUGGCUCACACUGGGCGUGCCAAUUUAUUUGCAAUAUUUUUUCUCAAAUACAAAAAAUAUAUUGCAAACACAUAAUAAAUAAAAAAGAAUGAUUUUAUUCAUAAAGAUUGUGAGUACAAAUAUGUUUAUUCCUUGAUUCCUCUCUCUUAAGAUUUCUCCGUGAUUCAAGGGUUGUUAGUGUCACUCAAACUAAGGAUGAUGUGGACCUCCUUAGGAUUUAUUUGAUCUCCGUGAAAGGGUUUUAUGGAUCUUGUUAAAAUAUUUGGUUGUCAAUAAGAGUGCACCCACAUCUUAAUCACUUUAUGAAUAUUUCAUGAAUAUAUGAAAUUUUAGAGAUGCCUAUUCAAGGAAAUAUAUUACACUUUAUAUAUGUGUGAGCUAGAGUUUAGGGUAAGUAGUCUCCAAGAACCUUAAAUGUAAUUGGACACAUCUUGUAGAGUCCCACAUAAUUUUAUGUCUCAAAUGUCAAAUUCUUGUCGCAUGAAUUUUUUUUGGGUCACAUAGUUCACUUAACUGUCUUGUUGGAUAGAGUUUUAUUAUUUGAUCGACUAUUCGAGUAGAGGUCUUAUGCUUAGAAAUGUAGCAUCUUUAUAGAAGCCAGUAUCAACAAAGAUCACACUCUAGCAAGGGACUCAAUAACAUCUCCAAGCACAUUUGGGAAAGUAGUUUCACUCUCCCAUCCAAACGUGGACACAAGAUCCAAUUUCUCAAAAUUCUCAACAGUACAAAAUAUCUGCCUUUGGAGAUCUGGCGAGGCAUGAAGAAUGUGCUCAUGCAUGAUAGCCUUAACUGCAGAUUGAGCAUAACAUUCAUCAUUUACUUGAAAUAGAGAUGUGUUGUAACAACAUAAUCUCUAUUUGAAUCAGUCUUGGAAUCAGUCUCGAAUAUUUGAAAUAGAGAUAUGUUGUAACAACAUAAUCUAGCACUACAACUCCAAGAAAUUCCAAGUGCUAAAUGCAUCGUGGAAUCUCAGGUAGCAUGUAAGAUCCGUGAGUAUAAUGGACAAGUAAAGAUGGACGGAGGGAGUAUUCCCUAUACUGAAAAUAAAUGUUUCAUUUUACUUGUUCAUUGUCACUAAUCAAGAUAGUGUUUUUAUGCUACCCAUAAUAUUAAAUAACCACAUAAAAUAGUAGAGUAUUAGUCAAAUUUUAAAUUUUCAGAGCACUAAUAAUAAGGUUAGUUUAACACUUUCUUGUUCAGUUUUACUUGUGUACUAUAUUCUAAAAUUUAUUUUCAUUCAAUAUAUUCAGAUUCUUCUCAGAAUAAUGUGGUUCCUAGUCCUGCUAUGAGUGUGGUGAGUCAGGAAAAAUCAAUAGAGAUUGCUUUAGACUUAGAGCGGGAGACCGACAUUAACAGUGUUUUGUAAAGCGGUCACUUCAUUUCUAUUUUUAUAAAAAUAAAAAUUGACAAUUUUAUUUUAAAAAAAGAAGUGAGUAAAAUUUCCAAAUUCAGCUUGGAAAAAAUGAACAAUUUCAUAACAAAACACUAAUAUGGUAAAAAAAUAAAAUAUGUUAUUUUAAGAAACGUGAAUACAACUUUUUUCGUUUUGCCACAUUCGCAUUAGCUGGUCUUGAUUCAUUUAAUUCAUAUUUGACCAAAUAAGAUUUUUACCAAAUAUAACCACUACUAAUUAAUGCAAGGUAUGCCCAUUUUAAGAAGAAAAAAAUGGAUUAUAAAUUUACCAAGUGAUUUAGUUACUUUGAAAAACUCUAAACCUUCUUUAGAAAAUGGAGAAAGUUGAAGAAGAUAUGGUGUUGGCAUGUUCAGUGUGUCGCCAUGGAUUAGAAAAAUUGGGAAAUGGUGGCUGCCGAAUUCUCAGAUUCCAUUUCCAAACGAUUUCGAUGUAUUCUUCAAUAUACCCCUGUAGAAUGUCAGGUCAAGUACGAAAGUUUAAAAGGGCAUUUUAAGAGUCUAUAUCAGACAAAUUUUAUUGAAGAAGAAGAUGAUGAAAGUGGAUUCAUAAAUUUGAUGGCAGAUAAACUUACAAAGACUUAUAGAGAUUAUUGGACAAAGCAAGUCAAACUAGGAGAUACUCCAAUUCAGUAUGAUUUAUCUUUUUCAUAACUCCCUCUUUUUUCCCUUUCCAUGUUUUUUACUUAUGAUAUUUGAAGAAUUAUGCGUUUUCACUAAUUUUUUGUUUGAUCCACAUUUAUAUGAUGAUUUCUGCAAAAACAAAAUUAUCUAGGAGACACAAAAUAUAUUCAAAGAUAUAUAUCUUUUCUAAAGCUUAGGAAUUGGGGCAUAAAUAAAGUAUCACUAAUUGGUAUAAUCUACACUAAAAUAUUUCAUUUUUUUUUCAAAUAAAGUGUUCUUGAUUCCAAUUUUAUCAUUACUACAAAAAAAGGAAGAGAAAAGAAUAACCACUAUCACUAAACAUCAAAACUACAUUGUUAAUAUAUUUAGGACAAAAUGUCAAAUAAUAUUAUUAGCUAUAUACUUUUUAACGACGAAUUUCAUAACUAAUUAAUGUUUUUCCUUAUAAAAAUCACUAAUUGAUAGUUAGCUUUGAUGAUUGGCCCCAUAUAAUUAUUUAUUAGUUUUGUACUUUUAUUGUCCAAAUUAAUGUUUGUAAAUUUAUUUUUUUGGUACACUGAAAAAUAACUAAAAAGGAUAAAACUAAAUUUUGAUAAGUAAAAUUGCUUAAAUCUUCCAAAAGAAAAAACUUCAUAUUAUUGAUGGCGUCUUUCAAAACCAAAAAUUCUUAUUUAUUUUAAAAUAUAAAACAAAAUUGAGGUUAGGGAAAUGUAAAAUGGAGAAGGGGAUUACAAGGUAGGAGUUGAACCCUCAACUAAUAAAUUAAAAAUUUAAGCUAGUAAAAAAAUAAAGCUACUAAGAUUCUCCAACAAGCAAUUCUUUGUAUGUUAGGAUCUUUAUUUCUCAAAGAGUCUGUACGAUUAUUUGUCAUCUCUCUUCAAAUCCAUAUUUUAUUCUUCUUGAUGGUUUCUAUCAAGUGUUUAUAAUUUUCACCAAUAGCCAUAUGAGGCUGAAAUUAUAUAUCCACUAUUUUUUUUACAAAUCUGACAACAAAAUGGUAAUCUAAUUACUGAUAUCUUUAUUUAUUUUAUGUUUAUGUAGGAAAAAAUCUCCAAAUAUUUUCAAACAGGAAGCUGAAGAAAGAAUAAAGUUAAAUGAGGAAAAGGUAAUGAUAAAUCUAAUGAAAAGAUGGAGAAUAUUAAUCAAGAUUUCAUAAACUUCCUUAAUGUGGUGAGAUCUCACAAGCAUUGUUGUCUUUUUUAAUCUCGACUUCCCAGUUAGGUAAAUACAUUGCUAAUCUAUAUAUUGUGGUUUGUUAUCCUCAUAUUUUAAAUCUCGAUUUCCCAUGUUCUUUCCUCUUUUAUCUAUUAUGAAAAAGAAAUAGUAUUUUCUUAAUUGAAACAUGAUUAGCUUUAAAGUUUACAUCUUUUUAUCUUUAAAGACAUAUUUAAUUUGGCUUAACACAAAACAUAGAAUUCUGAAACUUGUGGUCUUAAAUACAUUGUAAUAUUUGUGUGACUAUAAAACUUCUGACUAAUGAUAAAAUAGAAAUUUUAUAGCUUGAUUAUUUUUAAAUAUAGACAUAUGCCAUUUAUUUUUAACAGAUUGAUAAUAAAAUAGUGCUACAAUCGGAAAGAAGGGAGUAUCUGACAUGUUUAAUACCAAAGGUCAUUUUUUUUUUUUCUAAACUCGCUGUGAGGUCAAAUUUAUAGUAUAAUCAUCAUAAAACAUGGAUUAUAUAUAUUCCUUAUUAGUGCUAAUGUUUAUAUUUUUUAAGGAAGAUCUAUAUUAUUUUAAACAAAUUAAGCAGCAUAUGGAUUUACAGAUUAUUCAAAAUAAGGUAGAGCAAGAUGUUUAUUCGAACGUGAAAAUCACCAGCUUAUUUAGAGAUCUCUUGUUGAUUUUCAACAAUGCCAUUGUUUAUUACCCAAAUGAAACUCUUCAGUAUUCUAUCGCGCUAGAACUCAGAGCCAAUAUUAUGAGAGAAAUGGGUAAGAAACCCCUAUUUUGUCGCAAAAUUGUGUGUGGAUUACCUGCAGCAUGUAACCCAAUGUUGGCCAACCAAAAAUUGGAGAAAAGGGCAUACAAGGCAUGUAACAAAGCUCAAGAAGGUGAGUCAUCAGCCAGGAGGAGCGUGAGAGUGAGAAAUAAGUUGGCUUGCGAAUUCAAGAACGAUCCGGAUUAUGAUUACAAAGGGCAACAAAGAAGAACAACAAAAAAGAAGAAGAAUAUUUUGGGAAUAAUGAGUGAAGCUUACUAAGAGGUGGUCGAGUUUAUAUGAUUUUUAGGUGUAUUAAAUUUCUUUUGUUUCGUUGUUCUGGUAAUAUUUCACAGUUUAUUAUCAAUGUAGAUUGUAGACUAUAAUUAAUAUCCUAACCCUCGUCAUACGUUUUUUUUAUCUCUAGGUUUUAUGGUUUUCAUCAACCUCUUGUGUUAGCAGAACGUUGGGAGUAAUUGCCUCUUUUUAGUGAUUGAAUGUGGUCAGCCAUGACCAUAACUUCUUAUUGAAACUCUAUUAUUUCACUCAUUAUUCUACCUUUUUAUGCCUUGUAACUCAUGCAACCUUGUUUUAGGCCAUUUAUUUACCUCAUAAUCUUCCUAUUCAUUACAAGGAAGAAUUCUCCCCUUCGGUAAAUAGUGAUGAUCUUACUUUGUUUUUGUGUAUAAGAAAAUAUAGAGUGCAUAAAAUUGAGUAAAAAGAGAAAGUUCUUAUUAGUUGAAGGGGGGUGUUUUUUUAAUGAGCUUUUGACUCAACUCUUGUCCAGUGUAUGUUGAGUUGUACUUUGUGGUCGGGCUUUGUUGUAUCCUAGAGGGAACAAGUCAAGAGGAUUACUACUGGACUGAUGAAAAGAUUUAUUAUCGUGGGCUUGAAUCUUCUUUAAAAGAGUGAGAUAUCCAUGUCUCAUCCUGAAGAUAAAGUUUUUUCUUCAGUUUAUUUUCAAUUGUAAUUUCACCAACAAAAACUAUUUGAUUUUCCCAUAUAAAUUAUAUCAUCCUGUAAUUUUAUUUUUUAAAAAAAUCUGUACUAUUUGAUCAAUCAAAGUACAUCUACGAGUAAAUCUAAAUCUGUUUUCUUGAUUUCUAUUUUUGAAUCGUGUGUCUAGUAGAAGCAACAUUUUUAUCACACAAAUAUAUGUGUAAAAUCUGUGUACACCUUAGCCUCCUCAAACUCACUUGUGAGAUUAUACUGAAUAUGGUAUUCACUAAUAAAAAGACCUGACUUCAAAAGAGGUAUGAAUAAACUCAUCUUUUGAAUUGAGGAUCAAUAAGAAAUAACCUCUUUAUCUCGAAAAGGUAAGGGUAUGAUCUGUGUACAUCCUACCUUCUUAUAUUGAAUAUGUUGUUCGCUACUAAAAAAGGCCUCAAUCAAUCUAAAAAAUCCGACUUCAAAAGUGGUAUGAAAAAACUGACCUCGCGAAAUCAAUUCUUUAAAAAAUAAAAUUCAAAACACAAAAGAAAACGAGAGAAAACUAUUUGUUCAAUUUUCAGUCAUAAACCAUAGUGAUUUUUGCACCCCCCCCCCCCCCCCAAAUUCAACUUAAACUUUGCACCUAAUUGACCCACCAACUCAUUUAAUGAGGACGAGGGAGGGGGUAAGGGGGUAAUGAGUUCCCCCUCCCUGUGGUUGGAAUUUCAAAAAACAAUGGGGCUAAAAUUUUGCAAAAAGAGGUAAUUUUUUUAAAUUUAUUUCAGAAUUUUGAUGGUAAAAAAACUAAGAUUUUUUAUAUAUUCAUUGUUUCAUGUUUUAAUUUUGAUGGAUUUGUUGUCAAAAGCUUGUAUAGCAAAUUUUCAAAAAGAAAAAAACUAUAUUGAUAUGGUGAAACUUCAAAUUUGGGUACCCAUUGUUUAGUCUGUCUUGAUCCAAUCCAUCUCAACAAUAAUAACAUUUGGGAGGGCUAAUCACCACCCGAAUUGCCCCAUCUAUUCUAUUGAGAAGGAUGUGGGUUUCUAACCUCGGUACAAACACGAGGAGUACUCUAUGAUAAUGUGUCUUGAAUGAUCCACACAUUCUUGACUGUCCUACUUCUAAGAUAUAAAGUUAUAAAUCAACCACACAUUCGCUAGAUCGCUCAUUUCACCUAAAUUUAGUGAGUUUUCUAGUUUGACGCAUCUUGAGUUGUCGCAUUCAUAUUCUUCAUGUCUAAUCCCUUCAGUUUAUGACUUGGACAUGAGUGAUUGUAAUCUCUCGGGGCUUAUUCGUAAACCUCUAUGGAAUCUCACCACCAUAGAGGCUUUGGACCUUGGUAAUAACCAUCUUGAAUGACCAAUUUCCGAUUUCUUUAGAUUUGGAAAGCUCAAGGACUUAUCAGUUGGAAAUAACAACUUCGGUGGCCAACUUGAGUUCUUAUCCUAUAACAGAAGUCAUAUACACAACUUGAAUGGCUAGAUUUUUCAUCCAAUUACCUAACCGGUCCAGUUCCAUCCAAUUAUUGGAGAUCUCAUUGGACUUCGUGGGUUGAACUUAUCUCAUAAUGUCUUGGAAACUCAUAUACCAGCGACAUUGCAAAUUUAUUUGUUCCCGAAUCAUUAGAUCUCUCAUCUAACAAAAUCAUCUGAGAAAUUCCCCAUCAACUUGCGUCCCUCACAUUUCUUGAAGUCUUUAGAUCAUUCAAUCGAACUAUAUGUGCCAUCACUAAAAACAUUGUAUUUCAGGCAAUUCUUUGCCAACUAGUAACUAGUCCCAAUAAAAUACUAUAUAUUUUGAUUUAAAUUUGUUCCCUUUUAACCCAUUUCGAGUAUAUCGCCUUGGUGCGACCGUGGAGGAUGUGAUGGCUUCCACAUAGACCCCAAUAUUCUUAAUGCUUCUAUUACCAUGUUUGGUGCCAUGAAAUCCACCAGAUGUACGAUCACGAUCUCCUAUUUGAAAGUUUAAUCCUUUUUGGAGUAUAUCAUCUUGGUGUGAUCAUGGAGGAUGUGAUGGCCUUCACAUAGACCCUUAUACUCUCAAUGCUACUACUACCAGGUUUUGUGCCAUGAAAUCCACCAAAUGUACGAUCAUCUCCUAUUUGAAAGUUGAACUCUUUUAAGUAGAUCUUAAUUUUCCAUGUAUGUGUGCUUCAGUUAUAUAUGACUAAAAUGCAUACAAAAUGGGCCAAAAUUUCAGUCUUGUUUGUCUUUUUUUUAAUGGAAUCAAUUAGGUGAGGUGCAUAGGGCUAGUUUUUCAAUUAAUAAAUAAAAGUGGACCUAAAAGAGAAUAGUACCAGCAACGGGAUCUAGACUUCUUUACUAAUUCUAAUGAGGUAACGAACCUCUACUAAUUAACAAGCAUGAAGAAUAUAAGAGCUAGAAAAAACUAGGUACUCUAUGAUCAUUAUAGUGUUUAUAAUAAACUCUAUGAUGGUGUUAUAAACGAGGAUGCUUAAGUAAUCCAAAAAUAGAAAAAUUAAGAAUAAAGUUGAGUUAUCAACCCCACAGUUCAUUUUAUAUAUGUAUGAACUUAAAAAGAUGUCUUGCCCGUCUAACUUAACACUUCUUUUAUUUCGUCUUCAUCAUCAAAUCUGUCCAACAACUCUUGACAGCUCAUCACUUCUUCUUGAAUUUAUUGGAUGUUGUUGACACUGUUGUAUGAUUUUGUUCUUCUAGUCACAUUGGUAAGUGACUUUUAGAACAAAUUCCUCCAUCACCUUACCAUCCCAACUAUGUCACAUUCCAUGUGUCAUCCUUUUAGUUUUGAAGCUUCCUCUCCUUUGUUGCCUAGGUGAAAGACCCCAUCCUUGGCCACCUUAUCAAAGUGUAUGUCCAGCAUAUAAUCCUCAACAUCACCAUAGAACAUUUCAUUGCCCAAGUUAAUACCAUAAACUGUUGUUGGACUUAUAAUGACUGAAACUACAACUCCUAGCUUAUGACUCUUUGUCAAUUCUUCAAUCCACAACAAGCUCCUCAAUUUGACCAGGUCCGUCACACUUUGGACAUCGCCACCGGGAUCGUUGAGGCCCUGAAAGAAAAUAUGUGUCCACUAUUAGUCAAUGGAACAGGUCCUUGACAGAAUAUCAGUGCGGAAAGUAAACAAAUCAAAGUAAAAAACAAAACGGGAGCUUACAUGGAAACCCCCUUGCUCAAGAGAGGAUAAAACCACGACAUGUCACAUAGGAUUUCAACACAACUCCAUUAUCAUCAAAAGGAUCAAAGAUUCAGAUUACAAACUCUAGUAAUCUAGGAAUUAACCUCUUAAUCCCUUCCCCCUUAAUGUAGCAACUAUGUUACUCAGUUCAGAGCAGCAACUCUAUGGCUCACUAGACCAACUAACUCUAGUCGAUCUAGAAUUUAAGAGCCAGACAUAGCUAACUCUAGCUAUGAUACAAAAUGAUGAGGAUUGAAACUGAUCUAAUUCCUUUAUAACUUAGGAAUAGAUCUUACAAGAAUAAACACAGAAAUAUGAAGCAUAAUAACAACUAAGAACAAAGAUAACUCUAUUAGGUCUCGCUGUUGUUCUUUGAGAAAUAUUUCACUCAAGAAAGGCUUUUGCUUUUGUUAAUUUCAGGAUGCAAAAACUAUGUUGUAUCAUUGGAGAAGAGACUUAUAUAAGAUAGACAAAAAAAAUCUUGAAGCAAUGCCAUUGGCUGAGAGUACUGUUGCUCAGCAAACAGACGUGCACCAACCACAACAGUGACACUGUUGCAACUUUUAGACAAUUGUCCUUUUCAAGUAACGGAACUCUUAGUCUCACCUGGGAUCUGGUUACCUAUUAGAUCCCAAAGUUUGUUAAAUCAUAAAAACUUCCGAGUUAGCUCAAAAUAACAUUUUCUCCUUUUUUGAGGAUGACAAACUUACUCAACUUCUUCUCAUUUUCAUCAGUUCCCCAUAUCAGCAUGACCAUGUCCUCUUCAAAAAACUACUAACAGAUCUCAUACCCUUAACAAUUUCCCCCCUUUUGACGUCAUAAAAAGAGUUAAAGCAGUAAACCAAGUUAACAGAAAUGCAGUUCAAAAAAAUUCAUGGCCGCUUGGACAACACUAAGCAUAAGUAAAAGAUGGAUAAAGUAAUGAGACAAGUCAGCAACAACAAGGUCAUUUUCAUUCAUAAUCAAAGAGGAACAUACAAAACAUUCCAAUUAACAUUACAAACAAGAUCGAGGACAAUACCCACUGAGUUUCAAUGAACAAAAGAGAAAUGAAGGGACUUAUAUUGGAACUUAGGAGGAAGGAGGCUUGGAAGAAGGGGUUUGAAAGAGUAGGGAUAAGCGAGCAUCUACCUCAACAUGGUUCUUUAGAAGUAUCUCAUUGAGCUCAACAUUUUGGUUUCCAUGAAUUCAUUUUGAACUUUCAAGGAGGCCAAUUUUUCUCCACCUGGUCCCUCUAUUUUUGCUAAUUGCACCUGAAUAUGCAGGCAAGCAAUCUCUGCAUUCCCAUUGGCCAGUGUUACUACUAUGGAUUCCAACUCAUGUUUGAGUUGCUCAUGUUCAAUCAAUAGUUCAGACUCCUUGCUCUUGUUCCCUGCCUUUCCUUCAACACUUUCACACUCAAUAAGAGUGUUCAAAGAUAUAGUUUACUUCACAGUGCCUCUUACUCCAUGUUCAAAGGUAAUUUUAAAGUUUUUGAACACCUUUGUUAGCAAAUACUCAUAGCACAUGCCAUGUUUGCCAUAUUUAACAAACAUGGUAUUGUGUAUAUGCUCCAGCAUGAUGGCAGGGAGAUUGACUAACUCAAUUGUGCUCAAGGCUCAAUAAGGAACAAGUCCGCCUUAGAGGAAACAAUUCUCUUUUCACACUUAGGCAACACCGCCUUAUUGAUAAACUCAAAGAACAAUUGAUACUUAUUUUUGAGAUACUCUGAAGGAAUACCUUCAUAACUUUGAUUGAGAAGUUGCUAAUUUCCUGAACAAAUUCCUUUGAUGGGGACUUUUCAACAAUUGUCUGGAUUCCUUCCCUUGGCACUUGCAGAAUUUUCCCCAAAAUCUCCUCAUUCAAGUGGAACCGCAAUAUGCCUACUUGAGUAUUUGGGCUCCCAUAUUCAGUAAAUACCAUCUUGUAGAAGAAUUACCUCACUUAUGAUUCAUGCAGUACAAGCACAUGUUCUGUAAAAAAAAAUGUGUCCAGCUUUGUAUCAUUACAGCAUCAACCAGGCUUCUUAUCCCUGGCUUUGUAUUUAUUUCAAGAUCAAACACACUUCCAUUGAGAACUUUCGGAGUUCUCAAGAUCUUGAUCCUUUCCUCCUUUGUCAAUUCCUUCUCAUCCUUCCUUUUCCUUCCAGAUGAACUUGGUCCCUUGUCAGACUCAUAAUCUGGACAGGAUUCCUACAUUUUCCUCUUCACAGUUUCUUUUUUCCUUCCCUUUGUAGGCAACCUUUUUCCUUUCCUUCUGAUUCAUUCUUCUAUUGUGCUUGACGCUUUCUUAUCCUUGGUUUUUGGUAGGCUUUUUCUUUGGUGCCUCCCAUCUUCUCUUCUCAACUGGAACAACAACAUCUGCAUACACCGUCUCACUUUCUUCCUUAUCUUUUAGAAUUGUCAACCAGAUUCACAUCAGGAACCUAGUCUUCAUCAAUAAUAGAAUGUUUCCUUUUUCUCCGGUUCUCCGUAGUUCAAGUUUUUCUAGACUUCAUCGUAUCACCCAGAGUGGUUCCCCUUGUAUGAUAAGGACUUGGUUUCACACUUUGCUCCUCAAUUACUUUUUCCUUUCCUUUUGAAAACGGAACUCAUUUUCUUUGCAAUUUCCACCGUAAAGGUUGAUCAUUCUUAUUUUCACCCUUAUCAGUAUCAUCAGAAGCAACAGCUAAACCAGUGCCUAGUUCUGAUCAAAUCUGGGUGGAGAAACCAAACCAAGAGAGUUAGAGCGAACACAAUGUGAUCUUCCUUGAAAUAGAGUUUUGCAGUUAGUCUUCAAUAUAUUGGUGUGUGUCUUGACUUGUAGAUUGAGAUCACAAUGUGAUCUUCCUUGAUCAGAAUGUGAUCUUCCUUCAUCUGCUUUCCUAUCUUGGUCGUCUGAUUUUGCUUCUUCUUUUUUGGCUUCAUACGAUCCGAUGUGGUAUCUAGUUAGAUUGAUAUCUGUCAAUUGUUUAGAUUGAUUUGAUUUAAUUAAUCUAUCUCCUUGGGUGAUGCUGCUUAUCAGUCUCAAAAUCUUGCUCCUUGAUUUCAUGCGAUAAGAAUUCAGUUUGUCAUUAUGCAAAAUAUCUCAAGUUAACACUUGUAUCAUCCCUCAUCUCAGUAAGACUUUCAAUAACCCACUCAUCACUUGUAGCAAGAAUAUUCGACCUUAUGAUUUUACCUUCCAACAGAUCUCCGUCGAAGUUUUGUUUAGAUAGGGCGGGAAGAACAUAACCAGGUUGGAUCACAAUAGGGUCAGAGGCUUAUUUCACAGACUGAACCUUUGAGUGAAUAGAUCCCCCAAGAGAAGAUUUUUGAGAUGCAUUUAGAUCUAGGAUAGGAGAACAAACAUGGGAGGUCAUUUUCAAAGAGGGUUCACCACAUGUGAGACUAGACCCUUAGUGGUUGGGGGUUAAAGAUUCUUCUUCUAGGGGUUGAAGGAACUUCAGUAGCAGGUGCAGCUUUUUGUUCGAUAGGAGGCAUGGUCGAAGUAGGGGGGGUUAUGAAGAGGGUUUGUCUAUCUGAUUAACAAACAAAGAGGAGUCGAUUGGAAGCAAAUUUGAAUUUUGGGAGAGAUUGAAGGAAAUGGAGAAUAUAAAAAUUACUGAAAGGGUGUAAGAUCUCCCGAAAGGAAAUGUUGUUUGGUAUUCAAUGAGGGACAAUAGUCAGAUACCUGGAUGACUGCCACAUGGCAAUUGUAAUGGUUCUCUUAAGUAAUUUAAAUGUUGUGUUAAGAAUUCUAACCUUCGAGAAAGGACUAGGUCCCCCCAUAUAAUUUGGAUGUAACUACCCAGAUCUGUCCUGACCUCCCUUUUCCAUCGGCAUACUCACCUUGUGUGUAUACCUACAAAAGGUAUGAGACUGAAUUUACUAAAACAUGCAUAUCUUAAAAAUGAGGAUACAUGCUCUCUUUUUAUAGUCAUGUACGGGUUGAUUUCUUCAUACAUGAUCCACUCAUUCAAGUUUCAGCAUCCCCAACUUUAAUCUGUUUUGUUUUUUUCUUGAACAGGUCCCUACUCAGAGCUUUCAUGAGAAUAUCAACAACUUGAUCUUCAGUCUUGCAAAAUUGCAUACUAAUGUUUCCCUUUUUAACAAUUUGAUUCUUAGUCAUAUUGAGAGCACUUGUAUUUUCCCACAGGAGAGGAAUACUGUGAGUAACCACUCCAAAGUCUCCAAGUUGCUGCCCAUAAGAGUUGUGCACAACAAGCUGCUAUUGUUACAUACUUUGCCUCAGCUAUUGAAAGGAUAAUUUUUUUUUCUUUUUUAGUUACUUAGGAGAUAAGAGAUGCGCCCAGAAAAUGAGUCAUUACUGAGGUGCUCUUUCUAUUAACUUGAUACCCAGCAUAGUCUGCAUCAACAUAUCCUACCAAAUCAAAUGAGUCUUCUGAUGGAUAGAAUAGAACCGGGUCCCUGUCUUCUUCAAAUAUCUUAGAAUCUUCUUUGCAGUUCUCUUACAAGAUUCCUUCGGAUAAGCUUGGAAUAUUGCACACAUUCCGACAUUGAACACAAUAUCACGUCUGCUUGCAGUUAGAUACUCUGUCUCACUGAUUUUUAUCCUAGAGUGACACUUAUUCUGGAUGAAGAACUCUCUUGUGCUACCACGACUUGAUGUUGAAGGUUAGCUUGGUUUGCUCAUCAAAACUAAAACAUGAAAAAAUGAACAUCCAUCUCAUUUUUGUUACUAUCAAAAUUUUGAAAAAACAAAGUAAUAACUACCUCUUUUUCCAACAUGUCGUAUGUUGUGCCUGAUGAAAGCAUUUGGGUUUCUGCUGAAAGAUGUUCAUGGAAACUAAAGAUUUUUUGGGGCGUUUGGGGUUUGUUUCUGAUGAUUACCUCAGAACGGAUCCACCACUUGUUAGAAUUGAGAACAUGUUUGAACAAGUCCAAUCUAACCUUCCUGGGGCACCAAAAUUUCUGUUUGUUUUUUCUUCCCGAGUGGAAAAAUUAGGGCAUAUACAGUUAAUAUAAUAUACUCGUUCUCUUGAUUAGUAGCUAACCUUGUUAAAUCUACCUUAUUUCAACAUCGAGUUAGCUACUAAUCAAAAGAACAAGUACAUUAUACUAACCGUAUAUGCCACAAUUUUUCCGCUCAUGAAGCAAAACAAGCAGAAAUUUUGGUGCUCUAGGAAACUUAGAUUGGACAUGUUCAAACAUUUUCUCAACUCGAACAAGUCGUGGAUCCCUUCUGAGGUAAUCAUCAGAAACAAACCCCAACCCCCCAAAAAUAGUCUUCAGUUUUCAUGAACAUCUUCCACCAAAAACCCAAAAGCUUUCAUUAGACACAACAUAAGACAUGUUGGGAAAAAAGUAGUUUUUACUUUGUUGUUUUAAAAUUUUGAUAGUAAUAGAAAUGAGAUGGAUGCUCAUUGUUUCAUGUUUUAGUUUUUAAGAGAAAACUUUUCUUCUAUGACAUCCGUCCCUUUGUUGGUCUAUAAGUUGCCUUACCUAGCACAUGAUCGAAUAGUUCCCAUAAGAUUUCUAAGGACCGUCGUAAUUUUAAAGUAAUAUAUAUAUAUAUAUAUAUAUAUAUAUAUAUAUAUAUAUAAGCAAUAAAUUUUAACAAAUGUAGUUUAAUUUACAAUGGAACAACUCAAUGUCCAAGACAAUACAUAUAAAAUACAAGACACUGACUCAUUCGUUUUAUCUUUUUAAAUCAUAUUUUUGGUAGAAUAUGUUAUAGGCAAAGACAAGGCAUUUUAACCAGUAGAGGUGACACUAUUUUGCUUCUUCAUUCAAUUUAAGUAUUAUGGAAAUAGCUCAGCAGUCAAGAGGAGACAUACUAAUGCAACUAAGAGAAUAAGGAUGUGUUUCUUUAUUUUAUUCAAUUCAUUAUUGCAUUAAUUCUCUUACAAUGAAUGGCUUAAAUUAUGUGAUGGUGACUUUGAUUCCAUGCAAAUCUCAUUUUGGCAUUCAAUGAUUUUUCUUCUUCUUUGCCCUUGUGUUCACCUAUAUAUCGAUGGUUCAAUUAUUAUAUUGUGACUAAUUUAUUAAAGAUGUUAACUGAGAUCUGCAAUUCAUUUUAAGUUUAUUUUUUCUUUUCUCUUUCUAGUUCUAAUAAAUUUUGGACGACUAGUAACAAGAUCAACAAAAGCUUAGUUUUUUUUCUAUUCUCCAUUUUCUUUAGUUAUCCCUCAAUUGUAUUAGCUAAAUACAAUAUAUUAUUGCAAGUCUUCACAUCUCACACAAACACAAACAAAUGGGUACAUAAACAUAUAUUUGAUUCCUCUUGGCAGAAAAUGUGUGUUCACACUUUUUUUUCCUUCUUGAUUUUGUGGUAAAAUUAAUUUUUUUCAUAUGUUCGAUCUUAAAUUUUGAUUUGUUGUCCAUAUAUAUCAGUGUUAGUGUCUGUGUUUUCAUAGUUUUGUAUGCAUAUAUACUCAGUCUAAUUAAAUUUGAUUUAAGCAAAGCGUAACAAUGAUUGAACAAAAGAUUUCUCCUUUUUAUAGUCAUAAUUCAUCAACGAAUUAAUACAAAUAAAAAAAGAGGAAACAUGUUGUCCAAUCAUUGUUUGUUUUGCUUAAUUCAAAUUUAAUUACUUUGAGUAUAUAUCCAUACACAACAAUGAAACACGGACACUAAAGUGUUGAUACAAGUGUCCAACAAAUCAAAAUCUAAGAAUGAACAUAAGAAAAAAAAUCAAAUUUACCACAUAGUCAAGGUGGCAAAAAGUGAGAACAAACAUUUUCUAUGCCAAGAGAAAUCAAAUAUACGUUUGUGUAUCCUUUUGUGUUUGUUUCUAUGAGAUGUGAACACUUGCAGUAAUUUACCGUAUUUAGAUGAAUAUAAUUGGGAGAUAAAGAUUGAAAUAAAAUAAAAUAGAGAACAGAAAAAACAAACUUUUGUCAAUUUUGUUACUAGACUUCCAAAAUUUAUUAGAACUAGGAAAAAAGAUAAGGAAAAAGAAACCAAAAAAGAAUUGAAGAUCUAAGUUAGCAUGUCUAAUAUAAUAAAGAGAUGCCAAUAUGCUAAUCAAACCAUCAGAAUAUUGGUGAACUCAAGAACAAACAAGAAUUUUUUUUAUUUAAAUGCCAAAAUAUGAUUGAAAAUAGAAUCAAACUCACUAUUACAUAAACUAAGUCCUUCAUUGUUAGACUAUUAACAAACAAUAAUGGACUAGAUAAAAUAAAAAAGCAAAUCUAUACUAUCUAAGUUGUGCCUAUUUGUUUCCUCUUGGUCGGUGUGCUAUUCUCUUAAUACUUACAUUGAAUGAAUUCAGCAACAUUAUUAUUCUAGUGCACAAGUGUAUUUUAGACUAUGUCAAAAUAAUUCAAAUAGUUCCAAAAGAGUUAAUCCAAUAUGUAUUUGAACAAUCAAAUCCACUACUUAAGUCAAUAAAUGUUGGUCAUUCCUAGACUUUGACCAAAUUUAUUUAAAUUAUUUUCUCAAAGUUAAUCAAAUUUCAUGUAUUAUAUCAGUUGAACAAUCAGAUUCACUACAAACUUUAAGUACAGUGUAAAUUAAGAUAGUAUUUUUUUUUCUUUAAUAAAAGACAUUUGUAGUUAUUUUGCUCUAAAAUUGAAGUUUUUUAUUUUCCCUUUUUGGACUCUUUGCCACCUUUCUAUAAACUUUGUAAAUAUAUGCAUUAAUAAAUGUUUGACACACUUAAAACAAUAUAUAUAAAUAGGUCAUUUAAAACAAUCAGUUUAAAGCCUUAGCAACAUUAUAUGAUCAACAAUGGUAACACAAGUAACCUUAUGUUCAUAAGUUUGAUAAGGUACAUUAUAGUUCAUUAAAACAAUAUCGAGUUUUGAUAUACAAAGUGAUUAUACAUCAUUAUGAAGAACUGGCUAAAGAUGUACAUGCUAUUAAGUAUGAAAAUGUUCAUAUAUUUUGAGGCAUAUGAUCAUUUUCAAACAGAAUAGCAUUUAUAUUUUCAGCAGCUAGAUUUCUAAGUUUUGUAAAAAAUGUAGAUCAAAUGUAGUAAUAAUGAGCUACAGAUAAGAAGAAUAGGUAAGUGUUGUUAUCUCCUGUAUUCAGAUUAGCAAAUCAGAAAUAAUGAAAGAUGAUUAAAAUCAACAAGUCUCAGACCAAAAUAGAACGAGCAUAUAAAACAUUGCUAGAUGUCAAGUUGAACAUGGACAUUAAGGGAAAACAAGAAAAUAUCAGAAUGUAAGAGUUAAUUGACAUGAAAAUAAUUAAGCCACAAGUGUAGUGAUGAGUUACAAAUAAGAGGAAUUAGCAGGUUUCGAAGUACCUCAAGUUAGAAUUUUGUCAAGCAUCCGCUCUUCAUUGAUAGUCCGACUUAGAUAUGCAAUAUCUCCUUUUAGACUUAGGGGAUUCAAGAAGGCCUUGGCCAAAAGGAGUUUUAUGAUAGAGGUGAAUUUUAAGGAUCAACAAUUUGACAGAAUAAUAGUAGCUACAAGUGAUAGAAAAAUAGUACUUUAUGGAGAAUAGAAAUUACCUUGAGGCAUGUUAAGAAACUAUCCUUAAAGAUAUAAUUAGGCAUAUCCUCCAAAGAUGCAACAAACUUUUUAAGUGAUUAACUGGAAGCAGAAAUAAUAAACCCAAAUUGGAGAAAGAAGAAAGUAGAUAGAUAAAUUUGACUAUUUUGUGUUAACUAACGUGGUGUAUAUAUAGGUGUUUCUGCAACGGCUAGCUAACGGCUAGUUUGACUACAUUAAAUGUAAUAAAAUAUUUUAAUAAAUAGAUAUAAAAAUAAUAUCCCAAAAUUAAUGUUUUCCCAAACCAAUGAUGCACAUUAACCACCUUUUGAGAUUACACUAAUUUUUCCAACAAGAAGAAAGAUACUUUUGAUAGGUACCCACCAAAGUAAAUCGAAACAUACAAAUGGAAUUUUUUUAUGUACUCUAGUUUUUUUCUAUAAGAAGGAACAAACUUACUAACAAAGAAGGUCCCUAAAAAUAUGCUAAAUUUCGCUCAAGCUAAACAAAUAUUAUAUCAACGAAAUAAAUUCCACAUCUCAUGGUUAGACAUCCAUGUGGCUAAAUUCAGUCACAGCCCAGACACAACAAAACUUUUCAUUCUUGUUGAAAGACCAUGAAGGGGACAAUGUGACAAAAAUCUAAGCUUAGCAUCAUAAAGGAAAGAAAGCUACAAAUUCAACAUAUGUAUUAUGUAUAAAAGAUUAAUAAGAAGAUGACAAUCUGUAUGUUGGGAGAAAAUCUCCCCAUUAACAAAAGUCUCUAAAUGACUAUGUUGUGGAUGCUAUUAUAUUUUAUGUGAGAAGAGUAGUCUUCAAUUUAUAGAGUUCCAAACUUUUCCUUCAAGGAAGGAAUAACCCAAAUAUAGGAUGAAAUUAUAUUUUCCUUUCAGGAAAAAUUAAAGCAUUUAUGGAAAUACUUUGAUUUUCCUUCAAGAGAAAAAUAAACUUCAAAUAAGGUAAGAAAAUCAGAGGAAACUCUAAUAGGAUCUUGGACUAUAAUAGCUCCUCCACACCCCGAACCAUGAUGCUAGGCACGCAAUACUAAGUAAUCCAAUACCAAGUUAAGCAAAUUUUUAAUUGACUAUUGAAGCUAUAAGUAUAUUGAUCAUACUAGUAUAAAAGGUUUAUACAAUUGGGCAUAACGUGCAAGUUAUGAUAAAAGUAUAUAUAUAUAUAUAUAUAUAUAUAUAUAAUAAAGAUCAAUAUAAACAACACUUACACGCCAAUACCGUGCAAAUUAGGGUAAAUUUUUUAUCGGCAUAUAAAUAUCUUAUUUGAUAAAAGAUUCCUAGAAACCUAAUCUUAACUAAUAUAGAUAUUGUGAAAGUGUCAGAAUAUCGUGUUAGCAAUAGAAUAUUAAAAAAUGACAAAAUAUACAUGAGACGCUUUCUUGUAAAUAACAGACAAAAGAUUAGGAUAUCCCAUGAAACAAAGAAUUUCAAUUUAUUGAGGACAAAUAAUGAGGAAAUAAGAAAGAACAAGAAUUAUUUACAAUCCUACUAAAAAAUUUCAUAGUGAGAGACACUAACUACCAUAAGUGGAGUCUUGUGAGAGACUCUAAUUAACUGUAAAACAGAGAGGCGAAAAACAAUUUGGAUGGCUAAACUAACUUUCCCAAAUGUUAACAUAUCGUUCUUCACGACUCCUCUUCCCCAUAGACACAAAUUUUGCAGGAUCAUCACUCAUUCUCUCACCAUUAAUUAAUUCAUCACAAAAUUGCGUAGUUAAAAUGGUCGAAUUCACCGUGUUUGGUCCUUUUUUCUAAGAGAUAGAUUUGAAGCCCCAACAACAAUCUAUUCAUAAUUAGUAAAGAAACAAUAUUACUUUAAAACAAGGUGGAAAAGUUCCACACACAUUAACCAUUGAGUUAUCGAGAGCAUAGUUCUAGCUCAAUAGCAAGAAACCCAUUAGAUUUUUCUGAAACUAGAAAGUUUAAUAGAACACAAAUCACAACAAUGUAUCUCGACUUCCUUAAGAACUAUUCUAGAAAACUAAGAGUUAAAUCAAUGCAUUCUGAGAUUGUCAUUCCAUGUAUCUUAUGUCUUCUACACUACGAUACAUAUGGAAAUAGAUAGAAACGGUCAGUUUAAGUACAAUACUACAACAACUACAACUAUUGCAUCUUAGUUUCAAACAAGUUGGGGUCCGGUUAUAUGAAUCCUCUCAGACCAUGUUUCUUCAUUUAAAUUUAUCUUAUGCAAAAUAUUUUGAGUAUAAUAAACUACACAUAUAUGAGGAAAGAGCAGAUCUUAUAACGCAAUUUUAGACACCUCAAUAUAAGUAACAUUGAAUAUGAAGCUAGUUCCUCGGGUAGAAUUCAUUAGAAGGCAUGAUAAAAGUUCUUGUUUUUACCUUUUAAGGAACCACUUCUACCUCUUUUCAUUAACUGUUGGUAAAAGAAACACAUCCCAAAAGAGUAACAUUUUAGCACACCUAAAAGAAACUUAGUAUGAAAAAGUACCACUAGAGCUUCAACUCAUUUUCUUUUUAAAACCUCAUUUUGAUAUACUUCAUAUAUUGAUGCAGAAUAAAACUUUGUAAGAAAGGAAAAUCUCUAAGCAAUAGCACCCACCAGCCACCAUAAGAUCCUAUUAUUGAAAAAUUUUAACUAGUGUCAUGGAAUUUGUGGAACUCCAUAACUGUAGAUAUGUAAAAUUUAACUCGAGAAUGUCAUCAUGUGUUAGGUAAGGAAACUUACAGAUAUCACUGAAGCAAAGCUUGUUCAUGAAAAUUAAAACAUGAAACAAUGAAUAUCCAUCUCAUUUUUAUCACUAUUGAAAUUCUGAAACAACAAAGUAAAAAUUACCUCAUUUUGCAACAUGUCUCAUGUCUUCACUUGUUGGCCAAUUAAUCUUUGGACAUUGGAUUCUAAAGAAAUUGUAACCAUUAUGUCUUUAUUUUGUGUUCUAGCCUUCUUUGAGAAAUCUCCACUGUGAAGGAGUAGUAGCUUUGUGUCUCCAGUAGUGGGGUGGAGUAGAGAAAGGAUGGAGGGUUGGAGAUGCUCGGGUAGUUAAAAAUAAAAAUUGAGAUAUAAUUUUUUUUGGUGAAACUCAAAAUUCAUUGGUUUGAUAAAGAAACAUUGACACAACCCAAACAACAUUGUAUCAACAUCAAGGGUUUCUAUAAUUUCUCUUCAAAGAAUCACUUGUACAUUGAAACACUAAAGAUUGGUAAUGAAUAACAUCCAAAAAGAGUAUAAGAACGGUAGCAUACUUGUAAGAUAUUAGUUAUCAGAAAGUAAUAUUUAGCUAACCUCUAUAGCUCGCACCUCUAAGUUAAGCUUCAAAAUGAUUCAACUGCAAUUAGAAAACAUUAUUCGAAGCCGACCGAUAUUAAAUGGGUGAAUUUGAUUGAAUUAAAAGGUAUGUGCAAAAAAAAACACAACUUUUAUUUUCAAAGACCUUGAAUUUUUUUAAAACCUCAUCAUUUUGAUAUACUUCGCUUGGGCUAAAGAAAAUUUUGCAAGAAGCAAAGCUUAUUCAUCAAAAUUACGGAUAUCACAAUCAUAGAAGCAAAGCUUUCUCAUCAAAAUUAAAAAAUGAAACAACGAACAACUGAAAUCUCAUUUGUGUUACUAACUAUCAAAGUUCUGAAAUAAUAAGUAAACAUUACCUCUUUUUCCAACAUGUCUCACGUCUUCACUUGCCAAUUGAUCUUGGGACACUGAAUUCUUAACGAAACUUUGUAAAAUCUAUUAGAAAACUUUGUGAAUUUUGAAGAAAGCUUUGUGAAGUUCUUGUCUUCAAUUAGUCAGAAUCGGUUCAGUUACAUUGGAACUUGGAACUGAAUGUUACUUUUUCUUUUUGUUUGAUUCUGAUUUGGUGUGCCCACGUUUUUUUGUUUUUCCUCGAAAUAUAGGGUACAAAUUACUACUCUCUCCAUACGUCUUUAUUUGUAGAUGUUUUAUUUAAUACUCCAUUAAAAAUAAUAAAUAAAAGAAUAAUUUUACUAUAUCACUUUUAUUAAUUAUAAGCUAUUUAAAUAUUGGGGAAUAUAGUAUUUAAUAAUAAUGAUAAAAUAAAUAUUAAAUGGUAAAAUAUCUCUUGAUUUUCCAAAUCGAAUAAGUAAAUUUUGGUUACUAUUUUUAAUAUAAUGGACAAGUAGAGGUGGACGGUGGGAGUAUUCCCUAUACUGAAAAUAAAUGUUUCAUUUUACUCGUUCAUUUUCACUCAUCAAGAUAGUGUUCUUAUACUACCCAUAGUAUUAAACAACCACAUGAAAUAGCAAGAGUAUUAGUCAAAUUUUGAUUUUCAAAGCAUCAUUUAUAAGGUUAGUUUAACACUCUAUUGUUAUCUUUUACUUGUCUACCAUUCUAAAAUUCAUUUUCAUCUUUUCUUGUCACUUUUCACAUAUUAGAAAAAGACAAUUAUUUUUCCAUGUUCUACCCUUAACAUUAAUUACUUAUUUCCCAAAUAAUUUUCCAUGACUUAAUACUAAAUAUAAAUUAAUAGGGGUAAUGUGGUAAAAUAAUCAUGUUAAUCAUUUCUUUUAUAUUAUCAUUGUUUUUGAUUGGGAGUGUAAAUUCCAAAUAUAAAAAGUAAAAGUGAAUGGACAGAGUAAAACACACAUAUGAAUAAAAGCCUGGCUAGGUCGGGUCUGAUGGAGUUUUGGCCUUUACGCUUGUGUGGGGAUUGUCUCAUUCGUUAUGAUGGUUUGGGUUGGUAGGUUUCGAUCGUGAGGACUCGGCUGCAAUCAUGAAGAUCAAUUGUAGCUACUAGUCUGAGUCUGGUAGAGAUGUUUUGAUAUUUGAGUUUGAGCAGGUUAGGGAAGUUUAGGGUCGAUCCUCGCCAUCACUUUGGAUAAGGUUCAAUCUAUAAUGUUGUUGAGUACACGUAGCUUAAUACUCACACUUAUUUAUUUCUAUACCUUUUAUGCAGAUUCAGAGCCAAGUACCUUUGACCUGUGAUCGAUAGUGGUGUUACGAUAAUUUCUCUCAAGAUUCUGAUAUAGCUGCUUGGUUGAUCCGCAUACUUCUUGGAUUUCUUCUAUCCUCUUACUUUAUGUGAAUUUCCCUCCUUUGGAUAAUUGUGAGACUUAUUGAGCUGUACUCAAAUUCGAAAAGGUGUGUACUAGUAUCUCCAAGUUUUGGAUGGUUUUGAAUGGACUUUCCACAUUUCUUCAAAUAUUUUAUAAAAGGAGUUGCUUAUUGACUUAAAUUUUUACCUUUCAUAUAUUUAUGUUUCGUGUUUGGAUUGAGUUGUUUGGGUUGGCUCACCUUUUUGCGUGGUUGAGCGAGGUUUCAUCAGUUUCCUGAUUUCGGGUAAUGAAAAUUUGGUGUCAGAGCACAAAGUUCAUUAGUCUCACAAGUACAAGAAGAGUCUAGUAAAGUCCUGCAAAUCGGUGUCGAGAUGUCUUUUAUCUAUCUUAAAGAGGCUAUAGGACUUUUAGUAGAAUUCCAUUCUUUCUUUCUUAUUGUGCUUACUUGAAUCCAUUGGUUACUAAGAUUCCUUUUUCUACUCUCUCAUAUAUGCUGAGGAUAUGUGCUACCACGGCUAGAGGUAACAAGAUGUAAUGACUUUGAAUGUCAUUUUUGGAAAUUUUUAGAAAAUUACCAUUUUACCCCUUUUGAUAGUUGCCCUGAGUCAUGUUUGAUCGAUUUAUGAAGUUGUUUUGAAAUUUGAUUGAAAACCUGUGAUUUUUUUGGAAGUUACUGAGUUUUGGAGAGUUAAAGUUGUCAAAAGUGGUUUUUUGUAAUAACUGAAGCUAUGAGUAUCGAAAUGAAAUUCCAUCCGUUCUAUCAGCUCUACAAUAUGAAAUUUGGUCUAAAUGUGUUGUCAUUUUCAGUUUUGGAGUUAUUGCAUGGAUUUGAACCUUUAACCGAUUGUGACUUUAGCGACAAUGGGCUCACAGAAGAAAGGCCCACCUCUUGUUGACCUGUAUCUUUUAGCGACUUUGAUGGGCAGCACCUGUAUGGUCUUAAAAAAAUGAUAUGGGAUCAACUUUAUUCCUUAACUUGUUCAUGCGAUUUCUCCCUCGAUAUAGCUCUGAAUUGGGUGGUUUAAAGUUGGUUGUGUUCAGUAAGCUUGGGACUACGCAUUUUAGUGAUCGGGGAGCAUGGUGGACUCUCAGUUUGAGGUAAAAAUUGUGUUUCGAGGGCUGCCAUGGCUUUUUUUCUCUUUAUUGGUGACGUAUUUGCAUGUGUAGAAUUCAAGCUGUUCCGAGCCCUGAAUUGUGUUCCAUUUGAGGACACAAGUUUGGGGUACUGAAUUGGACCCUUUGACAAGUCAUUUUUGGAAAUUCCAGUGUGGGUCUAACGAUUUCCAUCUGGACUCCAAAAUUGGUUCGUCUUUGUUUUAUGUGUUUUUGGUGUCUUCACGGCCGUAUUAGCACUAUGAUACUGUUUUUGGUAGUGUGGCAUCAUUUUGAGGCCAUUCAAAAAGGAAAAGCUCCAAAGUCGUGAUUUGGAGCGCGCACGGUCAGCCUAAAGGUAGGCUACGGCUUUCCUUCUCCUAGAUUGAGCUUGAAUGUGUAAAUUAAUGCUGAUUUGAGUUAAUUGGGGGCAGGUACCUAGUUAUUCUUACUACAUUGCUUAGAAACCGUGUUUUAGGCUUGAUUAGGAGCAUGCCAGUUGGGGUUAUGUGAUAAUCCUUAUCUUGUGGUUUGUCUAGUGUGUUGUUGUUGUUGUAUAUUUGAGAAUGCUUUGGACUUAGUCUAGGCUUAGACAAGGGAUUGCCAUAGACUUGUGAUAUGUGUAGCCUUUCAGGCCUUGUUUCAUAUCUGAGUCGAUUCAGAUGACUUAGCUCCUUGUAUACUGGUGUAGAAGACAUUAGUCUAACCUGAUGAGUCUUAGUUUAGUCAUUUGCCCAGAUUUGAUGACCUUUUAUCCUUCUUCUCUCAUUCUAUGGCCUUGUUGCAAUAUUUGAGGUUUCGUGCUUUAUUGGACGAUUAUGUCUUGGAGUUUGUUUGAUCUUGGAGCGUUUUUCAGAUUACUUGGGAGUGGACGUCAUUCCAAAUUGGUAUUGUUCAUGGUUGUUACGAGGUUCUUCAACGAUCUUGUUGAUGCCCCUGGGUUUACUCUUGCUAGCUAGAUGGGUGCCUCUAGGAGUUUACUGUUGGCUGGGCAGCCCCUGGGUUUAAUCUUGCUAGCUGGGCAGGUGCCCCUGGGAGUUUACUGGCUUGAUGGGGCAGCCUCAUCAUUAUUUUAUGAGGUUUAGAGGCCCAUUUUAUUCUUCUUGGAUCUGUACUCAUCGUACUUCUUUCUUAGUAGUUUAGCUAUUUUGUGUACCUGUCGGGCUUAUGGGGUCUGUUCAGGAUAUUUUAUGUACCUUCUGGGCUUAUGGGCCAGUUAGGUUUAGUUUAGUUGUACUUAGUUCUUUAUGUUUUAGUUCGCUCGUGUGCUUUUCUUUAUAUUCCUUUUUCACCUUUGUUUGUAUCUAGAUUCUAUCUUUUCAUAUUGUCUUUACCUUUCUUGCUCAGUCGGCUUAUAAUUCUUAUUGAGUACCUAUUUUUUUGGUACUCAUGCUACACUCUGCAUCUAUUUGUGAUGCAGGUCCUAGUACCAGCUACCAACGGUGAUCAUUUGACCUUGUUGCAGCGGGUUAUCGGAGGCGAGGGCGAGCACUUGGCGUCCUAGACUUGCCUGUAACCUUCUUUAUUUUGUAUAGCUAAUCUUUUGUUUUUUGAGACAAGCUUGUAUUUUGGUCCACUUUUGGGACUUGUAAUAUUUUGUUAAAACAACUAUGUAUAAUGACUUGAGCAAGAUGAAUCAAACGAUUGUUUAUUAAUUAGUUAUAAACUGAACUAUAUAUAUAAGCAAACUAACAAAGUCCCUCAUACGGUGGAAACUAUCUAGAGAUCACGGAAAAUAAAAUAUUAGACUCCUAGAAUAGUGGAAACAGUAUAACUAAUAAUACAGUAAAAUAAUCUACCUAUACAACAGUAGGUAUAAGAAUUAAGCAGUAAUAAAUAAUGUUCUAAUACACCCCCCUCAAGCUAGAUGGAGUGGAACAACACCUAGCUUGGAUAGAUGGCGAUGAAAUGAGGUUCUUGGAAGCGGUUUGGUGAGCGAAUCAGCCAGCUGGUCAGAACUAGGAAUGUGCUUAAAUGUAAGGCGCUUAUCGUUAACCUGUUGGCGAACAUAGUGGAAGUCAACAGCGAUAUGCUUCAUGCGGCUGUGCAUAUUAUUGUUCUCACAUAAGUAGGUGACACCAAGGUUGUCACAGAAAAUGGUAGGUGGUGUGAGAAUUUUGACACGAAGUUCCUUGAGAAGAUUUUUCACCCAAGUGGUCUCAUCAACUGCACUAGCAACAGCUCGGUACUCUGCUUCAGUGGACUAGCGGGCAAUGGUACGUUGUUUUUUUGAUGACCAACUAACUGGAGUAAGCCAAAGAAAAACAAUAUAACCUGUGGUGGAACUGCGAUCAGAGAGGUUUCUUGCCCAGUCAGCAUCAAAAAACACAGAGAGAUUAAGACUGCUGCUUUGAGUAAUUCUAAUGCCAUAAUCAGCAGUGCUUUUGAGAUAUCGAAUGAGGCGUUUAACAGCCCUCCAGUGAGCUUCAGAUGGGGCAUGCAUAAAUUGAGACAAUUUAUUCACUGAGUAAGAAACAUCAGGCCUAGUAAAAGACAAGUAUUGCAACUUUUCGAUGACCUUUCUAUAUUCAGUAGCAUCAUGUGAUGGAGUAUCAUCAUUUAGCAUAAGACUUUCAGAAGAGCUCAUGGGUGUGGAAACACCAUUACAGUCUUGCAUCAAAAGGUCAUGGAGAAGAUCUGAAACAUAUUUUGCUUGUGACAAUAGAAGUCCUUUGCUGUCUCGAUGAACCUCAACUCCAAGAAAGUAGGAUAGUGGGCCAAGAUCUUUAAGGGAAAAAGGGGAAACCAAAGAAGAGAUAACCUGAUGAACUAGUGAAGAACUGUUUCCUGUAAGGAUGAUGUGGUCAACAUAGACUAAAAUAUACACAACACCAUAUGAGUCAUUGUGAACAAAGAGAGAAGGAUCAGAGUGAGACUUGAUGAAUCCCAAACAGAAAAGAUAGAAUGUCAGUUCAUUGUACCAAGCACGAGGUGCUUGCUUGAGACCAUAAAUAGCCUUAUGCAAACGACAAACAUGUGAGGGAUGAGAUGCAUUCUCAAAUCCAGGUGGUUGUUUCAUGAAAACCUCUUCUUCAAGUGUGCCUUGUAAAAAACCAUUGUUGAUGUCCAGUUGAUGUAAAACCCAAUUGUGCCGAACUGCAACUAUAAGAACAAUACAAAUUUUCGUAGGCUUGACAACUGGACUGAAUGUUCAGUGGUAGUCAAGACCUGGACGCUGAGUGAACCAUUUAGCAACCAACCAAGCUGUGUACCUGUCAACUGAACCAUCGACUUUCUUUUUGAUCCUGUAAAUCCACUUACAAUCAACAACAUUCUUAUUAGAAUCUUUAGGAACCAAUUCUUGUGUUUGAUUCUGAAUUAAUACAUCAAAUUCAGCUUUCAUAGCUUCCCUCCACUCUGAGUGUUUAAGAGCCUGCUUGAAGGUAUGAGGGGCAACAUUGGCAGGAAGUUGGAUAAGGCAAGUAAAUGGUUUUUUGGGGCAAAAAAUAUUGCUUUGUGAUUGGGUUGUUGGGCGGGUUGGAAGAGGAGGUGGUGGUGGAGGAUGUGGGGAUGGAGGAUGUGAUGAGGUUACAGGAUUUGAAGGCAAACUUGCUGGUUGUGUAGGAUAGGUUGUAGAAGCAGGUGACAAAAUUUGGGUUUUGUUUCGGCGCUGGUAGGUGAUAAGAUUAGGGGCUGUAUUAUGGGGUUGUUGCAAAGAAGCAGGGGAAAGUGAAUUACCUGAACUUGAGGGAUGCACAUGAUUCUGGUCGGUGGAGACGGACUCACAAGCUUGGCCACUGGUAGAAAUGUCUCGAACAGGAAGAGGAGAAGGAAGUGGUGAAAUAACAGGUGAAAGAGUUUGAGUUUGAGAAUCUGUAGGUGUGCCAACAACUUCCCACGCAAGCGUAAAAGAUUUAUUUUUUAAGAUGUGAGAAUAUUGUGUGAAAGGGAAAAAUAUUUUGAAAAAACUUAACAUCACGUGAGAUGAACAAUUUUGAGUUAAUGGGAUCAAAACAUUGGUGUGCAUAAUGAACUUGGGAGAAUCCCAGAUAGACACAUGAAGUGGACCUAGGCUCAAGCUUAUGGUUGGCGUAAGGCUUAAGCCAUGGGUAACAUAGACAACCAAAAGUUCUAAGUGACUCAUAUUUGGGUGCAACACCAAACAAUUUUUCAUAUGGAGAUGUAUUGUUUAAAGGUUGGGUAGACAAUCGAUUAAUAAGAUGAGCAGCAUGUUGACAAGCAAACGACCAAAAACUUGAAGAGAGGGAUGCCUCGUGUAAAAGUGUUUUGGCAGUUUCAACAAUGUGCCGAUGACGACGCUCCGCGAUGGCCACUCUUUGAGGUGUAUGAUGAGGUGAUACAAGGUGUUCAAUUCCAUUUAAAGUGAGAUACGGAUCAAGACCUUUAUAUUCACCUCCUCCAUCAGUAUACAGAGAGACAAUUUUUUGCUUAAAAUAGUUUUCCACUAAGGGAUGAAACUUAGAAAAUAUGUCCGAACCUCAUGUUUGUUUUUAAGAGUGUACAACCAAAUAUACUUGGUGUACUGAUCAAUGAACACACAAUAAUAUCAUUUUUUAUCAAUUGAAAGGACAGGCGAUGGACCCCACAAGUCAGUAAAAAGGAGUUGCAGUGGAGCAGUACUAAUUAGAGAUAAGCAAUUGAAUGGAAAACGGUGAACUUUAUUUGAACAACAAGAAUUACAGAAAUUAAACUUGUUCGGAGAUGAAACUGGAAGAGAAAACUUAUUCAAAACAAAAUUCAAGAUUCUUGAAUAGGGAUGGCCAAGGUGAUGAUGCCAGACUUGACAAGGAACCGUUGUAGUGGCAACUUGAGCAGUAGGUUUAUUAACAGUGAUAUUGGGCCACUCAUAGAGUCCAUUCCUAUUCCGACUGGAGACCAGUGGCGCCCGCGUUUUCAAGUCCUUCACAAAGAAACAAAACGGGAAAAAUUCAAUGGAUGUCAGAUUAUCUUGACAAAAUUUGGAUACCGAAAGAAUGUUUUGUUUGAUAGCAGGUGCACACAAAGUAUCAGUUAGUCUAAAAGCAUUAUUUGAUGCAACUAAUUCAGUAGAACCAUGAUGAGUAAUUGAAAUUCUUUUACCGUCGCCCAGAGCUAUGCCUUCUGAACCAUGAUAUUCAUCCGGAUUGGUAGACUCUUUUGAGACAUGAUGAGUAGUACCGGAGUCAACAAUCCAUUGAUUUUCUACAACUUGGUUACCUGAAAGAAAAUUGGCCUUUGCCUCUAAAUGAUUGUCAGACUGUGACCGACAAACAUUAGCAGUAUGACCCUGUUUAUUUCAUAACUGACAAAGAACAGGGUUAUUGAUGUAACGCCCUUGCGCAUGAGCAGUUGUACGAUUGCUGGAACACCAUUGUGAUGUGUUGUUGGGUCAACGAGCAGCGCGGUUGUUGGAAUUGAUGGAUUUGUUGUGAGUUACCAUAGCAACAGUUAUGGCACUGUUUUCUUUCUUCACUUCCUCAUGUUUGAGAAAGAGCUCAUAAUCAAUUACUUUCUCAUACAACUCAUCAUAAGAGAUGAUAGAAUCUCUUGCUCGAAUUGCAGGCGGAAAUCUCACAAAAAUCGAACCCAAGACCACUCAGAAUCUUCACCACCAGUUCAUCGUUGGUGACUGUACUUAGCUCCAACAGUAGCGAGCUCGUUGUAGAGAGAGCGCACUUGAUGGAGAUAAUCGGCUACUGGGCGGGAGUCCUUUGAUAGAUGCGCGAGCUGGUCAUGUAGGCUAAAUAUUCGUGUUUGGGACUUGUUGGCAUAAGUAAGAUGCAGAGAAUCCCAAGCAAGUUGAGCAGAAGAGGCAGCAGCUACAGUUGUAGCAAUUGUCGGAUGGGCAGAAGCCAUGAUGGCAUUCUGGAUCAAUUGAUCUUGACGGAACCAAAGGCUAUAGGCUGGGUUCGCGAUGUCUCUAUUGUUUUGUGUGAUAGUUGUGGAAGGAACUGGGGAAGAGCCAUCAAGAUGGCCAAACAGAUUGUGCCCGUGCAUAAGCAUGGAAAUCAGGGCCUUCCAAGUAGAAAAUUUAUGGCUGCCAAUAAGCUUUAUCGGUAGCUAGGACACAGGAUUAAACUGAACAACAACGUUAGAGUUGCUGCUAGUGGUGGAGUCCACAUUCUGGACGUUCUCAGGCAUGUUAAGAGAGAGUUUGAGGAGGUAGUCAGAGGAUCGAAAAAAAAUCUUGGGAGAGUUAAGACGAGAGCUCUGAAACCAUAUAUUGACUUGAGCAAGAUGAACCAAACGAUUGUUUAUUAAUCAGUUAUAAACUGAAUUAUAUACAUAAGCAAACUAACAGAGUCCCUCCUACGGUGGAAACUAUCCAGAGAUCAGGGAAAAUAAAAUAUUAGACUCCUAGAAUAGUGGAAACAGAAUAACUAAUAAUACAGUAAAAUAAUCUACCUAUACAACAGUAGCUAUAAGAAUUAAGCAGUAAUAAAUAAUGUUCUAAUACUAUGUACUUGUGACUUCCAGGUUCUAGAAGAAUCUUAUGUAUAUAUUGUUGGCUUGCUUCCACUUAUUGUCUUGUUCUUUUGUUAAAUUGUUGCUUCUGCUUGUUUUUACGCUUAUACUUGUUACUUGUUAUUCUGGGUUACGGGUUGGAUUACCUACUGGUGGGUUAUAGUAGGUGUCAUCAUGGCUCGAGAGUUUGGGUCAUGACAUAUGCGCCAUAAGGUGUUUAGGGAUUUGAUGGACAAGAGGUCUUGCACUUCUUGUUAUUUUAGUGGUACCUCAUUUAAGAAGGUAGAGGAUCUUCAAGGAGGGGUUUUCAUCCUUGGUCUAGUAGACGUGUUCAUGCAGCUAUUCAAGUGUCCGGGGGAAGUUAUUUUGAUCAAGGCUCCUAGAACUCGGGUUAGACUUCUCAGGGUUGCUGUUAGAGGUUUUAAGGUCAUGGUAACCAUUUAGUAUAUUCAGAUUCUUCUCAGUAUAUGGUUGUUCCUAGUCUGAGUCUGAACAAAUCAAUAGAGAUUUCUCCAGGUUUAGAGCGGCAGGCCGACAUCAAUAGUGUUUUGUAAAGCGGUCACUACAUCUCCAUUUUUAUAAGAAAAAGAAGUGAGUAAAAUUUUCAAAUUCAACUUGGAAAAAUAAUUCAUAACAAAACACUAAUAUCGUUAAAACAAAAUAUAUGUUAUUUUAUGAAAAAUGAAUACAAGUUAUUUCUUUUUGCCACAUUUGCAUUAGCUGGUCUUGAUUCAUUCAAUUCAUAUUUGACCAAAAUAAGACUCUUACCAAAUCUAGAAACUACUCAUUAAUGCAAGGUAAGCCCAUUUUAAGAAGAAAAAAAAUUGUAUUAUAAUUCACCAAGUGAUUUAGUUCCUCUAGAAAAACACUAGAACUUUUCUUUCAAAAUGGAGAAGGUUGAAGAAGAUAUGGUGUUGGCAUAUUCACUGCGACGCCAUGGAUUAGAAAAUUGGGAAAUGGUGGCUGCCGAAUUCUCAAAUUCCAUUUCCGAUCGACGUCGAUGUAUUCUUCAAUUUUCGUCCAUGGAAUGUCAGGUCAAGUACGAAAGUUUAAAAGAGCGUUUUAAGAGUCUAUAUCAAACAGAUUUUACUGAAGAAGAAGAUGAUGAUAGUGGAUUCAUAAAGCUGAUGGCAGAUAAAUUUACAAAGACAUAUAGAGAUUAUUGGACAGAGCAAGUCAAACUAAUGGAUACUCCACUUCAGUAUGAUAUAUCUUUUUCAUAAAUCCUUGUUUUUUUCCUUUUUGAUUAUUUUUUACUUGUGAUGUUUGAAGAAUUAUGGAUUUUCACUAUUUUUUUUGUUUGAUCCACAUUUAUAUGAUGGUUUUACAAAAACAAAAUUAUCUAGGAGAUACAAAAUACAUUCAAAGAUAUAUAUUUUUCUAUGGAUUAGGAGUUAGGGUACAAAUAAAGCAUCACUAAUUGGUACACUAAUUUUUUUUUCAAAUAAAAUAUUCUUGAUUCCAAUUUUAUCAUUACAAAAAGGAAGAGAAAAGAAUAAUCACUAUCAUUAAACAUCAAAACUCCAUUGUUAAUAUGUUUAGAAAAAAAUUGUCAAACAAUAUUAUUACCUAUAUACUUUUUAACAAUGAAUUUCGUAGAUAAUUCAUGUUUUUCUUAUAAAAAUCACUAAUGAUUGUUAGCUUUGAUAAUUGGCCUCAUAUAAUUAUUCAUUAGUUUUGGCUACUUUUAUUGUCCAAAUUUAUGUUUGUAAAUUAAUUUUUUGGGGCACUGAAAAGAAAAACUAAAAAGGAAAAAAAAUGUUUUUGAUCAGUCAAAUUGCUUAAAUGCUCCAACAGAAAAAACUUUAUAUUAUUGAUGGCGUCUUUCCAAACUAGAAAUUCUUAUUUAUUUUUUAAAAAUUAAAUAAAAUUGGUGUUAGGGAAAGGGAAAAUGGAGGAGAGCAUUACAUGAAAGGAGUCGAACCCUCAUCAAUAAAUUGAAAUUUUAGUUAGUCAACCAACAGAGCUACUAAGAUUUUCCAACUAGUCAUUCUUUGUAUGUUACGAUCUUUAUUAAAAAGUCUGUAAGAUUAUUUGUCAUCUCUCUUCAAAUGCAUAUUCUAUUCUUCUCGAUGGUUUCUAUCUAAGUGUUUAUAAUUUUCAGUAAUAGUCAUAUGAGGGUGAAAUUAUAUAUAUCUGUAUUUUUAUUAUAAGUUUGAUAGCAAAAAAAGUAAUUUGAUUAUUGAUAUCUUUAUUUAUGCUAUGUUUAUGUAGGGAAAAAUCUCCGAAUAUUUUCAAAUAGGAAGCUGAAGAAAGAAUAAAGUUAAAUGAGGAAAAAAGUGAUGACAAAUCUAAUGAAAAAAUGGAGAAUAUUAAUCAAGAAGUUCAUAAAAAAUCCUUGAUGUGGUGAGAUCUCACAAGCAUUGUUGUCUUUUUGAAUCUCGACUUCCCAGUCAGGUAAAUAAAUUGCUAAUCUUUAUGUUGUGGUUUGUUAACUUUAUAUUUGUACUUUAAUUUCGAACUAAAACUUUGAUAAUUAAAAAGAAUACUUCAUUUCUUCUAUUUCAUGUGAGGUUCUUUCCUCUUUGUUCUAUUAUGAAAAAAAAUAGUAUUUUCUUAAUUGAAACAUGAUUAACUUUAAACUUCACGAUUUUUUAUAUUUAUGGACAUGUUUAAUUUGACUCAACACAAAACAAAGAAUUUUGAAACUUAUGGUCUUAAAUACUUUGUAAUAUUUCUGUGACUAUAAAACUUCUCACUAAUGGGAAAAUGGAAAUUUAUGGCUUGAUUCUUUUCAAAUAUAGAAUCAUGUCAUUUAUAUUUAACAAGAUUGAUAAUAAAAUGGUGUUACAUAAAAUCGGAAAGAAAGGAGUAUCUGACAUGCUUAAUACCUAAAAGUUUUUUUUUUUUCUUUUUAAACACAUUGUGAGGUCAAAUUUAUAGUCUAAGCAUCAUAAAACAUGGAUUAUAUAUUCCUUAUUAGUGCUAAUAUUUAUAUUUUUUCAGGAAGAUCUAUAUUAUUUUAAACAAAUUAAGCAGCAUAUGGAUUUAUAGAUUAUUCAAAACAAGUUAGAACAAAAUGUUUAUUCGGUCUUGGAAAUCGACAGCUUCUUUAGAGAUCUAUUAUUGAUUUUCAACAACGCCAUUGUUUAUUACCCAAAUGAAACUCUUCAGUAUUAUGUCGCGCUUGAACUCAGAGACAUUAUUGUGAGAGAAAUGGGUAAAAAAUCCUUAUUUUGUCGUGAAAUUGUGUGUGGAUUACUUGCAGCAAGUAACCCAAUGUUGGCGAAACAAAAAAUAGAGAAAAGAGCAUAUAAUGCACGUAACAAAGCUCAAGAAGGUGAGUCAUCGGUCAGAAAGAGUGCGAGAGUGAGAAAUAAGCUGGCUUGCGAAUUCAAGAAUGAUCCGGAUUAUGAUUGCAAAGGGCAACAAAGAAGAACGACAAAGAAAAAAUGAGAAUAUUUUGGGAAUAAUGAGUGAAGCUUACUAGAAGGUGGUCGAGUUUCUAGGUGAGUUUUAGGUGAGUUAAAUUUUUUUUGUUUUGUUGUUCUGGUAAUAUUUCACAUUUUUGUGGUUUGAACGAAAAAAAGUCACAUAAUUGUAUUAACACAAUUGAGUUGAUGUUGUGAACAAUUGUUUGGUAUGUGAUUUGCAUCAACCUCUUGUGUUAGCAGAACGGGUGGAGUAAAUGUCUUUUGUUUAGUGACUGAAUGUGGUCAGCCAUGGCUAUAACUUCUCAUUGAAACUCUAUUAUUUCACUCAUUAUUCUACCAUUUUAUGCCUUGUAACUCAUGCAACCUCGCACUAGCCAUUUAUCUACCCAAUUCACUACCCCAUAAUCUUCCUAUUCAUUGCAAAGAAAAAUUUCCUCCCAAUAAAUAGUGAUGGUCUUACUUUGUUUUGGUGUAUAAGAAAAUAUAGACUUCAAUAAAGUGAGUGAAAAAAAGAAAGUUUGUAUUAGUUGAAGGGGGGUGUUCUUUUUAUGGAGCUUUAGACUCAACUCUUGUCCAGAGUUUGCUAAGUUGGAGUUUGUGGUUGGGAUGUGAUGUAUCCUAGAGGGGUCAAGUUAAGAGGAUUACUGCUAGGUUGGUGAAAAGAUUUUUUGUCGCGGGCUUGAAUCUCCUUAAAGAGAGCAAGAUAUCUACACCUCAUCCUAAAGAUAAUUUAUUUUCUUCUUUUUAUUUUCAAUUGUAAUUUUGUAAUUUCACCAACAAAACCUACUUGAUUUUCACAUAUGAAUAUAUAUCAUCCUGCAAUAUUUUAUAUUAUUUUUUUGACAAAUACUAUACUAUCUGGUCACUCAAAGAAUAUCUACGAGGAAAUCAAAAUUUGUUUUCUCUAUUGGUCUUUUGUUGUCAUAUUUUUUCUUUUCAACCAUGUUCUGAACUUUUUCUUUCGAAUCGUGGUCUAUAUUAGAAACAACAUUUUUAUCACACAAAGAUGGGGUAAAAUAUGUGUACAUCUUAUCCUCCUCAAACUCACUUGUGAGAUUGUAUUGGAUAUGUUGUUCACUACUAAGAAAACCGACUUCAAAAGAGGUCCGGAUAAACGCAUCUUUGAAUUGUGAAUCGAUUAGAAACAACAUCUUUAUCCCGCAAAGGUAGGGGGUAAGAUCUUUGUACAUCCUACCUCCUAAAUUGAAUUGUAAGAUUAUAUAGAAUAUGUUGUUCACUAUUAAAAAAGGGCUGAUCUAAACAAACCGACUUCACAAGAGGUCGAAAUAAACUCACCUCGCGAAAUUGAUUCUUUAAAAAAUCAAAAUCAAAACCCAACAAAAAGAGAGAAAAUUCCAUGUUCACUUUUCAGGCAUAAACCAUAGUGAUUAUCCUCCCCCCCCCCCUAACUUCAAUUUAAACUUGGCACCUAAUUGAAGAAAAAUUUCGUAAUACAAACAUUGACUUGGCACAACUAAAAUUGUACACCCACCAAAACAUUGUUUUCAUUUUAGAGUGAAAAGAAGAACUUCCAAUGAAGAUUGGGGGGGUGAGUUCCCUCUUCCUCUGGCCGGAACUUCAAAGAAUAAUGGGGUUAAAUGCUGCAAAAACAGGUAAGUUCUUAGUUUGUUACAAUUUCAGGACUUCCAUUUUAUUUUGAUUCUUUGUUGUUUCAAAAUUUUGAUAGUAACAAAACCAAGAUUUUAGACGAUCAUUGUUUCAUGUUUUAAUUUUGAUGGAUUUGUUGUCAAAAUCUUGUAUAGAAAAUUUUCAAAAAAAAAAAACCUAUAUUGUUAUAGUGAAACUUCAAAUUUGGGUAUCCAUUGUUUAGUCUAUCUUGACCCAAUCCAUCUCAACAAAAAUAACCAUUAGCCCACCCGAAUUACCCCACCUAUUCUUCUAGAAGGAUGUUGGUUUCAAACCUCGGUACAAACCUGAGGAGUACUCCAUGCUAAUGUGCCUUGGAUGAUCCACAUCUCAGGGUCAGGAUCAGGCGCCGAUGAGCACGUUGAACUAUCCAUGCAUUGAGAGCCAUUUAUUUAUUGACUCAGCCAUAUUGACGUACCUAAAUUCUCCCAACACACUUAUUUGAUACCUUAUUGAUUAGAUCGACUUGACCCAAUCCAUCUCAAAAGAAGAACCCAUUGGGUGAGUUAACGAUUCAACCAUUUAUUAACUCAAUCAUCUUGACCCAUGCAGAUUAAGCUCAACCCACUCAUUUGACACCCGUAAGCUUUGAAUGAAGCUAUGAAACUGUAGUUGAUUUAGAUGAGUGAGCUACCGAAGUUAACUAAAUUGUAUUUUGUCACAAUGAAUGGUUUUCAAGUGUGUUAACAUUUUGACUCUUUUGACGGAUUUGCACAAAUAAAAUCUUUGUAUGUUGUUAUUUCAAUUUAGAUCUAAUUAGGAAAAAUAGUGCAAAAAUAAUUGUUUUGUCAUAAACAGGAGAAAAAUUCUUGUGGGGUGCCAAGACUUUUAAUUUGAUAUUGGCCAAGACUUCAUCAGCACCAAGUUAUGGUGAUUUUAAUAAAAGUUGGUCAUAAAUUGUGACUAAUUGCCUUACAAAAAAAUUAUGAUGAUCGUCAGGAUUUUGGCCACAAACCUGGAUAAAUCGCCAUAAUCAUUUCAGCAUUAAAAUAUCAUAUUGAUUGAUUUAUCUCUUGAUAUCUUUGGGAUUGUUCUGAAGGAAGUGGAACUGAUACACCCCUACUAGUAUUUUUGAGCUCUUUCCAUUUAAACUUUGUAGUUUCAAGAAAAUCAAAUUAUUUUCUUUCUAUUAAACUAAAACUAUGCUCUUGAUGACUUAAUGAUUAAUGUGUGCGUAGAACUUUCCCAUCCCGUUUCAAUGAAAUGUUUUUUUCUUUACUAAUCAUGAACAGCUUGGUUCAAGGGAUUUAAAUCUCUCUUUACGAAAGAGUUGAACAUGGUGAAGUUUGGCAUUUUACCUAAACACCUUUGUGAUGAAUCAACCGAUUAUGGUCGAACGAAUGAUGAACCUGUAGAAGUGGUAGCUAUGAAAAAGAAGAGUCGUGAAGCACGCUAUAUUAGCAAUUUGCAAUGCUAUUUUAUCCAUUAAUAUUUUCUUAAAUUUAUUUUUAAGGUUAGUUAAUAUUUCUCUUUCUUAACCUUUUUAGUAAGAUUGUAACUUAAAGAACUCUUAACUACCAUUCCUAUAUAUUCCAUUCUGUUAACCUAGGAAUUCUUCCUUUUUGCUCCCAUUCUUUGUCCUCAAUUAAUUGAAAGUUCUUAUUUCUCGAGUUAUCCCGAUAUGUUGUCUGUAUGUGAAGCAUCUCACCUAUAUUUCUUUGCACUUUUCAAUAUUUUAUUGUUAAAACGAUAUUGUGAAAUCACUUUGACCAUACAAAUAAAUAAAUUCUUCAAAAUUUACUUCAUCUCCAUUAAAGACUCACUACUCUUCACUUGCAUUACAAUUUUCUUACUUAAAUAGUCUUGCCUAUAAAAGUAAGAUACACCAAUAUUGAAGAUGGAAGUGUAGUUAAGGUAAGAGUUCUCCAUAUUCCCUUUGGCUAAUCAUGAAAGAGAAUGUGGACCAUUUUUCUGGAGAUGAUAAUAUUGUGCUCUCCUGAUUUGAUACGCAUAAUUCCUUUUCGUAGCUGCAACAAAAAAAAAGGUCGAAAUUAUAAUCGAUAAAUAGGAGACCUCACAUCGAUCUAUUAUCUUCAUGUACUUUUACUUGUUCGCUCAUUCUUCAUGCAAGCGAUUCAAACCAAAGGGAGGAUUUUCUACUUUUAAGUCUGUGACAUAAGUACUUGAACAUGAGAAGGGUUUCAAUGUUUACUAGAUUUCUCUACUAUAGAAGUCUAAUGGUUAGGGGAUGUCAAUUCUUUAGAUUUCUUGAUUACUGUGUAUGAGAGUUUGAUAUCUAAAGAGUAAAUCAUCCUUAAUCAUUGUGUAUGAGAGUUCAUUGAGAGAAUCAUCAAAUCGAUUUCAUAUUAUUCUCAAAUUGAGAACGGGAUAUACCCUACUAGAACAGAAUCAUCAUAUCAUAUCAUAACAUAAUAUAACACAAUACUAAAAGUGGGAACAAAAAUCAAAAGUUGAGUUACUAAAAUACCUUUGAUGGAUGUCUUUUUUAUUUUCAUAAACCAAAUUAAGAGGUAAUUAAAAAAAAUGAAAAGAGAAAAAGAACAGUUACAAUGAAGAGGAAAUACCAAAAGUUGCAUUUUUCCUUCAUAUAUAUAUAUACACACAUCAAUUCUUCUGCAGGAUCAUACAAUAUAUAAGUAUUUGUUAUCCAAGAAAGAAAUAAUUAAAUAGAAUGGGCGUUCAUCAAUUUUAGCUUGUACUUUUAACAAAUUUCGUUACGAAUUUACAACAUUAAUAUAAUUUAUAUCGUAUAUACUAAACAAAGCUGUAUACAAAUUAUAGAAAAGUCAUGGUGUCCUAUACAAAGCUGUAUAAUAAUUCUAGACCACUGUCAAUAUAAACUUUCAAAAGGAAUGUAUGUGCUUCACUUUUUCAAUAAUCUGCUUCACCUUCUUCAAUGGUUCUUCGUGCAAAUAGGAUGGAUCGUCUAGCUCUGAAGCCAAGCUCCGAUCCCCAAGAAAAGCACGAAAUGAUUCUGCAACUGAAUUUGACAGAGAACUGAGAUUAUAUCCCCCUUCUAAGAAAAACACGCAACGUCCCCCACAUAAAUCUUUUGCAAGUUGCUUAAUGCUGGAGGCUAGCAUGUAAUAUGUUCCUGUUGUGAACUGUAAGCUGGCAAGUGGAUCCAACAGAUGGGCAUCAUACCUGAAAAUUUUAGACGACACGUUAGUUCAAUUACGUUAGAUAAGAAAUCAGAAAGUCCUAUCUUUAUGUUUUAACAUCCUUUUCUGCUAACAACAUUUCAAGACCAGAAACAGAAUAUAUGAGGCAUGAUAGUAGUGAAUAGACCAAAUAUUCCGCCCUCAUUACAUUGCUAGUUUAGCAGAAAACACAAGCAUAAUACAUGAUCCAUUAUUCACGUCAAAAGAAAAAGGAACCACACAGUAGCAGAACAGUAAGAAAAGUAAAAGGAACUGUGUUUAAGUCAUAUGUUUCGUUUUAUAUUCCGAAUGUUGAGACUAUCUUGACAGACAAGAAAAUUACCCAGCUGAAACAAGGAUUAUAUCUGGCUUGAACCUUUGAGCACAUGGUACAAUAACUUGAUCAAAAACUGUUCGCAUUGCUGUAUCACCUGAUCCUCCAGGUAAAGGGAGAUUUAGUGUUGAUCCUUCACCAUUUCCACUACCAAUUUGAUCUAUCUUACCAGUCCCUGGAUAACUUCCAGCCUACAUCGAUCCAAGGAUAAGUGAGCAUGACUGAUAAAAUCCAUGCAAUUGUUAAGUUCCAGACUCUAUUAAUUCUACACAUCGAGGUGCAUAGCUGGCAUAUAAUGACAGAAAUCCUGUUUUCCUCUAAACACAACGUUUGAAUGAGGUGAAACGAGGAACGCAUCAGCAGGGGUGAAGGUUGUUUCCUUGUAAUGUAGUAGGUAAAAGAAGAUAACAAUAUCAUACCCAGUGUGAUUCCACAAGUGAGGUCUGGAUAAGGUAGGAUGGGGUAGAGAGGUUGUUUCCAAUAAACCCUCGGCUCGAAAGAAAAGAGAAUAAUCUGAUUGCAUGGUAGCACAUAAAUAUGACAGCAAAAUAACAAGAUACAAGGCAAAUAAAGCAACAGAUAGUACUACACAUUGAAGAAAAGAAACAGUGUGAUUACUAAAUAAUGCUACUAAUAAGGAGAAGCGGAGAGGAGGUUAGCCCCAUGCCUCUCCCACACAAAGUAUGACAACACUCGGCUACCUACCAUACCAACCUUCUUGCCUAAUCCUCGCCCUCCACAUUUUCUUAUCUAGGGUCAUGUCUACAGUAAGCUAAAGCUGGCACAUGUCAUGUCUAAUCAUCUCCCCCUAUCUAAUAACAAGAUACAAGGCAAAUGAAGAUAAGAAACUACACGAUUACUAAAUAAUACUAUAAUAUGGAGAAGCGGAGAAGGGCUAGCUCCAUGCCUCUCCCACACAAUGUGACAACACUCAGCUACCUACUAACCUUCUAGUCUGAUCCUCUCUCUCAACAUCUUCUUAUCUAGCAUCAUGUCCUCAGUAAGAUGAAGUUGCCACAUGUCCUAUCCAAUCACCUCUCCCUAGUUCUUCUUCGGCCUAUACCUCUAUUUUUCCCAACUCUUGUUAUAGUCAACCUCUCACAUUUUUUUACUAGCACAUAUUGCUUGCAACUAUAGCAUUGAAUACGCUCAUAUCCCUACCAUAUCUUCUUCCUUGAGCAGCAAAUGCAACAAUCUGAACAUUUUCUUGCUUGAAAACGUUUGUGUGAGAAGACGUUGCUCUACACGAAGUAAUUCCCUAAAACAGAUAUCCAAGGAGGGAGACAGAUCACGAUUUAUCAAGUUAGAGCAAACACUCAAAAUCAAAUCGCAAUUUCAUCAAAAAAAAGUUGAUCUCGCUUGCUUUGCUUGUAUUAUAGAAAGAGAUUCAACACGUAUUUCAACAUAAACAAUAUUAGUAAAUUUAGCCCUAAGUUUUGAACUCUAGAAAAAUAAUCCUGGACAGAAAGACUUUGUUAAGAGUAAUUAGCAAUUUCAUGCUUUAACUGAAAGUGUCUUAUGCUAUUGUCAUGGUUGUAAACCAUAUAUAAAUAAUCUUAUAUGGCCUUUGCAGUCUUAUAUAUCCUGAGAUUAAGGACAAUAAGAGGGUGAAUUGACCCUAAAUUCCAUGUCAUCACUUGAGCAUCUUUGACUUUCCACUGACCUAACUUUGUAGGAUCCGGAUCACUUCCAUCUAUAUGGCCCCAUAAUUCUUUUUCCAGUGACAAAUAGUUGAAACAAAAAUUUCCACGCAGAAUAAUUUGUUCCACAUUUUUCUAGUGGAACGAACAUUGAAGGACUCAAACUGAUGCAGUGUUAUUGAAAGUGCAUUCAAGCCCUAUAGCGAGGCUCAAAACAUGUUGAACGUUUUGCCUCGCUUAAUGUUCGCUUCAGUGUCGUCAUCAAGGUUCUAAGACAUACUUUUCCUUGCCAAUGAACCUCUUCUCAAGAGACAAUACUAAGUCAUUGAUAUUUCACUUUAUCGUAAUUAUUUUUCAAAUUUCUUUGUUCUUACAUUUUUCAUUCAUACUUAUAAAUUAUUUGUCUUGGACUAAACAUAUAAUUUGUAUUUUUUUCUCCCUUUGCGCCUUUUUUCAUUAGAGCCCACGUUUUAUUUGCACUUUGCGCUUAAUCCCCACGAACCUUAAGAGUUGUUUUGCGCUCUUUGCUUUUGAUAACACUGUACCGAUGUGAAGUCAUGUUUUUGAAUAGCGAAAAUCAAAAACACAAUGAUAAGAAAAAAAAAUAGCUAAAAUAACCAAGACCAAGAACCCUAAGUAGUUAGUCUCUACAUACUUAGGACUAACUGUUGGCGAAUAACUAAGAAUACAAAAGCUUCCAACAAAAUCAAAAGUAACAACGGAUCAAGAAUAAAUCUUACAUAUUCCAUAUUGAGAAUAUUUAAUGUAGAUCCUACAAGAUACUCUAUGAUCUGCCCAUCAUGCCAAUACACUCCUCCUCCUCACAUGCUCAAACCAUCUCAACCUCAUAUCCCUAUCUUGUCCGCCACAGUCGCUACUGCCACCUUACCCUGUAUAACCUCGUGUUUCUAAUCAUAUCUCUUGUAAUAAGCCCAUACAUCCAUCUAAGCAUCUUCAUCUCCGUUACAUUUAUUAUUUAAAUGUUCGCGUUCUUGACUAACCAACACUCAGCCUGAUACAAAAAUAUCGGUCUAACCAGCACACUGUAGAAUUUACCUUUAAGCCUUGGCAACACAAUAUUAUCACCCAGUACCCUGGAUACGAGCCUUCAUUUCACCCACCCUGUUCCAAUACGAUGCAUGACAUCCUCAUCAAUCUCCCCAUCUCCUUCGAUUAUGGACCCAAGAUACUUGAAAUUUCUUUGUUUUCUAUGACUUGUGCAUUGAUCUUCACUUCCACCGAAAGAAGUGGAGAACCAUACAAAUCCACCAAACCAAAAAUUAACCUUGCUGAUGUUGGACAAGAUAAUUGUAACUACCAAACACCUUCAUUUUAGUAUAUGUAUCUCAUUAUGUGUUUUGAGACUUCAAAUAAAUUGAAAAUGAAUUUUGAGACAUGUUGGAAUGGUUUUAGUUUGUACUCAAGGGGCUUGGUUGAGUUUCAGCACUUUUAGAACACUUGGAAGAUCUCAGUUGCAUCUAGGAGGUAUUUUGGGACAUGACAACAAUCAUAAUUGAUGUGUUUUAUUUCUGCUCAUUUGUAACAAAUAAAAUGAAGGAAAGCGUCUGAGGAGUAAUCACCAAGUCCCAAGCACCCUUGAACUAAACAUAGUGUCAAGAAUAAUCAUCUUUGUGGAUCACUAGAUCUGGCUCAAUUAUUAGAUAAAACCGAAUGUUCUUUCGUUCAUUCAAACUACAUUUUAUAAUAGCAGUUGAUUCAGAAGUAAAAACGUCAAGAUUUCCCAAGCAAUUUGUUCAAUGUAAUGUGUAGCUUACUUGGUGAGUUGAAAGGAAAAAUAUAUCUGGGUCCUCGUAGAAGGCAUCAUUGGUUCCAUUUCCAUGAUGAACAUCAAAGUCUAUGAUAAAAACACGUUUCAAUCCAUGCAUUCUUUGAGCAUAACGAGCAGCAAUAGCAAUAUUUCCAAACACACAAAAGCCCAUGGCCCCCUUUGGAACAGCAUGGUGACCAGGAGGUCGAAUUAGUGCAAAAGCGACAGGAGGAUCUUUGCUUACUCUGGAUGCUGCAACCUGAAAUAUCAGAUGAAACAAUUACUCCAGCUUUGAGAGAGAAGUUUACCAACAAAACGCACCCUGAACUGAUUGCUACAUUAAACGAAGUAUUCCCAGUAAACUGAAAUAUUACUAACAGCUUAGACUGAGACAUUACCACUGAAUCAACCAAGGAAAUCCCAGCUCCAGCUGCCAAUAACGACUCUUGGAACGUCUGUUCACAUUGCCAUAGGAACACUUGGUGUUAAUCUUUCUCACGGAACUCAAUAAUUUUAGGAACCUUAUUAGCUCAUACAAAUUCAAAAACUUGCCUGAUUAAGAGUAAUUAUUUCAUUAAAUAUUAGAGAACUUAGAGCAUGAAAUUUACUUAAAUGGAAUGUUAAUGUCUGUGGGGUUAUGCACAGGGCUGAGCUUUCAUAGUUACACUCCUCCAUCAUCAUGCAUAAUGAAUAGUUAAAUAGUAUCUCCAUAUGUUUAGUUGAUGAACAUAAAGCACCAUAUAUGACCACUUGUGUCUCAUUAGGAUGAUGUCGUAGACUCAUACAAGAAGCAACUAGCUUUUCUGAUCUGAGUUUUCUGAUUAAUCCUCAUUCAUGAUGUCCUACAAUUUUGGCGCUUGCCUAAAAUGUCAUGAUGUAAGCUAGGGUAGGAUUAAUAAGAACUUAAGAAAGCAAUUGAAAGGGAUUUAGAGAAGAUACAACUUAAAAGUACCAACAAGAACAAUUGACAGAUAUCAACAACCCUACUUAGUGCACUUAAAUAGCACUCCUAAACUAUAGGAUAUCCUUAAAUAGAAUCAAUCCACUUGAAAACACCCUUAAAAAUCUUGAAUCAAAGUUUGGAUACCAUCCAACUCCACAAAAUACAUCAAUCAUCACAGUAAGCUAACCCUAGUUAUUCUAGGAAACCAAGUAUUUAUACUAGGUCUAAUUAUUACAUAUUAAUGACUUAAAAGUCCCUAAUUAGGCCUAAAAUGGAAACGGGCUGAAAUACAGUUGCUGGACUUGAUAUAAAGAAUGCAAGGAAACAAAAUCAAAGUUUGCUAAUGAGGUGGUUAUGGAGAUAUACAAAUGAAGGACAAUCACUCUGAAAGAAGGCAAUUAAAGAGAAGUGUGGAGAAGAAGAUGCGUGGAAGACCAAAGCAGACAGCACUGUAUAUGGGGUCAGUGUAUGGAAGACUAUUAGAAAUCUAUGCCAGAUUUUCAGUAUCAAUACUAGCCUCAAAGUUGGGAAUGGCCACAAAAACUUCCUUUUGGGAAGACAACUGAUUAGGACCUGGUUCACUCAGACCAUCUCCAACCCACCUCUAUUUUACUCUCCAUUCUCUAUAUUUGGAGAGUAAAUAGAGAAUGGCACUCCAACCCUCUUUAUUUUAAACUCUAUUCUUCAUUUUUAGAGAGUUGAAUAGUAGUUCUCCAAAUUCACACUCUCUAUUUCACUUUUUUUAAUAUUUUAUUAUUAUUUCUAUUAUUUUCUAAUUAAUGUAUUAUUUUAUAUAUAAUGCAAUUAAUUAAAUAUCUAAUACAUAAUUCUUUUUAAAUGUAAUUUAAUAUUUUAAAAAAUAUAUCAUUUAAUAUAUACUACUUUCAUCCCAAAUCAAUAAUAUUUCAAUUUUUUUCUAAUUUUCGUCAAUAAUAUAAUUUGAUUUUAUUAUUAUUUUUUGAACGUGCAUUCGGAAUUCUGCAAUUACGUUUUGCAAUUAUGGCGGGACCGUCACAUUUUUGGAGAAAGAAAGUAUUACAUGAUAUAAUGACUACAUGUAUUAUACUGCACAACAUGAUAAUCGAGGAAGAACAGUGUUAUCAAAGGCGAAAAGCACAAAAAAUCUCUAAGGUAUGUAGGGGCUUAAAGCGCAAAAGUGCAAACAAAGCGUGGGCUUUAAUGAAAAAGGCGCAAAAGGAGAAAAGAAAACAAAUAUAUAUAUAUAUAUAUUUAGUCCAAGACUACUAAUUAUAAAUAUGAAUGGCAAAUAUAUGACCAAAGAAAUUGAAAAAAAUUAUGAUAAAGUGAAAUAUCAAUUAUUUAGUGUCACUUCUUCAUAAGAGGCUCAUUGGCAAGGAAAUGUUUGCCUUAGAACCUUGAUGACAACACUUAAGCACACAUAAAGCGAGGCAAAGCGCUCAACACAUUUUGAGCCUCGCUUCAAGGCUUAAGUGCGCCUUUGAUAACACUGGGAUGAACAUGAUCUUAAUGGACCAAUUCAAGAUGCCAUAGAGGCUCCAACUACAUAAAUGGUGGUAGAUGAAAAUCUCCGGAUGGAAUAAUUUUUAGUUAGACAUAAAAAAAAUUAAGGACAAAAAUGCUCACUUUAAACUUCGUAAUGCAUUAGUAGAGCAUUUAUGGGAGUAAAGUAAUAAUUUUGAAAGUUGAGUGUUUAUGUGAUUGUAUUUCACUUUUAUUUGAAUUUGUCCAUUAAUUAGUAUAUUAUAUAAUAUUUUCUUGCAAUUUAUGUUAUUUAGAAAUGUAGAAUAAAAUAAAGUUACCAAGUUCAAAAAAAAGAAAUGUAGAAUAAAAUAUAAAUUUAUAUUAUAUAAAAAUUUUGAAAUAGUAAAAUUUUAUAUCACAUGAAAAUUAUAUAAAGUGAUUAUUUGGGAAAAAGAAAGAAAAGAUUUAUAUUAUGAAAUAAGAAAAUAAGAUUAAAAUAGAAUAUACUGAGGAGAGAGGAGAAGAUUCUUUUUUAGAGAGUAAAAUAGAGAAUUGGGUUGGAGUUGAUUGUCUAACAAAAUAGAGAACUCUAUAUUUGGAGAGUAAAAAUAGAGUAUAAGGUUGGAGGUGCCCUUAGGCUUCUAUUUCCAGAUGUUCUCAUACUACAUCAACAACAAAAAGCUAAAAUCACUGAAGUUUGGAGUAACCAAGGCUGGGAUCUCAAUGACAGAAGGCCUCUAAAUGACUUAGGAUAUGGAUAGAUUCAUAGAAUUCCUCAACAUUCUCAAUUUCUUCAAAAGGAGUCUCACUAGAACAAGAUAGAUUACGGUGGCUGAGAGACAGUAUAGGGAUCUUUUCAGUCAAGACAGCAAAUUAUAUGAGGAAUCAGAACAACCACCUUAAUGUGUAGUUGCCCUGGAAGCAUUUAUGGAAACCAAAAUACCAUACAAAGUGACAUGUUUUGUUUGGUCAAAACUAGAGCAACAACUAUGGGAACACCAACACCAGUAAGACAGGGUGCGCCUGAGCCAACUAUUGGGGCUGCAACCCGAGGGGGAGCAAUGGCGAGAGGCUGUGGUAGAGGUCACGGGAGAAGGCCCACUAGAGGCAGAGGAUAAGCAACUGGUCCAACUAGAGAUGGAGCAGUGACCCCUCCACCGGCUGACGAGGUAGCGAGAGAGGUGAUGAGGGGGAGGAUGAGCAAAUUCAUGAGAAGGAAGCACCACCCCAGCCUACUCCAGAGAUGAUCAACCAGGUUCUCACUUAUCUUAGCGGGUUAUCUGAUCAGGGCCAGGCACCCCAGCGUUUUCUGCACUAGCAACUCAAGUACAAGUAGUACAACAUGCAGCUGUUGUGGCUCCCCGCAUAGAUGCGUCCUUGGAAACAUGCAUGUUUCCUCGAUUGACUACAGGGCCUAUAAUGACUAGUGACGAGCAUGAUCUCUUUAUCAAGUUCUUAAAGUUGAAACCUCCCGUCUUCAAAGGUACUGAAUCUGAAGAUGCUUAUGAUUUCCAUGUGGAUUGUCACAAGCUGCUUCAUAAGAUGGACAUAGUGGAGCGAUUCGGUGUUGAGUUUGUUACCUACCAGUUUCAAGGGGAUGCCAAAAUGUGGUGGAGGUCUCAUGUUGAAUGUCGACCAGCAAAGGCACCACCUAUGACAUAGGCAGCAUUUUCUAGCUUCUUCAUGGAGAAGUAUAUACUCGGACUUUGAGGGACAGGAGGAGAGAUAAGAUCCUGAACAUAGAGCAAGAAAGAUGUCGGUUGCAGCCUAUGAGGCCAAAUUUCAUGCAUUAUCCAAAUAUGCCACUCAGCUUUGCUUCAGUCCGCAAGAGCGGAUUCGCCGCUUUGUGAAGGGACUGAGGUAAGAUUUGCAGAUUCCAGCAUUACAAGUAGCUGCUUCUACAAAAUCUUUUCAAGAAGUGGUUGAUUUUGUGAUAGAGGUAAAGGGGGUGAAGCCAGAUGACUUCACCAAGGUGUCAACAUUUAAGAAGUUCCGUAAAGGAGGUGAGGUUAGUGGUUCUUACUUCAGAGGGUAGAGUUCUGGGGGUUAUCCACCCCGUCCUCUUCAGUCUACAUUGCAGGUUUCACCUGAGGGUCCGUCACCGACCAGCGAGCCUUUUUCUGAGCUUGGGGGUUAUCUUCAGUAUUCUUCGUCUUCACAGAGACAAACUCUCGACUCCAGGACUUGCUAUGGAUGUGGUGAGGCUGGGCAUAUCAGGAAAUACUGUCUGAGGCAGAGUCAGGCUCGGUAUGAUCAGAGUUACAAAUCUCCAACAGUUAGAGGUAGGGGUGGUCAUGGUAGAGGUCGUCAUUCAAGAGGACGUGGUGGCUAAGGUAAUGGUGGUCACCAGUUCGGCCGGGGUGGCGGGCAGGUUGGAACUACUGUAGCGCAGCCCGAUAGAGGCAAUGGAUAGACAUGUGAUAAAGCCCAUUGUUAUGUUUUCCCCGGGAGGCCAGAGGCACAAGCAUCCAAUGUUGUUAUCACAGGUACUCUUCUGGUCUGUGAUUGCAUGGCUUCUGUAUUGUUUGAUCCUGGAUCCACAUUUUCUUAUGUAUCUUCCUUAUUAGCUAAUGGACUUGAUUUGCAUUGUGACUAGCUUGACAUGCCUAUUCGUGUCUCUACUCAUGUUGGUGAGUUGGUGUUAGUUGAGAAGGUGUAUAGGUCUUGCCUUGUGACUUUUGUGGGGAGCAAAACUUAUGUAGAUUUGAUUAUUUUGGAAAUGGUUGAUUUCGAUGUAAUUCUGGGUAUGACUUGGCUUUCUCCAAAUUUUACUAUCUUGGGGCACGUGGUUUCUAAGGAUGAAGUGAUGGUGGAUCCCACUAAAAUCGAAGCAGUGAAGAGUUGGGUAAGGCCUACUAAUGUUUCAGAGGUAAGGAGUUUUGUUGGUUUAGCUAGCUACUACCGUCGGUUCGUUAAGGGAUUUUCUUCCAUUGCUUCCCAACUGACCAAGCAUAAUGUUCCAUUUGUAUGGUCGGAUGAGUGUGAAGAGAGCUUCCUGAAACUCAAGACCUUGUUGACUACUGCACGGAUUCUUGCCUUGCCUGUGGAAGGUAAGAAUUUCAUUGUUUAUUGUGAUGCAUCUUAUUUUGGUUUAGGUGCGGUGCCAAUGCAGGAGAGUAAUGUAUUUGCCUAUGCUUCAAGGCAAUUGAAAGUGCACGAACUUAACUAUCCAACCCAUGAUUUGGAGUUGGCUGCAGUUGUAUUUGCAUUGAAGCAGUGGAGGCAUUAUCUACAUGGGGUCAAGUGUGAAGUGUAUACAGAUCAUCGUAGUUUACAAUAUGUGUUCACUCAGAAGGACUUGAAUUUGAGGCAAAGGAGGUGGAUGGAGUUACUGAAAGAAUGACAUUACUAUUCUAUAUCACCCAGGAAAAGUUAAUAUUAUGGUUGAUGCCCUAAGUAGAAAAGCAGGGAGCAUGGGAGUUUAGCCCACUAACAAGUUUCUAGACGCCCAUUGGCUAGAGAAGUUUAAACUCUGGCUAAUGACUAUGAGACUGAAAGUAAUUGAGAAAGGAGGAUUCUUGGCUUGUGUGGAGGCAAGAUCUUUUCUUGACAAGCUUAAAGGAAAGCAGUUUGAUGAUGAGAAGCUGAGCCGAAUUCAAGACAUGGUAUUGCGAGGAGAGGUUAAAGAGGUUGUGAUUGAUGAGGAAGGCGUCUUGAGAAUUAAGCGGCGGGUAUGUGUGCCCCGUGUUGAUGAUUUGACUCAUACUAUCCUUGUAGAGGCUCAUAGUUCGAGGUAUUCUAUACAUCCUGGUGCAACCAAGAUGUAUCGUGAUUUGAGACAACAUUAUUGGUGGAGUAGAAUGAAGCGUGACAUUGUUGAUUUUGUUGCCCAACGCCCAAAUUGUCAGCAAGUAAAGUACGAGCAUCAGAGGCCUAGAGGGACACUUCAAUGAAUGUCCAUUCCUGAAUGGAAGUGGGAAAGAAUUGCAAUGAAUUUCAUGGUUGGUCUGCCAAAGACAUUGGGUAAGUUUGAUUCUAUAUGGGUAAUUGUUGACAGAUUAACUAAGUCUACUCAGUUCAUUCUAGUCAAGGUGACUUAUAAUGCAGAGAAGUUAGCCAAACUCUAUAUCCGCGAGAUUGUUCGAUUGCAUGGAGUUUCGAUCUCCAUUAUAUCAGAUAGAGGUACGCAAUUUACUUCUAACUUUUGGAGGACCUUGCAAGCUGAAUUAGGUACUAGAUUGGAUCUUAGUACUGCAUUUCACCUUCAGACCGAUGGACAGUCAACAAUCAAGUGCUAUAGGAUAUGUUUCGUGCGUGCGUGAUGGAUUUUGGUGUUCAUUGUGAUCAGUUUUUACCCUUGGCAGAGUUUUCGUACAACAAUAGCUAUCACUCGAGUAUUGGUAUGGCCCCAUUUGAGGCAUUAUAUGGGAGGAGAUGUAGGUCUCUCAUUGGUUGGUUUGAUGCAUUUGAGGUGAGACCUUGGGGUACCGAUCUUUUGAGGGAAUCGUUAGAGAAAGUGAAAUUCAUUCAGGAGAAGCUUCUAGCAGCUCAGAACAAGCAGAAGGAGCAUGCAGAUCGGAAGGUCAGGGAUUUAGAGUUUAUGGAGGGUGAACAAGUCCUGCUGAAGGUUUCACCCAUGAAGGGUGUGAUGCGGUUUGGUAAGCUUAAUCCAAGAUAUAUUGGGCGAUUUGAAGUUCUUAAGCGUGUUGGGGAGGUGGCUUAUGAAUUGGCCUUCCCUCCAGGGUUGUCAGGAGUGCACCCGAUAUUUCAUGUGUCUAUAGUGAAAAUAUAUCAUGGUGAUGGAAACUACAUUAUUCGUUGGGAUUCGGUCCUGCUUGAUGAGAAUCUAUCUUAUGAGGAGGAGCCUGAGCCUGUAGCUAUUCUAGAUAGGGAGGUUCGCAAGUUGAGGUCAAAGGAGAUUGCAUCUAUCAAGGUUCAGUGGAAAAAUCGGUAUGUUGAAGAGUCCAUUUGGGAGAGUGAGGCUGAUAUGCAAGAAAGAUAUCCACAUUUUUUUGUCGAUUUAGGUACCCCUUCUUACCAUCAUCUUCUUUUGAUCGUUCGAGGACGAACGAUGAGUAAAUUGGUAUCUAAUGUAACAACCCAUUAGGUCGUUUUGGGUACUAUAGCUUCUUAUUUCAUAAAAAACUCUUCCGAUAAAUUCUAAAUGGGUAUUUUGGACUAUUUGUAACUAUAAUUAUUUAUAUAAUUAAUGAGGUAAUUUUAAUAAUUAAUUUAGUCGGGGGAUAAAGAAAAUAACAUUAAAAUUAGUGGUGAGCUUUUUUUACCAGUUUUAUAAUUGGUCGUGUAUAAUAAUUAGGAUAAAUAAAUAAUCUAUAAAAGAAAGACGAAAGAAAACUAGGCGAGAAACUUUACCUGCGUCGUCUAACAAGGAAUACCGACAUCGAGGUAAUGUUUUUUUUUGAUAAAAGUUAAAGUGACAUCGAGGUAAUGUUUUGAAUCUUCAAUGUCCUUAAUUAAUGAUAGGGGGUUAAAUAUUAUAUAAUAAUAUUUCAUGGUUAGAUAUGAAUUGAAAGUGGGUGUUAGCGGAUGUGAUGGGAGUUUGGAUUUUGAAUAAGAAAGUGAGGGUGAUAAUGAAUUAGUUGAUGGAUUAAUGAUUAGUCAAUCAUUGGCUGAUGAUAUGAUAAAUUUGGCUUAUAGUAUAUGAUAAAUUUGGGUCAGAGUUGUUGUCACUAGUUUUCAAAGCCAAUGGCUUUAAUCUUGAAUUUUAUUACGUUGUCAUCAUAUUAUAAAUUGAGUUUUAAUAUAUUGAGAUAUGUAAUUAAAUAUUAGGUGUAUUGUAUAAUUCGAAUAUCAUUAAAGUGAUGAUAAUUAAAGCAAUUGAGACUUAUCCUUAGGCUUGAACUUUAGGAAAGUGACUAUAGAUUGGGGUGAGUUUUUGGGUCUAGGCUAGACAUAUAGUAAUAUGGGUGUCUAUAGACUCAUUUACUUAUGAAUUAUGCAUGUUUAAUAGAUUGAAAACGUUCGAAGGCAUUGAAGAAAGGAAAAGUUUUGAAGAAUUAGCUUGCUCGACUUCGAUUCCUCGGUGGAGAUAGAUUAGGGUUUAUUCUAUGUGAUAGAUAGACUCUUAAUAGUGAUUGAUAAUCAUUGAGUGAUAUUGUGAAUUUCUUUAUGUACUUGGUUGUGUGGUUUGGACAAUCUAUGUGUUAUUUGUGAUUGGUCUGAAAUCCUGAGACCGUGAAAUUUAUAAUCUUGAACUUUCUCUAUCAAAGUGAUGCCUUGAAUAAAGUAGGCUUUAUGAAAUAUUGUUAAUGCAGUGAAAAGAGGUAAUAAUAAAUUAACGAUAUAUUUGGAUCGGGUGCCACGAGCCGGCACGAUGUUAUUGGAUCGGGUGUCACAUUCCGGCACGGCAACAUUAAAGGAAAACAUAUAUAAACAAUGUAAUGUACUUAAUCUCAAAGAACUCAAUUCCUAAAAUAGCUUAGUUUGGAGGCAUGAGUCCCCAUGUGUGCUCUUGAUAUUGUUGACUGAUUACGUACUUACUUUAGUGUUGUUGUCACUUGUUCAUGUUGGUUGUUGCUUGCCACCUACUAAGUGUCAUAGUUGAUUUUUAUACUAUUACUCGUUGCAUAUUAGUUUCUUUUCUCUUUUGUUUUUGAGAUUGAGUACAUUACGUUUUUUUUUUUUAGUACAUUACGUUGUUUAUAUGUUUUCCUUUAAUGUUGUCUUGCCGGAACGCGACACCCGAUCCAAUAACAUCGUGCCGGCUCGUGGCACCCGAUCCAAAUAUAUCCUUAAUUUAUCAUUUAUUAUCACCACUUUAACUUCAUUAACAAUAUUUCAUCAAGCCUUCUUUAUUCAAGGCAUCACUUCGAUAGAGAAGGUUCAAGAUUAUAAAUUUCACGGUGUCAGAAUUUCAGACCAAUCACAAACAACACAGAUUAUCCAAACCACACAACCAAGUACAUAGAGAAAUUCACAAUAUCACUUAAUGAUUAUCAAUCACUAUUAAGAGUCUAUGUCUAUCUAUCCCAUACAAUAAAUCAUAACCUACCUCGACCGAGGAAUCGAAGUCGUGCAAGCUAAUUUUCCAAAGCUUUUCCUUUCCUCAAUGCCUCUGAACGUUUUCAAUCUAUUAAACAUGCAUAAUUCAUAAGUAAACGAGUCUAUAGACACCCAUAUUACUAUAUGUCUAGCCUAGACCCAAAAACUCACCUAAAUCUAGUCACUUUCCUAAAGUUCAAGCCUAAGGAUAAAUCUCAAUUGCUCUAAUUAUCAUCACUUUAAUGAUAUUCGAAUUAUAUAAUACACCUAAUAUUUAAUUACAUAUCUCAAUAUAUUAAAUCUCAAUUUAUAAUAUGAUGACAACGUAAUAAAAUUCAAGAUUAAAGUCAUUGGCUUCGAAAAAUAGUGGCAACAACUCUAAGCCAAAUUUAUCAUAUCAAGUCAAUGAUUGGCUAAUCAUUAGUCCAUCAACCAAUUCAUUAUCACCCUCACUUUCUUAUUCAAAAUCCAAACUUCCAGCACAUCCGCUAACACCCACUUUCAAUUUAUAUCUAACCAUGAAAUAUUAUUAUAUAAUACUAAACCCCCUACCAUUAAAUAAGGACAUUGAAGAUUCAAAACAUUACCUCGAUGUCGGUCUUCCUUGUUAGACGCCGCAAGUAAAGUUUCUCGCCUAGUUUUCACUUUUCUUUCUUUUACAGAUUAUUUCUUACCCUAAUUAUUAUACAUGACCAAUUAUAAAAGUGGUAAAAAUGGCUCACUACUAAUUUUAAUGUUAUUUUCUUUAACCACCGACUAAAUUAAUUAUUAAAAUUAACCCAUUAGUUAUAUACCUAUAGUUACGAAUAGUCCAAAAUACCCAUUUAGAAUUUAUCAAAGUGUCUUUUAUGAAAUAAGACGUUAUAGUACCCAAAACGACCUAAUGGGUUGUUACAAUGGCUGACGAACACCCAGCAGAAAACACCAAAAAUAGUUGGGAAAAGGGAAAAAUAAGCGUAAUGUGACGCAUGCGUGUUAACACCAUAAAGUUAAAUCUGGUUAUUAUUCUCCCAGACAGUAAUAGAGACUAGCAUCAGAAAGAGGAAGAGUUACCGUAAGAGAUAUAUUCUUACUGUGGCAGUAGCAUAUGUGGGUCCAGAUCCAUCAAUGAAAAUUAGACCUUUCUCUGAAGCUUGAUCCAUAGCCUGCAGAUGAUAGUCAACAAAUCAAGAGAACAUAGGAUGAGAAAAAAUAAUGGUGACAAUGGCGAUGACAAAGAUGAUGAUGAUAAUAAUACUACUACUAAUAAUAAAUAAAUAUUAACAACGAUAACAAUUAUUACAAUGACAUCACAAAUAACAAAUAACAAUUGGAAUAGUAACAAAUACUAAGGAUGAUGACAACAAUGAUGCAAAGUAAUAAUAAUGUGGAAAACAUUCCCUCAGUUUCCGAAAAAAUGGACAAGUUAGGAAUAUGAGAGUACAACCAUUCAAUUUUCUAUCACAGUUCAUCAAUUUCUUUAUUUUCCUAAAAUUAAAAUUAUAUAAAAAGUAUUGUUACUAAAUCUUUUACAACUAAGAAUAUUUAGAUAAAGCACACAUUGAGGAUAAAAUGAGAGAAAUGACGUUUGAGAUGGUUUAGCCAUGUCCUACGUCAAUUUAUGAAUGUGAAAUCAUAGUGAGUGAAAGUGUUAACAAAGAACGAGGUAAACCCAAAAUCACAUGAAAGAGAGUUGUCUCGAAGGACCUAUAGUCUCUUGAAAUCCAUGCAGGCCUAAGCAAAAAUAGGGAACCCACCAUUUCUCCACGUUACAAUUUUUUUAAAGAACAAAUUCCAAAAAUAAGGUAAAAAGUCUUUAUGCUAGACUCUUUACAAUAUAUGACAAAACUACGCAUGUGGACAUUACAAAUUAAAACAUUAUUUUAAUCUAUGUGGACUCUUCACUUUCAUGGUGCACUCUUAGUGAAUGGCAAUGACAUGGGUAUGGGUGGUUCACAUACUACUUUAAGAUAGAAUAAAUCCCACUAAAAGUGAAAGCGGCCAUGUAGAAUACGUACCAAUAUCGACUUUUCAAACCCAAAUCUUCAUGUAACAUCAGAAUAAUAGAUGACUUUUAAGCAAUAGCCCAAAAUUGAAAAAAAAAAAGAGGAAUGCCAAGCAUGAGACCAUCUCUAUCUACGGAUCAAAAAAAAAAACCCGUAUCCAUGAUCGAAUGGAUUGAAAAUAUUAAGGAAAUGUAAAUUUUUAGAUCGAAUUCAACGUUUAUUUGUGUGAUGGAAGUCAUUAUUUUUCAAACUAUUUUUCAAGAAAAUGUUUUCUAGUAUUUGAUUGGUGAGUAGAAAAUAGUUUCAGAAAAACAUAGAUCCAUUAAGGAUUAAUAAUAAUCUUGGCAAACCAGGUAAUGCUUUGAUUCAAAAAUUUACUAGUAAAAAUCAAUAAUGUCUAGGUGUUGCUUGAAAUAAAUAAUAUAAAGUUAAAAAUUUAUGUUAUAGUCUCCAAUAAAAGACAUGAAGUUAGAAGUGUAAAUAGAAGUUCGGAAAUGAUUUGCAUCGAUAUACGAGGAAAGUCAUUUUUCUCAUUUUGAUGGAAAACAUUUUCUAGAAACCAAAAUGUUGUCGUCAUGGAAAACAUUUUCCUGAAAAGUGACUUCCUAUCAAUCAAACACACUUCCAUCAAUCAAACACACCACCAGAGAAGUUUUGAAUUAUUGUACAACAACAUUAAUAAGAAGAAUUACCAAACCUUAUGGCUAUGCUACCUUCUCAAGCCCUGAAAUAUAGGGCCCAGCAUGAACACUUCCUAUGUCAUCUGUUGUAGCUGGUCUGAAAUUCUGCACUUCAACAACAUCUGAACCUCGAAACUGGAACACAAGAUAGCUUGAUUAGUUGUAUAGGUGUUUAGUAACAUCUGUAUAUGCAUCUUACUAGUGCGCAUGAAGGUUUUGGACUUUUAAUCANNNNNNNNNNNNNNNNNNNNNNNNNNNNNNNNNNNNNNNNNNNNNNNNNNNCUCCCCCCUCCCCCCAAAAAAUAAACCCAAAUGGUAGAGUUCUACCAGGAAUUCUCUUGCCCUCCUAUGAUCACCAUAGUGGUAAAGGUCCUAUGACAAAGGAAAAUUCACCGGAUCUGACUUCAUAAUAUCUCCCAUAAGUUCCUAGGAGAAACUGCUUCACUCUAGCGUAGGAUGGUAGCUCCUAUAAAAUCCUUCCUGUAUAUUGCUAACACUUAAGAAUAGGAGGUAGCUCACACAAGGUUUAGCUAAAUAGCUGAAAUGGGAGUGUCAUUAGGUGGCACAUCAUGUAGGAGAGUAAUGACACCAUUUGGGAUGGUGAUCCAGGCCAAUGUCACAAGAGGCUUGGUUUAGUCGGUUUACUAUCAGCGUGCAUACUGGAUGACAUUGAAUGUUACAUGCAGGUUUGGCUUUUCUGUCAACAGGAUGUUGAGCAGCAACAGCCUGGAGGACUUUGGAACCAUUGCCAGUUACGGAGAUCCAUGGGAGAGCAAGGCUAUAGAAUUUAUCACAUGUUAGCCGAAGUCCGGAGGUUAUGCACUAUUAUAGUGGUCGUGGAUAGAUUUUCGAUGUAUGCCCAUCUUCAUGCACGCCUCACUAAGCUCUGUGUUGCCGAGGAAGCUGUCAAGCUAUUCUUUAAGAAUGUGUUGAAGUAUUGGGGCUUGGCGAGGCAUAUCAUUAGUGACUGAGACCCUCACUUUACUGGGAACUUUUGGAGAGAGUUGUUGGACACUAUGUUGCGCGGACUCUUCAUUUUUGCGGCCGAACCCGUCUCGACGCGACACUGGUGCGGGCGCGGGUGCGGGGUGCGUGUCGGAUUCGGUCAAUCCGAUCCGGAUACUUUGACCAAAGCCGAGAAAAAAUGGGGAAGAAGAGAUCAAUUUCAUGGCCGGCGAAAGUUGACGACGACGAAGUUGUCACAAGGUCUGGUUGCUCCAUGGAAAAGAAUAAUGAAGAGACAAAACUUACAAGAAUAGAGAGAGAAAAGGCAGAUUUUUUUUUUUUGUACAAGAACAAAGAGGAGGCGAAGGGCUCCAUGGGAAAGAACAAAUAAUUCAAAGUUUUUUUCUUGAAAAGGAAAAAGCAGGCUAGGGUUUCUUGGGAGAAGAAAGGGCAGCACGUCAGAACUUUAAUGAAUUGUACUACUAUCUAAUUUAAUAUGCUGUAUAUAUAGAUAUGGCAGCACGUCAGAACUUUAAUGAAUUGUACUACUAUCUAAUUUAAUAGGCUAAAUAUAUAUAUAUAUAUAUAAAUGAUUAUUUCUUUUUUAUAACUAAAUAAAAGGAAUUAUAAAUUUUUUUAAAACUUAAUUUAAGGUAACAAAGUAACUUAAUUUAUACUUUUAAAUUUGUACUAUUCUAUAAUUUGAUAUCCUUUUAAGUAUAGCGUUUUACAAGAUAUUUAUUAUUAUUAUUAUUAUUAUAUUUUAUAAUAUUGAAUAAUUUUAACCGAAUCCCCGCACCCGUAUCCAUACUCGGAUUCGCACCCCCGAAUCUUAAAAUUUAAAUUUUGCCGAAUCCAACUCUCGGAUUCGCAUCCGUCUCGGAUACCCGCACCCGAGUCCGAGCAACUUAGGUUGGACAUACAUGGCACGGGAUUGCACUUUCCUACUAGCUUCAACCCGUAGACAGAUGGAUAGAUGGAGCGAGUCAAUGCCUUCUACUAGCUUCCACAAUAAAGUUGCAAUCAGUAUAGCUCAGAGCCUCAGAAUCAUGUUCAACAUGACUGAACAAAAUAAAAUGAAAUUGAUUGGCACUUCAUCAAAGAGAAAGUUACUAGUCGCACCUUGAGUUUGUUUCAUGUAUCGUCAGAAAACAAAUAGCGUAUGUGCUUACAUAGGGCCUCAGCAAAAGGACUUUUCAUACUUCGGUUUGCAAGUUGGGCAUGUGCAACAUCUUUGCUUUAACUUCAUGGAACAGAUUUCGUUAAUAUUUAGCAUGAUUUUAGGAGACUUCAUUUUUCCUUUUCCUAGCGUAAUUUUUAUAAAAUUAUCUCACAUUUUAUCCCAAAUUUAUUUUCCUCAUCUCUGAUUCCAAAUGACCCCUCAAGAGAUACCCAAUGUGUUUGUCUUUUAUCAUCACUGGUGAAAACAAUAAACAUAAGAAUCAGCAUUGACAAAUAAUUGUCCUAUGUUUGUGGCAUACCUUUGAAGUCAGUUUCAUCUUUUCCAAAGCUGUCAAAAUUGCAGGAACUCUAGAGUUGCAUUCUGGAUGUGAUUCCUGAAAAUUUUUAGUGACUGAAUUCCAAGAAAUAGAUAUUCCCCAAAACAAAGACCUAGUAAAGAGAAUCAACAAAAGAUUUAAGCUAAAUGUUAGGAUGGUGAAGUUUACGCUGUUCUUACCCUAAGGAAAUCAUGCAACAGAAUAUUAACAAAAAUCAGUAGAAAUAAAAGGAGUUGUUCUAUGACAUCCAACUAAGUACUUUGAUUAAGGAUCCUUGCACUGUAGGAACCUGAAAACUCAGAUGUAUAUCAACUACUUUAGCCAGCAAAAUUAAGGGGCAAGGUCAUAGGAGUGAAAAGUUUAAGAUAGAAUGGCGCAUUUCUACCCAAAGAUAUUUUGCAAGUGAAAUCUAGUCUAAACAAAAAUAUUGAGCAACAAACUAUCACACUUAAAUAGAAUCAAAGUAAAUAUAUUCAGAUGAUUCAGGCAGCAUCUCACAGAACAAGAAAUGGCAGUGGCACAGUUUGUCAGUCCAAUGUAACCACACGAUAGACAUGCUAGGAAAAGAGAGAAUGCCUCAGAAAAGGUGCAAAACUACAGUACGAGAAACAUCAAGCAAUAAAGGUAAGAGUUCCUACAGGGACAUCCAAUAGAAUUGGAACAAAAAAGGUAAGAAAAUUGGAGAACAUUUUGUAUUCUCUAAAACAGAAGAUAAAACUAUCAAGCUUUCGACUUCUACAUUCCGGUCUCGUUAUGUUAACUUUAACUAGUUGGUCGUGCAUAGCUGCUCAGCAUUACAAAUAGAGGUACUCAAGUCUCAAGAUAAACAGAAAAACCAAAUCAAACCAAAUUAAAUUUAACACCAAAUUUAACACCCAUAUCCAGGGGAAGAAAACUUAGACAGACAGAUCACAGUGCGCAAUGGGGCAUGACAGACAGAGUUCCUGAAACUAAAAUUCUUGAAGUUAGAUUCUUUGACCAUUGAGCAAUAGAACAUUUCCUCUGACUGCUUACCUAAUGAUAACUAAGAGAGUUGGUUUGCUUGGUGGGGUAUAUGCUCACUAAGUGGCGGUCACGGCCCUUCAGAUUUGGGUCGUGACAUUGGAUUUCACUUAAGUCAUAUAAUUUUGAAUUAAAUCAUUAAUUUGGAACUUAUUGACCGAAAAUGUUGACUUGAUCCAACGUGUCUUGAAUUUAGGAUUUAGCACAAGUAUUGUAUGGACUGAUCCAAUAAGAUUUAGAUGUCUACGAUGUGUUUUGAAAGGGAAAGGCAUAGACAAAUUAAUAAUAAAAACCUGUCAAUCUCCAACCAGCCGAAAAGUGGCACAUGCCCUCAAUUUAAAUAGGUUUCAUGUUGAAGGAGGAAUGAUACCUGGAAAGAGAAGGAUCCUAUUGUAGGACAUUUAACUAAAAUGUCACUGGAAUUGAGAUUCAGAACUUUAGCAUACAUGAGUUCUGGACAUCUGAUAGAGAAUAAAUGGCACCUUGCAAAGAACAAAAAUCUAGGCAUUUCUUACAAGAACUUUGUUAAAUUGCAGAUAAGUGAACCUUGGAAAUAAUAUCUACUUUUCGCACAUGCAGGCGACAGAAUGACGUGCAACUACAUGGAACAGAAUAAGCACAACUUUCUCUUAGGGAACAUAUAUUAACAUUAUCUACCUAAUUCUCAAAAUAAUAUCUAAGUAGGAAAACCAAUAAGACAAUUGUGGGAAAAAGACAAACAGUGAGAAUAUAGAGAAAGAAUAACCGUAAAGGCAGUAAUUUGCUAAUCUUUGCAAUUAAAUGGGUGGAAAAAAAAUAUUGCUACUCCCUUUGGGCAGCCAAAACUGGAUAGGAAGUUCAUAGAGGUUGUAAUGAACUUGAUGACAGCAUAUUUUGAGGUUUAUGACAUAUAACAGUUCUAUGUUUCAGAUUUCACUGCCAUUUAAAUUGAUCAAGACACUUGAAACAAUUCGAACCCCCUGAGGAGAUUCUUCUACAAAAAAAAACGUUAGGCCGUAAAAGAAGAGAAAAUUUCUAGUUGCAACUCUGAUAUUAGAGUUUGGGUAGAUUCCUCCUCAAGUCAUAAGCGGUUGCAAGGUAAACACUUGAUCAAAACCGUAGCACCAUAUAUAGCUUUAGUUUAACUCUCAUGGUGGGCAUCAAAAAAGAGAGAUAAAAGUUUCUCCUCAUGAGCUGGGUCCACAACAGUUUUAGGAGAAGAAUGAAGUAAAUGAUUCCUGGAAUCACAAAGCUAGCUUGACAAUGCAUAUGGUAAGUAGAUUUACUUUACCUGAUUAUGACCCAUUGCAGGAGCAGCAGCAUAUAUCACUUUUGCACCAACUGCGAUAUGAUCAGAAGGCAAGCCAACAUUUCUUUCCUUCUGAUUUGAACAAUAAAUGGUGCCUCGAACACUCGUUGAAGAAUAUCCCUUUUCUGGUCUGAUGUGCUUCAGGAGAUCUCUAUACUUAAUGGUAAUUCCAUUUUUGGAAUACUUCUUAUGAGAGUAAACGUGAUGUCUAACAUAGAACAGCAAGUUACCUGCCAAAAGGAAUUGAAAUAAUUAUGUAUAUCCAUUGAAGAGAACAGCAGUCCAUUUUGAAAGAACAAACAAAACAACUCUGCAACAACAAGAUUUGACAUGAUGAUCUUAUACAGUAGGAGUAUUCCAACAGAAACUGUGCAUUUUCAAUGAGAAAUACUUUCUCACCUACAACCAGGCCUAUCCAAGAAAACAUAAUCAAAUGAUAGUUUUCGAAUCAGAUAAAAGUUUGGUUCAUUAAUUACACUACUUAAAAAACAGUAAAAAGAGACCUAAAAUGGAGACCUCAUGAGGUUUUUUUUCCGGAAAAAGAGACCUAAAAAGCGACCUCAAUAAUAGGUCACUUUCAUGAUUCAAAGUUCACUCAACCUCCAACUUCAUGAAACUAAUGUAACAUACUUGUAAAUACUUGGUGUUUCCAUUAUCUUAAUAAUCAAAUUGUAAACUUGUUCUACUUAAUCUUGAAGCAUUUUGAAAGAAUAUUGGCUUCAAGUUAGAGUUAUCUUUUCACGACUGCAAGCAAAAGUUAUUACAUAAAAUAGUUGUCACAAGCAUUAUGAAAGGCACUCAGCUGACUUACGUUUGCAUGUGCUAAAAAGGACAUUUCAAGUUUGUAUCCUCCUGCUUGUGUGCCUUCUAUGUUGUUGAUGUUGAGUCUGUGGUUGUGGGUAGCAUUAGGAUACUUAAGAAAAGAAGUGGAGGGGCAUAGGGUAGGGUCUAUGGUUUGGGAGAAAAUAGCCUUGCAACUAAGUGAAACAUUUACCUUAAAAAAGACUAGAGCCCAUUUGGAUUGACUUUUUUAAAGUGUUUUUAAGCUUAAAAUAGCUUAAGUAUUUUUGGAGUGUUUGGAUAAGUUAAAAAAGUGCUUACAAGCACUUAGUUUUAAACUAAAAUGCUAAAAAUAGGCCAAAACCCAUAAAUUCUAUAGCUUUUGGCUUAUAAGUCAAAAAUGAAAAAGUCAACCAAACAAGCUCUAAAGCUAAUACCAAAAAAUUUCAAACAAUCAUGCAACCUUCACCUAAUAUUUAAAAUAAAACUUGCAAUUGCUUAAUGAUAAAGCCGAUAGUUAAUAGAAGACCAUCAUAUUUAUAUUGUGGAACAUGGAAUAGAAAUUUGAUCAACAAGACAAUUAAGUUGGCAAGACCAAUUCCAGUGUAAUCAAAGGCGAAAAGCACAAAAAAGCUCUAAGGUCUGUGGGGGCUUUAAGCGCAAAGCGCAAAUAAAGCGUGGGCUUUAAUGAAAAAAGGCGCAACGGGAGAAAAAAAUACAAAUGUAUAUGUUUAGUCCAAGACUAAAAAUUAUAAACAUAAAUGACAAAUAUAUGACCAAAGAAGAUGAAAAAAGAUUAUGAUAAAAUGAAAUAUCAAUUGUUUAGUGUCACUUCUUCAUAAGAGGCUCAUUGGCCAAGAAAAGUUUGUCUCAAAACCUUGAUGACGACACUGAAGCGCACAUAAAGCGAGGCGAAGCGCUCAACACGUUUUGAGCCUCGCUUCAGGGCUUAAGCGCACCUAAAGCGCGCAUUUGAUAACACUGACCAAUUCAUAACAAUUCAUAGGACAGAGUAAGUAAGCAUCAACUUUUAAUUAUAAAUCACCCACACUUAAAAUUUAUAAACUUUUUUCCCAAUGAACAGGUCCAAUAAACAAAAUUUGUAUGACUCAAAGUGAAGAAUCAACAUGCAAGUAAACUAAAUUAGGGGACUACAUCAAAAAAAAAUUGAACUUUGUACAUUUUUCAGAACUUUCCAAUGAGAACAUACACAAUAUUGUGUGAUUGAGUUAAUUACAAAACAAAGUGAACAGUAAAACAAAAUCCUACUUGACCCCUAUAAUGGUGGCACUGCAACUACUAUCAAUUAUCAUAUGCUCAACUGCCUGAUCUCCACACCGAAAUAACAAGAUAGUAAUCAUCGGAACCAUAAAAGAGCAUUCGAUGUUCCCUCAAUACUUUAAUGUUGUUAACAUUCUUUACCCUUUACAAAUGUUCUCGAUUCUUUACAUAAAACUGAUGAUUCCAUUAAGAUCGAAGUAGCCAGUACAACUAGAAACUGAUUGUAGCAGUUCACUCAACUUCUUCCCCCAAUAUAUUCAACUAAAAUCUCAAUACUUAUUUUAACAACAUUACCACAAUGACACGAUUUCUUAAUUAUAACUAAUAUUAUUGCAAAAAUUCAUUAAUUAUUGAACAAGCACGAUUAUUUGAAGUAUCAUUAAAAAUUAGCAGCAAAAGUAGAAAAUAAAAUCAUAAUUAAUGAACCUAAUGAGGAAUUAAUAAAGUGUUUUAGAGCUUAUCAUCAAAAGGUAAAACCUAACAUGGAUUUUUUUUUUAAAUUAAGCGAAUUUUGAAACUUACACUGGAUCAAGGGGGCUGUAGGCCGUGAAGCAGUUGUGGCCGUGAAAUUCGCCAAUGGAGGUGCUGCUGCUGCGGACAUCAUCGCCGGUAGAGAGACUACAGACUUCAUCACCGGUGGAGGAAGACGAAGUGCCGAUAAAUAAUGGGAAAUAAUCUGUGGUUUUUAUUUCAUACAUAUAAUAAAUAUUUUAAAAAAAAUAUAUAUAAAGUGUAAACCUGAGCAAAAAAGAUAAUGGAAGGGAGUAUUAGAAUACUAAAAGAUAUGGAUAAAGGGUAUUUUUAAACGUUUUUCUAUAGUCUAGGGGUAUUUUUAUUUUUUCCUGAAUUUUAUAUUUUAUAAUAGUUUUCUAAUGAGGUCUUUUUUUUUAAUCAAAGUAAUCAACGAAUAUUUUAGAAAUAGAGACCUCGUGAGGUCGUUUUUUAAAUAUAUUUUUUUAAUUUUUUUUUAAAUCUUUGGAGAUCUGAUGAGGUUGCUAUGUUUUCUUUGAAAUUUAAAAUUAACCUCGUAAGGUCAUGGAGAAUCUAAUCAUACACUUAAUUUGCAGGAGCAUUGAAUAUAGUUUCAAGUGCAAUCACAUGAAUAUAAAUACGAACUAUACUAUAUAAAGCUACAGUCUAAAAUCGUACAUGUUACAAUUGUUCGUUCCAACACUUUUUGAAGAAGAAAACUUCAAAGAAUCUUCACGCGAACUUUACUAGAAUUGUAGAAGGAAAAAGGAGAAUAAGCAAAAGAAGUGUCGAUUCUUUUGAAAUUGUAGAGAAUGAAAGAUACGUUAAUUUCUCCUAUGAGAACCUUUUUCUAAUAGUUGUAUUUUCAUUAUAUUUAUUAAUUUAAUAUAUAUAUAUAUAUAUUCUUCUCACAUGGAUUCGAAUUGACCCACAUGAGUGACCCAAUCCAAUUUCCUUCAAGUCGCUAUUAUUAUUUGGCGAAUUUUCUUUUUGAUUUGAAUGACAUCAUGAGGUCUCUUGCUUUAAAAAAAAUAAGUUAAAAAAUGUUUUGUGGAAUAAAGACCUCAUGAGGUCUUUUUUAGGCGAUCUGCUUUUUAGGUCUUUUUUUACUAUUUUUUAAUAGCGACACUCUCGUUUGAGUAUUUAACUUGCUUAAGGGGAUCACGUAGACUGAUAGGUUACCCAAUACUUUGGACUAUUCUUAGACCAGGAAAGAAAAAUAGAUUCGUGAUCAACACCCAAACCAAAAAUUUUAGGAUCCAGCCGCAACAACAACUUUUAUAUGUGAUUGUAUGCCUUCGUCGGGUGUUGGUGUAUGAGUUAUGCCCAAAUAUGUUGCCUAAUGAGGAGCAUAAGAGGUUUGAGAUGUUCUAGAAAAUAGAUCUACUUCAGUUUCACAUUGGACAAGGAGAGAACAGUUAUGACUUUCUUGUGAGUUGUCAUGAGACGUUACAAAAUGUGAUGUUGGUGGAGUCCCACAGAGUGGAUUACACUUUUUUUCACAUGUGUGGCCUAUCUAAGAAGUGGUGGCGGUCUGAUGUCGAUACUAGACUAACAGGUUCAUUCCCUGUAACUUGCAAGAGGAGAAGUGGAGUUAGUUUGAGCACUUGACUUAAGAUGGUAUUUCAGAUCGAUUUUAGGACAAGAUUUCAUGCCUUGUUUCACUAUGCUUUGGUGAUUUUGCCAGAUAAGACCAAGAAUUUGUCAAUGCAUGAGAAGUUUGACUUAUCAUAUCCAUGUAGUAACUUAUUAGACAACCUCGUCUAGAGAUUCUUUUCAAAGAGUAAUCGAGGUGGCCAUGGAGGUUGAGCUUAUUUGCCGCAAGGAAUUUAGGGAUUUGACGGACAAGAGGUCUUGCACUUCUUGUUAUUUUAGUGGUACCUCAUCUCGAGGUAGGGGAUCUUUAAGGAGGGGUUUUCAUCCUCAGUUCAGUGUACAUGUUCAUGCAGCUAUUCAAGCGUCUGAGGGAGAUUAUUCUGGACAAGGCUUCUACAACUCGGGUCAAAACUUAUCAGGAUUGCUGUUAGAGGUUUUCAGGUUAUGAUGACCAUUCAAUAUAUUCGGAUACUUGUCAGUAUAUGUUUGUUCCUAGUCCUACUAUGAGUGUGGUGAGUUAGGUAAAUCAAUAGAGAUUUCUACAGACUUAGAGAGGGAAGCUGACAUCAAUAGUGUUUUGUAAACCGUUGUUUCAUUUCCAAUUUUAUAAAAUUGAAAAGUUCUUUUAAAAAAAAGUUAGUAAAAUUUUCAAAUUCAACUUGAAAAAAAUGAACAAUUUAAAAAACUAAUAUCGUAAAAAAAAUAUGUUCUUUUAAGAAAAGUAAAUACAAUUUAUAUAUCACGAUUUUUAUGAGAAGAUGACAAUGAAAAAAAAGCACUUAUUUCUUUUUGUCACAUUCACAUUAGUUGGUCUUGAUUCAUUCAAAUCUAAUAACCACCCAUUAGCGCGAGGUAUGCCUAUUUUAAGAAGAAAAAAAUUGGAUCAUAAUUCACGAAGUGUUAGUUCCUCUAAAAAAAACACACAAAACUUUUCUUUAAAAAUGGAGAAAGUUAAAGAAGAUAUGGUGUUGGCAGGUUCAGUGCGACAUCAUGGAUUAGAAAAUUGGAAAAUGAUGGCUGUCAAAUUCUCAAAUUUCAUUCCUGAUCGACAUCGAUGUAUUCUUCAAUUUUCGUAUGUAGAAUGUCAGGUCGAGUAUGAAAGUUUAAAAAGGCGUUCUAAGUGUCUAUAUCAGACAUUACUGAAGAAGAAGAUGAUGUGAGUGCAUUCAUAUGUUGAUGACAGAUAAACUUACAAAGACUUAUUGAGAUUAUUGGUUAGAGCAAGUCAAACUAAGGGAUACUCCAUCUUUUUCAUAAAUCCCUCCUUUUUUCCUUUUUAAUUAUUCUUUACUUAUGAUGUUUGAAGCAUUAUGAGUUUUCACUAAUGUUUUGUUUGAUCCACAUUUAUAUGAUGGUUUUUAUAAAAACAAAAUUUCUUAGGAGAUACAAAAUAUAUCCAAAGAUAUAUUAUCUUUUCUAAAGUUUAGGUGUUGGAGCACAAAUAAAGUAUCACUAAUUAGUACAAUAUGCACUAAUUUUUUUAAAUUUUUUUUCAAAUAAACUGUUUUUGAUUCCAUUUUACUAUUACCAGGAAAAAAAAAACCACUACCACUAAAUAUCAAAACUCCAUUGUUAAAAUAUUUAGGGAAAAAUUGUUAAACAAUACCAUUAACUAUAUAUUUUUUAAUAACAAAUUUCCUAGCUAAUUCAUGUUUUUCUUAUAAAAUCACUAAUUGAUUGUUAGCUUUGAUAAUUGGCCCCAAAUAAUUAUUCAUUAAUUUUUGCUACGUUUAUUGUCCACAUUUAGGUUGUAACUCUAUUUUUUUGGUACACUUUAAAAAACCUAAAAAGGAAAAAAUAAAUUUUGAUAAGUCAAAUUGCUUAAUUCUCCCAAGAGAAAAAACUUUAUAUUAUUUUUGGGGGGAAAUGCAUAAGUACCCCCCCNNNNNNNNNNNNNNNNNNNNNNNNNNNNNNNNNNNNNNNNNNNNNNNNNNNNNNNNNNNNNNNNNNNNNNNNNNNNNNNNNNNNNNNNNNNNNNNNNNNNNNNNNNNNNNCCCCGAACUUAUUUUUUAAUUAAUUUUCUACCCCUUUUCGGCCUAUGUGGCACUAUCCUUGAAAAAAUUGUCAACACGCAGCCCACAAGAUAGUGCCACGUAGGCUGAAAAGGGGUAGAAAAUUAUAUAUAAAAUAAGUUCGGGGGGUAAUAGGACCUUAGUAAAGGUUAGGUGUGUCUCAAAGAUUUUGGGCAUAGGCUGGGGAGUACUUAUGCAUUUUCCCUAUUUUUGGUGACUUUCCAAACUAGAAAUUCUUCUUUAUUUUAAAAAAUAAAAUAAAAUUGGAGUUAGAGAAAGAGAAAAUGGAGGAGGGGAUUACAAAGGUAGGGUCAAACCCUCACCAAUAAAUUGAAAAUUCAGCUAGUCAACCAACAUAGCUACUAAGAUUCUCCAACUAGCAAUUCUUUGUAUGUUACGAUCUUUAUUUCUCAGAGUCUGUAAGAUUAUUUAUAAUCUCUCUUCGAAUGCAUAUUUUAUCCUUCAUUUCUAUCAAGUGUUUAUAAUUUUCACUAAUAGCAAUAUGAGAGUGAAAUUAUAUAUCCACAUUGUUUUAUUAUAAAUUGACAGCAAAAAGGUAAUAUGAUUAUUGAUAUCUUUAAUUAUGCUAUGUUUAUGUAGGAAAAAAAUUCUGAUUUUUUUCAAAUAAGAAGCUGAAGAAAGAAUAAAGUUAAAUGAAGAAAAAAGAGAUGAUAAAUCCUAAUGACAAAAUGGAGAAUAUUAAUCAAGAUUUCAUAAAAAUUCUUGAUGUGAUGAGAUCUCAGAAGUAUUAUUGUCUUUUAGAAUCUCAACUUCUCAGAAAGGUAAAUACAUUGCUAAUCUAUAUAUAUGUUGUGGUUUCUUAUACUUAUAUUUGUACUUUAAUUAUAAACUAAAACUUAGACAAUUAAAAAGAAUACUUUCUUUCUUCUAUUUCAUGUGACGUUCUUUCCUCUUUAAUCUAUUAUAAAAAAAAUAGUAUUUUCUUAAUUGAAACAUGAUGAAGUUUGAACCUCAUAUCUUUUUAUCUUUAAAGACAUGUUUACUUUGACUCUACAUGGAACAAAAAAUUCUAAAACUUGUGGUCUUGGAUACGUUGUAAUAAUUGUGUGACUAUAAAACUUCUCACUAAUGAUUAAAUAAAAAAUGUAUAGCUUGAUUAUUUUCAAAUAUAGACAUAUGUCAUAUUUUUUUAAUAGAUUGAUAGUAAAAUGGUGUUACAUAAAAUCGGAAAAAAGGAGUAUCUGACAUGUUUAAUACCAAAGUCUUUUUUUUUUCUUUUUAAACUCAUUAUUGUGAGGUCAAAUUUACAGUAUAAGUAUCAUAAAACAUGGAUUGUAUAUUCGUUAUUAGUGCUAAUAUUUAUAUUUUUUUCAAGAAGAUAUAUAUUAUACUAAACAAAUUAAGCAGCAUAUGGAUUUCUACAUUAUUCAAAACAUGUUAGAACAAGAUAGGUUUUUCGAACUUGGAAAAUGCCAAUUUCUUUAAAGAUAUUUUAUUGAUUUUCAGCAACGUCAUUGUUUAUUACCUGAAUGAAACUCUUCAAUAUUUUGUCGCGCCUGAACUCAGAGCCAUUAUUGUGAGAAACCCUAAUUAUGUCGCGAAAUUAUGUGUGGAUUAUCAGCAGCAGGCAAACCAAUGUUGGCCAAACAAAAAUUGGAGAACAGGGCAUAUUAUGCACAUAACAAAGCUCAAGAAGGUGAGUCGUUGGUGAGGAGGAGUACGAGAGUGAGAAAUAAGGCUUGCGAAUUCAAGAACGAUCAGGAUAAUGAUUGCAAAGGGAAACAAAGAAGAAUAACAAAGAAAAAAUAAGAAUAUUUUGGAAAUAAUGAGUGAAGCUUACUAGAAGGUGGUC